AGCGGAUACAAAGAUGGGCCAUGAGAAAAGCUGGUAGGCUAAAGGGGAAGCAUUUCUCUCUUCCCUACAGAACACAGACGACAAUGACUGUGGCAUAAAGCAUUCUCCUAUCUUCUUCCACCUGCAGCAGGCAAAUUGGCAGAUGGAAAGAGGUGAUCUUCUGGAAGCAGAAUGUUAUGGAGUAAUAACAAGGUAAGCUCACUUGCUGAGUGGGGUUAUAGCUUUCAGGUGGCUCGUCAUACCCAUGGUCAGAAGCUUCCUGGUGUCUAGUGAUGGACCUAGUGGAGCUCGUAUUUGGAAGUCGGCAGAUGCUGUAAGGCUGAAGCAGGCUGAUCGUUUUCAUCUUUUGAAAUUAGCCAACAGAAGCUGGUGGAUUUUUGUAAGAUGAAGCUGGAACAUGAAUGUGAAUGAAUGGAGAGAGAAUAAUGAGUGAAUGUGUCUGUUAGGAGCCUGAAGGGCCCCGCCCUACUUCUUUCCACCUGGCUUGGGGCGGGGCCUGACAGGCUCCAUAAAGGACUGCUGCUGCCACUGCUGCUGGGUAGAGAUGGCUCCAUUUUUGUUUUUGAAUUGCUUUUAUUUUUUUAUCUAUGUCAUUUUAAAUUGUGAUUGAUAUUAAUGCUGUAUUCUUAGUUUUAGAUUUUACGAUUUAUGUGGAAAUGGUUUUCCAUUUGGUUGUGUACUUUUUGAUGUGUUUUAUUUAUUGCUUAUGACUUUUUUAUGUUGGUGAUUAUGUAAAUCUUGUCAUGUUUUAUGCUGCCUUGAGCAUUGUUUCAACUAUGGAAAGGUGGCAUACAAAUAAAAUGAUGAAUGGAUGAAUGAAUGAAUGUUUUUCAUGGAUGUCUGCUGCGUGUGGGUGGAUGGGUAGAAGGUUUCUAAUGCGGUCAGUGCAAAUGCUGUGUGCAUGCAUGUGAAUGUGCUGUAUGAAAGCACAUGUGCUGUAUGUGCUGUGGAUAUGUAUAUGAACAGAUGAAAGCCAUGGGAGCUGGCAGGAUGAAGCUAGCUGAUAGAGUCAUGAGACAGAAGCUAGUGGAGGUGCCUGGGUGAUGCUGUUGGAUGGUAGCCAAUUCCACUCAUUGUCCCUGAGGUUUCUUUCCUGCAACAUGCCCUCAGUACCCUGAGGGUACAUUCUAUCAUAUGUGGUGGACCUGUAAAAGGAUCAAAAGAAUAUUGGGAAAGAAUUCAUAAUGAAUUGAAAAAAAAUGUUUAAAAGUACUUUUCCAAAAAACACACAAAAAACCAGAGUCCUUUUUGUUAGGGAUAAUUCAGACAGAAAUUCCCACGUGUCAAAAAAGGUUAUUUAUGUAUGCCACUACUGCGGCCUGUGUUUUGUUAGCCCCAAAAUGGAAAACGAGCGAGGUCCCAACUAAAAAAGAAUGGCAACUUAAACUGAUAAAAUAUGUGCAGCUUGCGGGCCUAACAAAUAGAAUAAGAGAACAAGAAGCACAUAUUUUUUAAAAAGAUUGGAAAAUGUUUGUUGAUUAUAUGGGGGAAACUGUGUACACUUGAAAAUGUUGGCAACAUUAAGAUAAAUUCAACAGCGUAAAUAAGUUUUGGUGGAUGUAAUAAUGGAAUACCAACGGGUUUAGUUUAUGUUAAAUUUGCAGGGAUUUAUGUUAUGCAAAAUAAACCAUGGAAAGAGAAGAAGGGAAGUCAUUGAUAUUUUAAGGUUGUUUAAAUGAAUAUUCUAAAAUAAAAGAAACAGCAAAUUUAAUAAAAAAUAUUGAAAAAACAACAAUAUGAAUGUUUGAAGGCAGCAAGGUAUUCUCAAUAAUAAGACCACACUGGUCAAUUACGAAGAGGAAUGCAGGGCUGUUUGAAGAUUGCAAGGUUUUCUCAAGACCCCACCCCUAGUGAAAGCAAAGAAGAGAACUGCAAGGUUUAAUUGCAAGCCAGCUUAUAUUUCUAAAUAUAUAUCUAAAUAUUUCAUAUUAUAUUUCUAAAUAUUUUGCUUUUAUGGUGUUGUCCAUCCCUGUUGUCAGUACACUCGUGGGGUAGGCUGAUGUGGUGUUUGCCCUUCUAUGUGUGUGACAUCAUACUGGGUUCAUAGGGAAAGGGUUAACUAAUUGUAAAAUGACUAACCAAUGGGAACCCAGGGGGAGAGUUAGAGUUAAGAUGGAGAAGACAGUCUGGAGUUAGACGAUAGAUAAGAUAAGAUAAGUCUGUGGUUUGGGCUAGUCUGGUGAGAGAGAGUGAGAGAAUUUGUUAAGAGGAGUCAGUCAAACAGUUGAGAUAAUCAGUCAGAAGGUAUUAGGAAGGUAUAGGCCGGUAAAGAAACUGAAGUUAAGAUACUGACAGGAAUAUUAUCGGAGAAACCAUAAACUUGUUAAUGUCUGUAAAAUAAACUUGGGUUUUUUGGUUCACUUUUAACAACUGCCUGGACUCCAUGUUUUACCAGAGAGUAACUGGUUGGUGGCAGCAAGGAAGUGAGCACAGUGGUGGCACAGGGAUCAAUAGACUGUUAAACGUCCAGGGACCCUGUGUGAUCACCACAGCUAUAUAUAUAUUUCAUUAUAAAUAAAUCAUUGUGAAGUGUUCGCACAAUUUUCUUAUUGAGAGGGUGGUAGUCCUAUGGUAUUCUGAAAAUUGCAUUGAAAUAGGCUCAGGGCAAAGAUUAAGGCUCCUUCAUUGACUAUUGUGAUUAGGAAGAACAAUCAGGAAAGGGUAUGAAAGUCCACUCACAGAAAGAUCCAUAGACACGAAUGGCAUUAAAUAACUAAUAAUCAAAAAAGCUGGGAAAUGGCUUUUUCAUCCUUUAAAUUUUAUGACCCAAACUGGCAUCGGCUGGGUAUGAGAGCCUUUGAGAGUAUAAGCGGAAAUUAGCAAUAGCUGUUUUGAACUCCAGAGCUUUCUGCUCCUGAAAGGUUAAUAGAGAGCCCAUCUUCUUAAAAGUAAGAAAGAAAGAAUAAUUCCUUUGCUUUUUAAAAAAUGGUUAUUGAGUUACAGAACAAGCCAGUAGGAAUUUAACCAUCAACUUCCAUCAUCCUGUAAACCCUUCAGCUGAAGAAAUCUUCAUUUACUUAGGCUGCAAUCCUAACCCCACUUACCUAAGAGUAAGACCCAUUAAAUUCAAUAGGACUUACUUUGAAAAAGAUAUGGUUAGGAUAGCACUGUUAGACUGUCCACUUACAACCAUUUCCCAGGGUGUAAGUUCUUCUGAAGUCAACAGGGCUUACUUCUGAGUAGACGUAUGUGGAAUUGUGGUAUUUCUUACUAUCAUGCAUAGCUGCUGCAGAGAUAAUAAGAACAUUGGAAGAGUCUGCGGGAUCAGGCCUUAUCUAGUCCAACAUCUUGUUCUCAUAGUGGGCAAACAGAUGUUCAUGGAAAACCUGCUUUUCUUCUUUGGUGAUCACUCAUAGCCGAGUAAGAUUGUCUUCCAUAAACACGGUUUUUACAGUGAGUCCAUAAGUGACUGUGGAGGCCAAUUUUGGAUCCGCAUGUCCUUCCACAGUGGGGACAUUUGUUUCCGGGCGGGAGCUGAUCACGGUGUGGAUUUGCCUAGCGUGCCUUCCUCUUAGCACGUUUCUCCCUUGUGCCCUGAGUUCCAGUGUCUUCAAAGCCCAUGACACCUUUGGUAAAGGCUGUUCUCCAAUUGGAGCACUCGCAGGCAAGUGUUUCCCAAUUGUUGUUGUUUAUACUACUUUUUUAUUAGAUUUGCCUUGAGACAGUCUUUAAACCUCUUUUGUUGACCACCAGCAUUACGCUUUCCAUUUUUAAGUUCAGAAUAGAAUAGUUGCUUUGGAAGAUGAUAAUCAGGCAUCCAAACAACAUGACCAGUCCAACGAAGUAGAUGUUGAAGAAACAUUGCUUUAACACUGGUGAUCUUUGCUUCUUCCAGUACACUGGUAUUAGUUCGCCUGUCUUCCCAAGUGAUGUAUAAAAAAUUUCGGAGACAAGUCUGCUUGUCUCCCCACUUGUGACUACCAGAAACUGGCAUGCAGAGGCAUGUGACUUCCAACAGUAGAGGCAAAGCGUAGCCAUUGUGGUUAGUAGCUACUGGUAGCCUUCAUGAAUUUGUCUAAUCUAUUAUCCUCUUUUAAAGCUGUCCAAAUGGUUGGUCAUCAUUAUCUCUUGCAAGAGGCUGUGAAAGAAACCUGUGAAAGCAAGUCAGCUUCCCAGCAAGAAUAUCCAAAAUUGUGGAUUUGUAGACAGCUCCCAUCUUUGUAACUUUGCCAUUCCCAACCCACUUUUGUCCCUUUUCUCCACUUUAAGAACAACAGACAUGACACCAUUUCACUGUAAAAUAUUGAUAGCAUGCUAAACUAUGAACUACAGCUGUUUCAUCCCCUUGCCACUUAAAUUCUUGUUACAAAUCAUGUUCAAAGUGACAAAGGUCACACUCGAUGCAAAUCUGCAGUGCUCAAUUCACAGUUCCACUUGGCAAUUGUUUGAAUAUGCAAUAUUCUCACCAAAGUGAAAUUUGCAUGAAUAUUGUUAUUUGGCUCCACUUUGAUAGGAACAGCUUCUGAAAGCAUUUUCUAGGAGGCGAUUUGCUGCAUAAAAAAAAUAAACUUUGUGCGAAAAGUUGAGGCAGAACAAGAAAAUGAACAUGGUGGCUGCCUUAGACCUUCUAAAAGCUCCUGUCCCUUUUCUAUUACAUCGUUCAGAAAAGCACUUCACUUUGCAUUGCUACUAGUGCUAACACAAAUCAACCUUUUCUUUAGAGCCAGGGUGGGAAAACACUGAUAAGGACAAUACAGUGGUACCUCGGGUUACAUACGCUUCAGGUUACAGACUCCGCUAACACAGAAAUAGUACCUCGGGUUAAGAACUUUGCUUCAGGGUGAGAACAGAAAUCGUGCUCUGCCAAAGCACAGCAGCAGGAGACCCCAUUAGCUAAAGUGGUGCUUCAGGUUAAGAACAGUUUCAGGUUAAGAACGGACCUCAGGAACGAAUUAAGUACGUAACCAGAGGUACCACUGUAGUGUUGAACCACCUGCUUAUUUUAACACAGAGGUCAAAAAGUAUGUGUACCGGAACAAAACAGCUGUUAAAUGUUAAUUUUAAUCAACAAGAAAGCAUUUUUAAGGUUUUCGCCUUUUUAGCUAAAGACAAAACUGCUUCAGGAUCCAAAGCUAAGUCAAUAAAACACAAAUUAUGAAUCAUAGCAGAACACACUGAAAAUGUAACUUCUUGAUCUCAGCUUGAAAGCAAUAUUUAUAAUAAAAAUAUUGCGCUAAUAUAUUCUGGGCUUUUCACAUAGGGUAGUUCUAAAACCUGUUCUCAUUUGAACCCCAGAAGUACAAAAGCAACAUGCAGCUGCUUCUGAUCUAUGGAAAUGUUGAGUUUUAAAUAUGUACUAUUGCAUUAACAUCCUUCUCCCACCACCUCAGCUGAUCCAUAUUUACAAGCAGAUUUUACUUUAUUUUCUCUCUCACUAUGUAGCAAAGAAUGUUCUUAAACACAUGCAGGGGAGAAACUGUAUUUACACUGACACAGAAAUCAUUCCAGCAAUUUUUUGUUAAAAAAGUAUAAAAGCUAAUAAUAGGUUUGAUAAUGAAUGCACAUUUCCCUGCUUUAAAUAGCAGCAGCUUCUUUAUACUUAUAAUAAUAUUGACAAUAGUGUUGAACCACCUGCUUAUUUUAACACAGAGGUCAAAAAGUAUGUGUACUGGAACACAACAGCUGUUAAAUGUUAAUUUUAAUCAACAAGAAAUCAUUUUUAAGGUUUUCGCCUUUUUAGCUAAAGACAAAACUGCUCCAGGGUCCAAAGCUAAGUCAAUAAAACAAAUUAUGAAUCAUAGCAGAACACACUGAAAAAGUAACUUCUUGAUCUCAGCUUGAAAGCAAUAUUUAUAAUAAAAAAACCUGUGCUAAUGUUGUUAUCAAUGCCACCCUUUGCUCUAGCUGAUUAGACAUAAUUGCAUUACUUUCCAUUUUAUAGCAAACUACAGAGGUAACACAUUGGAUUAAAAUUAUAAAUGAUCCAUUUUACAAAAAAUAAUGUGCCACUUUAUAAUGUGCAUGGUAAGUUGAUAUUAAAGAAUUAUUUAAUGGUUUGUUUAUUGUGGGUUUCUAGACAGGAGACGGCCAUCAAACUUUAAUUUUGUGUGAGUUACCAGAAUAAAUUAGCUAAUAUCCUGCAAAUUGCAUCAUCUUUCAUAAAACCCUUUGCCUGAUGUUGUUCAGGGAAUCGGUUGGUUAGAAGACUCACUGUCUAGCUAUAGUUCGGCUUAGGCAAAACCCUCUCCUGUCAAAGCACAUGAAUGCUGGUAUCCAGGCAGAAUCUCUCCACAUUUUCCAAAUGUUCUCUUUUUGGGCAGCCUAAGACCAAGCUUUUCCUAGUCUGCAGGACUUUAGAGUGUUGUUUGUGCUGUACUUUUGUACUGUUUUAUUGUUGUUAGCCACCCUGAGCCCGGCUUCAGCUGGGGAGGGCGGGAUAUAAAUAAAUUUAUUAUUAUUAUUAUUAUUAUUAUUAUUAUUAUUAUUAUUUAAACUGCAAGGAGAGGGGCAAUUUCUUGAAUGCUCCCUUGUGAAACGAGCUCCUUGUGUGUCAGGCUUCUGUAUGCCAAAGAGAAAGGCUCAGCUUGGCUGUCACUCUGACAUGUUAUUACUUUACCAGAGAAUUCUGGGAAGUGUAGUUUAUUAAGGAUGCUGACCCCACAGACCUACAAUUCCCAGCACUUUUAACAAACUACACUUCCCAGAAUUCUUUGGGGGAAGUCAUGACCCUUAAAGUGGUAUAAGGGUGAUUUAAAUGUGUUGCAUGGAUAUGGCCUUAGACGUGGAGGUAGUAAUGGGGUUUGAAGCAGUAAUAUUUCUGAGUAUCAGCCGCUAGAAGCCACAGAAGGGGAGAUUGCUCUUGUACGUGGUCCUCUUGAGCAGUUCUGGCAGGCAUCCAGGUGGCAUCUGUGAGAACAAGAUGCUAGACUUAGAUGGGCCAUUGCCGUGAAACAGCAGGCUCUUCUGCUUUUCUUACGUUCUUAAGUUACUUUGGCAAUUAAGUGGUGUACAAGUGAAAAUAAGAUGCAGAGAUGACCACUGACAAUAAAAGUUGCAGAGCGUGCUGGCUGCAGUCUCCUGCAAUCUUGUGGGCUUUCCUAUUCUCAUUGCUGCAGCACAGAUAAUUCCCACCACUACAACCAGCAUUUUAAGAUGGGCUGUGAAGUGUAGGUGGGUUCGGGCAAGACCCAAGGCUGAGAUUCAGCUCAAAAAGGAUUUAUUGGAACAUCAGGAACAAGAAUGACAAACAGGGACACUUGGCCCAGUAUAUAUAUACCUUAUAUAUAUACCUUGGAAUCAGCCUGAUCCCCUCCCCCUCUUUCCUUUUUCUUCUGUGAUGGAACCCCUACUUGGGGACUUCCCUGGCUUUUUUCUGGCCCACAUAGGACCAGUCUGGAUAGUUGGCCUUGGUGAAGAUUUGACAUUUUCUCCCCUCAAACAGUUUUUGAUCUGGGCUUCCACUGAAAUGAGGCUGCAUUUUAAGUUGUAUUUUAAUCCUGUAUUUAAGUUAUAUUUUAAUCAAUUAUUUUUAUACCUGAUAUUAGCCGCCCUGAGCCCAGUCUUAGCUGGGGAUGGUGGGGUAUAAAUAAAGUUAUUAUUAUUAUUAUUAUUAUUAUUAUUAUUAUUAUUAUUACACUGGUCAACAACAAAUUUGUUGUCUGCAUUUUUUCAGUUGAUUUAGGACGAAUCUGAUGCACUGAAUCCAAAUAUCACAUUGGUUUUGCUCAAUCAGGUCAAGUUUUUGAGCUAUGGCCACAUGUCGUUUUUUUACGUUUUUGUUCACGUGUACUCUUGUGUGGAGCAUUUUAGAAGAAGUUGGUGAGGGUAAAAUGCCAUGUUGAAUAAUUGUUUUGAUUGGAAAUGAUUAUUUUAAUGACAAGAAGUAUUCAGGUCCGAUAGUUCUGGGUUACUGUGUCGAAAAGGGAUCAGUUUGAAGUGAUAAAACCUCGAAAUUUUCCAUAAAUUGGUGCAGCUGGGAUCAACAGAAAGAACUGGAGCAGCCUCAAAUAUCCUGAUCUUCAAUCAACACGUCGUCCUGUAGCUCAUUGUGAUGAAAUUCCAGUGCCUAUCUUCGGAGAACUUCCUGACAUUAUUGACGAAGAUGCCUCCAGUGUUGAAGGACAUGAAGAAGAAGUGGUUCUUGAAGAUGAUGCUCCACAUCCAUUAUCCCAAAAGGAAUUGAAUGAUCUAGUUCGCGACCUCAGCUUGUCAAAGGACUCUGCCGAACUGUUGGCAUCCAGAUUGAAGGAAAAAAACCUCCUCUCUGGCAGUGCUCGCAUCAGCUUCUUCCGCAACAGGCAUCAAGAGUACCUCCGUUUUUUCUCGGAAGAGAAGGACUUGGUGUACUGUGCAGAUAUUGCGCAGCUUCUGCUCAAGCUUGGAGUGCCACAGUAUGAACCCAAAGAUUGGAGACUGUUCAUUGACAGCAGCAAGCGAUCACUGAAAUGUGUUCUGCUACACAACGGCAACCAGUUUGCCUCUAUACCCCUGGCUCACUCAAGUACACUGAAGGAGAACUAUGAAGCGGUGAAGUAUGUGCUGGAGAAAAUUGGUUAUGAUCAGCAUAAGUGGUUUAUUUGUGUUGCCCUGAAGAUGGCGAACUUUUUGUUGGGACAACAGUCUGGCUUCACCAAGUACCCAUGUUUUCUGUGCAUGCGGGAUAGUAGGGACCGUGCUCAGCAUUACAUGAAGAACGACUGGACUGUGCGGGAGGAAUUGGUGCCUUGCAAAGAAAGGAACGUCAUCAACAACUCUCUGGUGGACAGAGACAGAAUACUCUUCCCACCGCUGCACAUCAAGCUCGGCUUAAUCAAGCAGUUCACCAAGGCUCUGGACAAGGAUGGUGACUGCUUCACUUACUUGUGCCAGGCUUUUCCAGGAUUGACCAUGGAGAAGUUGAAAGCUGGCAUCUUUGACGGUCCUCAGAUCCGUCAGCUCAUCAGAGAUCCAGAGUUCGGAAACUCAAUGAAUGAAGUGGAACUGGAAGCGUGGAAGGCAUUUGUUCUGGUAGUGAAGGACUUUCUUGGCAACAAUAAGGCCAGAAACUACGCAGAACUUGUCAACAACAUACCGACUGCUUUCAGAAACCUGGGCUGCAACAUGAGCGUCAAGAUGCACUACCUAUUUUCACAUAUGGACCGGUUUCCUGAGAAAUGAGUGACGAGCAGGCAGAGAGAUCCCAUCAGGACAUGAAAGAGAUGGAGACCAGGUAUCAGGGUCGCUGGGACACAGUCCUGAUGGCUGACUACUCUUGGACUCUGAAGAGAGACCUCCAUGCCGCUGAGCAUUCCAGGAGUUCCAAGAAAUGGAAGUUCAAGCCCUGAAGUUUGAAAAAUGGUGAAGCAACAUACAAUUUACAUGUACUUACCUUUAUCAAUGCCCACCAUUCAGUUUACAGUAAACCUGACCUGAUGGAGAGAAACGGAUGCCAUUUCCUGAUUCAGCAGUGCAAAAAUACCCUAAAUCAGUUGUAGAAAUCUAGACAACAUUCAAAAAGUAAAAAAUUGUUGCCCAGUGUUAUUAUUAAGCCGGCCCAGGCAAAAACACACACACUGCCUGUGAUAGGUCACCUUAAUGCUGCAAUUAGCGAAUCACAACACUGGCCCUAUCUCAGCAGGGAUUGGCAGCCUGCCAGCUACUAACAAUGUAAUUGGAGGGUUUUAGAAUCCUCUCUGACUUGCAGAUGAAGCUCCUGAGCUUCAGGAGGCCUGAAGGCCUAGGUCUGCAUAGCAUGUAUAUCGUCUGGCUUCAGCCUGCAAUGCAUGCAUGCAUAACAGGCUGCUCUUCUGCCUAAGACACUAAAGAGUGGUUCUAUUUACAAAGAUUAAGAUAGCUGCAAUUUCCUUUGUGCUGCAGACUGCAAAUCAAAUGAAGGAGAAGAGAUUCUUUUGGGAUCGGCAAUCCUAUGAAUAUGCCUAUUGGCCUUCUGUAUAAGGAGAAGUUGUUGGUAUUGCAGGCUUGGACGGAGGCAAGACCUUUCAGCCAUCAAAAUCUAAAUCCUACCAAUUUGAAUUUUAUAGCUAUGCACACAGAUUUGCAUGGCCUAUUUUUGUACAAAAUUGUUUUCUCUUUUUCUGGAGUGGGGGGUUCAGUUUCCUGUUUUUUUAGUGAACAGUAAGGAACCUUGUUUUUGUUGAAUGUAUAGAAACCAAAGCAAAGACCUAUUGCAUCAAAGCACUUUAAUCAGCAUCCGAUUCUCAGCAGUGGCCCAUCUAGAUCAGGCAUAGGCAAACUCGGCCAUCCAGGUGUUUUGGGACUACAACUCCCAUCAUCCCUGACCACUGGUCCUGUUAGCUAGGGAUGCUGGGAGCUGUAGUCCCAAAACAUCUGGAAUGCUGAGUGGGAAGCCUUCAAGCAGGGACCACAUGCAGUGUAUCCCAGCAUACUGCCUCUGACUGUGGAGGUAAAACAGCAAACUAGGUUUUAUUGAAGUCAACUUGCCAUGCAUCAGGGUUUGAAUCUUCUUUGGACUGGUAGGGCUGAAGGGCCUCAGAAAUAGAAAUUCUGGCAUGCAGUUAUCAAAGCAAUUGUUACAAGACAGGCAAGGCCAUAGCAGGCAGACAAACAAAGAAUGAGUAAAUUAAGAAGUAUUAACCUUCAAAAGGAGAAACAUGGAAUGUUAGAGCCUGAUUGGAUAAGAAUGUAAAAUCUCACUCUCUGGGGUGGUUUUUUGUUGUUGUUUUUUUGUAUAGUCUAUAAAAAGUGGGCGCACCCUGAUAGGGGUGUGCAGAUUGCGAACUUAUUGCUUCUCCUUUGCUAUGCAUAUGCAUUUCAAAUAAACCCUGUUGUAUCCUGCAAGGUCGUUUGCCACUUUGUGUGAAUCUGUGCUCCGGAGACCCAAUAGCAGAUAUGGAACAGGUCCAACAGGGCCAUUUCAGUGGAAGCUGGUGAAUUCCUUCUCAUCCAACAUGCCCCCCAAGUCAAAGAAGAAUGGACUUAAAGGGGGCAUAGAUUGCUUGCUACACCCUGAGCUACCUGUCACAGCUGCCAAGUUUUAAUCAGACCUUUCCUCCUCCCUCGCUAGCUCUACGCUGCACACAUAGCAUUGACUUUCUGGUUUUUCUUUGACAGAAUCAAUUUGUCUUUAACGCUUGCACGACAGAAAUUAAACAGGUGCAACUUUCUGCACUGUGUUUCCCGGACAGGAAAUUCUGCAUGAAAUACAUUUCUGUGCAUCAUGAAGUCACUAAUGGCACAGAGCCUAUGUCUCGAGUUGGGGGAAGUGAAGUAGCAACUAUUCUAUCUCUCGGGGAAUUUACACUGCUUCACGGCUUGCUCUGCAGGAGGCAUCCGACUCUUGUCAGACCUCGCAGAGCAGUUCACAGGAAGUCAGAUACAGAAUCUGAAAGAUGCUGUGUAUUGUUAAGGUGAUCACCAAACAAUGCAUUCAUGGGUCUGUACCUAGAUCAGGAUGCUUCCUCGUGCUCUAGUCAGGUGGGGCUUCAUCCACCCGAUAUAUGAUAUGACUCACAUCUUCUUGUAUGACUCAUAGCUGUGAGUUUUAUUCCAGUCUUCAUUGAUCCCUGGGUUUAUUCCAGAGAACUUUAAUAAGUGACCCCAUACACAAAGCCCUGAGCAAUAAAUAAAAAAAAUGUUCUGAAUAUUCCAAGCUCUGCUUUUUUAUGAUUAGUGUUAUUAAAAAACAUGAUUUUGGAACUGACAAGCCAGUUUUGCCAGCCACCUUCGUUGCUAGAGAUAUUAAUAGUGUUAAGAAAGUGAUGUUCUCCAGGAAGAGAUCAUGAGAGAAACAAUGAUCUUCCCUAUUGAAGGAAUGACUUUUGUACGCCCAUGGGUGAGUCACAAUGACGGACAUACAUUAUAAAAUUAAUAUUGUGUAUUUUAAUUGCAAUUUAAAUGUAGAAAGAAUCUAGUUGCCGUGGUUGUGUCUUUUACUAGAUCUAAGAGGUGGAUAUGAACUUUUCCUGUGGAAUCAUCUGAUGGUUCCUCCUUCACGUCAUGCUCCCAGACAGUCAGUGACACAUGAUUAGCAUGAUGACAUUAUGUAACUAUGAUGUACAUGGGAGACACUAUGGGGAGAUGCACUGUCACUCCCUUGAACUUUAUUUUGUUUUGUUGCUGAAGCCACUUCAAUGUUAUGUUUAAGAAUACACUCCUCCCUCUACAUGGGAAGGGCUGCAUCUCAGGGGCAGAACAUCUGCUUGGCAUUCAGAAGGUCCCAGCUUCAAUCCUCGGCAUCUCCAGGUACGGCUGGGAGAAAACCCUGUCUGAAACCCAGGAGACCUGCUGCCAGUCAGUUUAGACAACACUCAGCUGGAGAGACCAAUGAGUCUGACUCAGUAUAGAACAGCUUCCUACUCCACAGGUCACUGUCAUCUGGGCUUAACCCCAUGAUUUCCAUAAACCUUGCCUUCUAAGUGAACAAAGGACGCAGGUGGCACUGUGGUCUAAACCACUGAGGCCCUCAGGCUUGCCAAUCAGAAGGUCAGCAGUUCAAAUCCCCACGACGGGGUGAGCUCCCAUUGCUCGGUCCCUGCUCCUGCCAACCUAGCAAUUCAAAAGCACGUCAAAGUGCAAGUAGAUAAAUGACUGGACCUAACGGUCAGGGGUCCCUUUACCUUUAAGUUGACUACACAGCUAAUAUAAUACCUAGUUGAGCAGUGCAAGUCAACAUCUCCUUUCAGAAUUUAAGGUGAGAGAAAGCUCAUCUUAAAUAGCCUAAAAUUUGAAUUUUGGGGUUGGAUGGAUGAAGGGAUGAAAUUCAUUUUAAAAAGCAUACACCCAAAUGAAAUAUGUAUUCAAAUACACAAUUGGACGUGAAGUUUUCUGUGAAUGUUAAAAAUAAAAUAAAAUAAAAAUGCAUUUUACAAAUGCAGAAACAGGACAGAAUGGAUUUGCUUAUUUAUUUGUUUAGAAUAUUUUCAGUCCACCCUUCAUUGUAGUACAAUGUCAUUGGAAUAUAUUCUAUUGUCUUUGGAAGCAAUACAAUCUUAAGAGCAGGUUGAAACCUCAGAAGGUAUUUCUAAGAUAAAGAAAACAUUGUUGAACAUGCAUAAUGCUGGUGAUUCUAAAGUCAUCAUGCAAAGCCAUGAAAUUAUAUAUUUGGAAUAGGGCAAUUAUGAAAGCAGUCCUUGAUACUGAAAAUCUGUGUUAACAUCAACAUAUUAAUUUUGAGUACACACAAGGUACUUGAAAAAAGCGACAGCUUGUAAUUUCUUUAAUAAAUACAGAGCCACGUUCAAUUCCACUCAUUACAAUUGUUUGCUAUGGCUAAUCCAUGCAAAGCAAUGGGUCAAGUUUACACUCAUGGAUCUCUUAUGAAUGAAUGAAUGAGAACUAAGUCGGGAAAUAAAGCUUGAAGCAAGUUCUGCACCAGGCAGGAAACGCUGGAAUUGCAAGAUGGUUCCGUGGGAAAGAAAUUCACAUUAUACUUCAAGCAAGAGACCAGCCAGUCUCUACCUUGUGAAUUAACCAACUUCGUGUAGAAAGAUUCCAGGCAGGGACAAACCAAGCCUGAAUGCAGCGAGAAGCCAUAUAAUAUUAUUAGCUUUCUUAUUUUGACAAUGGCUUAGUUCAACCAUGUGAAGCAAUGAUGUCUGACCAUGCUGACAGGUGCUGUGAUUCAUGUAAAAACUGUGGGUUAAACAAAAAAAAAUUGGGCCAGCACAUUGAUGCACUAGAAUGGCUGCUCAGUAGAUUUCAGCACUUCAUUUCCCUCCUCUCUGCUUCACCGGUAUAUUACUCAAAGCUGGUUCCCCACCACCACCUUGGACAAAGGGACUGUUGUCUAGAUGUCAAGCAUUUUAUGAGAAGCAUGAAUGCCAGUGACUAAGAUCCAGCGCUGCCUCCAAAUUCAUGGAUGCUCAAAGAAAGUGCCGUCCAUGGGUCACCAACCACCACUGGUAUGGGCCCCUCACCUACUGGGCUUACUGGCAGCAGCACCGCAAUAUUCAGCAGCAGUGCUCCUGAGGGUAGCAUCUAUUUGCCAGUCAGCAUUUUGACAUUCCCACAAUGCCUCAGCAUAAUGACAUUGUGGGGGGAGUCAAAAUGGCACCUUUCUAACCACUCACCAGUGCCUCUCAGGAAACCAGGUUAAGAGACACAAAUGCCAGCUCCAUUUUGAAUGUCAGGUCCAUCUAGCUCAGCAUUGUCUACACUGACUUCCUCAGACCUACCUGAAAAUGCCAGGGGCCAGCCCUGGACCUUUGCCUGCAAUGCACAACAUCUACUGCUGUGUUUUGUUGUUGUUUAGUCAUUUAGUCGUGUCCGACUCUUCAUGACCCACAUGGGCCAGAGCACGCCAGGCACUCCUGUCUUCCACUGCCUCCCACAGCUUGGUCAAACUCAUGUUCGUAGCUUCGAGAACACUGUCCAACCAUCUCGUCCUCUGUCGUCCCCUUCUCUUUCCCAACAUCAAGGUCAUUUCCAGGGAGUCUUCUCUUCUCAUGAGAUAGCCAAAGUAUUGAAGCCUCAGCUUCAGGAUCUGUCCUUCCAGUGAGCACUUAGGGCUGAUUUCAUUCAGAAUUGAUAGGUUUGAUCUUCUUGCAGUCCAUGGGACUCUCAAGAGUCUCCUCCAGCACCAUAAUUCAAAAGCAUCAAUUCUUCGGUGAUCAGCCUUCUUUAUGGUCCAGUUCUCACUUCCAUACAUCGCUACUGGGAAAACCAUAGCUUUAACUAUAUGGACCUUUGUUGGCAAGGGGAUGUCUCUGCUUUUUAAGAUGCUGUCUAGGUUUGUCAUUGCUUUUAUCCCAAGAAGCAGGCAUCUUUUAAUUUCAUGACUUCUGUCACUAUUUGCAGUGAUCAUGGAACCCAAGAAAGUAAAAUCUCUCACUGCCUCCAUUUCUUCUCCUUCUAUUUGCCAGGAGGUGAUGGGCCCAGUGGCCAUGAUCUUCGUUUUUUUGAUGUUGAGCUUCAGACCAUAUUUUGCGCUCUCCUCUUUCACCCUCAUUAAAGGGUUCUUUAAUUCCUCCUCACUUUCUGCCAUCAAGGUUGUGUCAUCUGCAUAUUUGAGGUUGUUGAUAUUUCUUCCGGCAAUCUUAAUUCCGGCUUGGAUUCAUCCAGCCCAGCCUUUCGCAUGAUGAAUUCUGCAUAUAAGUUAAAUAAGCAGGGAGACAAUAUACAGCCUUGUCGUACUUCUUUUCCAAUUUUGAACCAAUCAGUUGUUCCAUGUCCAGUUCUAACUACUGUAUAUACAUAGGUGUGGAAUGGGAGGAAACCAAAUGAACAAGGUGAGAAAACCAAAGUGGUUGCAAAGGCAUCCUGAUAACAGAAGGUGUGCUUUCAUUUUCUAUAUCAUUUGGAAACUAGGGAUGCUAAACAUCUGCUUGCCUCUCAGGCUUUGUUUCUGUUGGAGACUUUUAUUAAUUAGUAAAUGUUUGCAAUGUUCUUGGGAGGUGUUAACUAUUAUUCAAAGUAAUUUACAGGUGCAAUCUGGUGUUUGCUAAAAAGAACUUGCUUGCUGCACAGGCAGGGCUUUGUUUACUAAUAGCUAUCUUCCUGAUUCUUUUACAGCUGAUAAAUGAGGCAAGGGGAAGGAAUAGUCUAAAGAUUUUUGGCAGGUUGUUGUUUUCCUUAAAAUGAAACCCACUCAUUAGCCCAUCACAAGCUGAGAAAUAACUCAGAUUAAUUAGGACCAAAGCUGAUCUUGUUAGAAAGUGUGUUUUGAGCAUGUGCAACUGGGAUUGCUUGACUUAGAGAGAAGUGUUCAUGUGGUUGUUUCAGUUACUGCAUGGUUCAACUUGGCUCAGAUCUGGCUUAGUUCAAGGGAGCCUCCAGCAUGAAACUAAUUGACUGCCAUUUGUCAAGAAAGUUACAUGAGGCACUUCAGUCUGCACAGGGACAAUGGUUUCUUUCCCUACUACAGAUGUUAAUGACAGCAAUCAACUUGUGAAUGGUAACAUUUUUGAAUUAAGGUGGUGCCUUGACUCAUUUUUCCUUCCUACCUGAAGAUUUUUAGCAAAAUGCUUGGCAAAAGAAGAUACACUCAGUCUCCUUUUCAGCUGCAUCCAAUGGGACAUGUCUCACAGCUUACACAAGACAUAAAAAAUGAACUUUAGAUGCUUGGGAUUUGCUUUGGAUUCUCAAUCUGUGGCUAGAUUGGGCUCAUGUGAGCCCAAUAGAGCAGCUAACCCCCCCACCCCCAAGAAGGGAUAGGCAAGAGUUGGAGAAACAGGGUGACACCAAUGCCGUAAGAGGACUUGUUGCUCAAAUUUGCCUAUGAUGGAGAAUCUCUAAACUUACCAAAAGCAUGGCACAAAUCACAGCAGCAGCUAAUGAAGCUGUGGACCUCAUCUUAAAAGAAAAAACCUCUGUAAAAAUGCUAAAGUAUUCCCAAGCCGAAUUUAAACUGCAUCUUGAAGACAUGCAGAACCAUCAUCAUGAUCUGAACAUAUGUGCAUGAAGGAUCCCUGAGCACUGAAAGAUAUUGAAUACAGUGGUAUCUCGGAUUACAAACACCUCGGGUUACAAACACUUCAGGUCACAAACUCCACUAACGCGGAAGUAGUACCUUGGGUUGAGACCUUUACCUCAGGAUGAGAAUGGAAAUCGGGGCCACUGCCAAGAAGGCCCUCUGCCUGGUUUCCUGUAAGUUCCCUUCUCUCAGUGAGGGAACCACUAGCAGACCCUUGGAGGAGGACCUCAGUCAUGCUAAACAUAUGACUUUCCAUGCUCCUAAAGGGGCAGAAGGGGUGAGUUUGAUGUCAUUCUCUGGAAUUGUUUUCUACUUGUUUGUAACCAGUGUGUUUCAACAUGGCACCCUUGUUUAAGGUGGCCAUCAGUAGGUGUUAGAGAUAUUAGUUCUUUGGUGGAAGUUUAGUUUGGACAAGGGAGAGGGAGGGAGGGAGAAUGUUGGGGUGUUCAGAGCACAUAUUCUUAGCAAUUAUUUCACAAAAGGGAGAGUGCUAUAUAUAUAAGUAAAUUCUGUACUACAAGAGAUUUCAAUCUGGAGGUAAAAUUCUAAUUGUAAUUCCAAUUGAGCAUUGGCAUUAAAGCCCAAUAAUUUCAAAAUAUACAUGGGUGGUAUACAAAUUUAAUAAAUUUGGUAUACAAAUUUAAUAAAUUUGGUAUACAAAUUUAAUAAAUAACAACAAUAAAAAAUCUAAUAAUAAAAAGAAGCAUGGAGUCCCUGGUGUAAUUUAUGGGUGAAACCUUCAUAUUGUGUCAAGUGGUUUUCUUUUGUGUGACUGGAAGUGACAUUCUGUAUCCUUCCCAGUACACUGCAUGGAGGAGUUGUUUGGUUGCAACUUGCCAUUGUUUCCGUGCCUAAUGUAUUAAUAGUUUGUUUUAAAAGAGGAUGUGUGUGACUAAUCCAUUAAGGGCAGCAGUGCACUGUGGAAUUAGAGUAUAUUAGCACAAGGGAAGGACAAGGACAAUUAAAUGAGUGUGUCACAGAGUAUGGUCCACGUGUGCCAGCAGUAUAGUAGAAGCUUGUUAAAAAUAGAGAGAGUCUCAUAGCAUAAUUCAGAGACAGAAUGAAGAAAUGCAUACUUCAUGGAGUUUGUUAUCAGAUGUCCCCUACUGCUGUGUUUUCAAACCCUGGUAAAUAAUUUAAGGUAAAAAGAUAAAGAAUUCUUGGAUGGUUAAGUGCAGUCAAGGGUAACUAUGGGGUUGCGGCACUCAUCUCGCUUUCAGGCCGAGGGAGCCGGCAUUUGUCCACAGACAGCUUUCCAGGUCAUGUGGCCAGCAUGACUAAGCUGCUUCUGGUGAACCAGAGCAACGCACGGAAACACUGUUUACCUUCCCGCCAGAGCGGUACCUAUUUAUCUACUUGCAUUGGUAUGCUUUUGAACUGCUAGGUUGGCAGGAGCUGGGGCAGAGCGACGGGAGCUCAUCCCGUCGCGGGGAUUCAAACUGCUGACCUUCUGACCAGCAAGCCCAAGAGGCUCAGAGGUUUAGAGCACACACCACCCAUGUUAUUCAUCAAAAAUAUUUUAAAAAUAAAUAAAUCAAGUAGCACCUUAGAGACCAACUAAAUUUGUUCUUGGUAUAAGCUUUCGUGUGCAUGCACACUUCUUCAGAUACCAAUUUCUCAAAAUUGUUAUUAUUUAUAAAAAUUGAGUAGGCUUAAGUCUGCUUGAUUUCACUGGAAGAAAGUUAAAGGACAUGAAAUCAAUGAGAUUUAAAAGUGGCAAUGAAAUCAAUGAGAUUUAAAAGUGGCAAUGAAAUCAAUGAGAUUUAAAAGUGGCUGGAUGCCAACUUUGGUGGGGGGGGGAUGAUAUCACAUGCUUAACAGGUAUCCAGCCCCUCCCACAUGCUAGAUUUGGCCCAAGCAGAUUCUGAUAGGGAUCUGGCCUCUGGCGCCUCAAAGCUUCCCCACCCAUGGUGUAGUGUUUCCAAAAGAGUGCAUUAGGUAAGCUCACCAUUAAAAGCAAAUAGAGCUGAAUUCCGUCCCCAUCUCUAUGUACUAGGGACAUAAUUUCACUUUAUUUUCCUAAUCUAGGCAUUUUUGCAAGCACCUUCCCAUAAAAAAAUGCAGUUUUGUACAUACAGACUUUGCAAGAUAACCUUUCUUAGGUUUAACAUUUUCAGCCUUAAAUAUCUGCCACACUCAGGGUAAUGACUCCCAAUGUUUACACUGCCUUAUUGCUGUAAAUUUUAUAUGCUGACAAGCAGACCGUCCUCUUGGGAGUACCCUAAGUACAAAAUUAAAUUUAAUCACCUAAGUUUUUUUAUUAUCAAUUUACAUGAUUUGCUGUUGCUGUUGCUACAUAGCUUGAAAUAAUUAUACACACCCAUCUCUUUUGUCUUUGCUGAACUAUUUCAUCUCCCCAACCUGUCGUUCAGCUUCUGAUUACUUUCAUAUUGUUUUCCGCCUCAGACCAAGAUUACUAUUAUAACACAAAUUUAGAUGUAUCACCCUUUUUUAGCAAAGGAAGAAGCCUAAUAAGAGUCCUUCGUUUUCCUAUUUCUUAAAGAGCUGUUAUUCUUUAGCCAUUACUUCAUAUUAAUUCCAACUUUCUGUUGAAUAAGAAUGUAAGAGGAGCCUUCUGGAUCAGGCCCAUCUAGGUCAGUAUCCUGUUCUCACAGCUGCCAACAGCUAUUUGAAGCCUGCAGGCAGGACGUGGGUGCAAUGACAGUCUCCGCUCCUGUGGCUUCCAAGAACUGGCAUUCAGAAGCAUUACUUACUGCCUUCAGCUAUGGAGGUGACUCAGGUAAGUGUCAAAUAGUAUAUACUUUUCAUAGAAUCAUAGAAUCAUAGAGUUGGAAGAGACCACAAGGGCCAUCGAGUCCAACCCCCUGCCAAGCAGGAAACACCAUCAGAGCACUCCUGACAUAUGGUUGUCAAGCCUCUGCUUAAAGACCUCCAAAGAAGGAGACUCCACCACACUCCUUGGCAGCAAAUUCCACUGUCGAACAGCUCUUACUGUCAGGAAGUUUUGUAGAUUGUCCCACUCAUGAUUAUGGUGGUCGUCAGGUGUAUGAUCUUGCUAGAUUUGUCAUUGUCAGCAAUAUCAAAAGCAAUACGAUGGCCAGAAACAAUUGCAGUGGUACCUCGGGUUAAGAACUUAAUUCGUUCCGGAGGUCCAUUCUGAACCUGAAACUGUUCUUAACCUGAAGCACCGCUUUAGCUAAUGGGGUCUCCUGCUGCCGCCGUGCCGCCACUGCACGAUUUCUAUUCUCAUCCUGAAGCAAAGUUCUUAACCCGAGGUACUAUUUCUGGGUUAGCGGAGUCUGUAACCUGAAGUGUAUGUAACCUGAAGCGUAUGUAACCCGAGGUACCACUGUACAAUGUGAAAAUCUUUAUGGACUAAUUCAAAACAUCAAAACUAACAAACUGAAGUCUCUGAAAGUCCUUAAAUGAAUCACAGUGCCAGACUUUACCCAGCGAAGAGCAAGCUGUGAAGCUUUGUAUAAUCAGCAAAUGUCCGAAUCUGAUGUCCAACUCUGAACUCUGCUGAACAGUGUUUCCGGAUAACAACUACUGUUUUGUUGAAUUCUUCAUCAGCCAAUUAGUUCAACACUCGUGAGUAGAAAGAUACGUAAUUUCUUCAUUAACCAAACUUUUUUCUAAUAGAUAUAAUAUACAUGAGAAUGAAAAAUACUCUGGAACAGUGCUCAUGCGAUUCCAUGCACUAAAUGCCAGGCCAGGGAUUUUGGAGGACUCUGGUAGAAACAGGAGUAGAAAUUCCUGAUAUUUGUCCUAAGUCUGGAACAGAAAACAAUCCUGCAAAUACAUCAAUAUUUGCUGCUGCUGUUGCUUGCAGUCUGCAAAAAAAUGCAUAAUGGAUUACAUUUGUUGCCCGUUAGCAUUGUGUUUCCUUUGCACUGGAAUGAAUGGGAGUGGGGUAAAGUAAUGGCAGUGCAAUUUACAUAAUCAGUUGCAGAAAUUAUGUAGGUGACAUAAUUUUGCAACAGUGGACAGUGAGAUGAAUAAUGCCGUUUUCAGAGGAGGGUAAACUACAGCGGAAAUGGAACAGUGCUGCUUGCAACAAAUGUAGGGCAGAGCGAAAAACUACGCCAUUUAAUAUCCCCAGCCCGAUCUCACAUUUCAUAUAGCCAUUGGUAUCAUAACUAAACACAAGGAGAGGCUUUCACUCUCAAAUAAUAGUAAGACACACUUAACUACAGCAAAUAUUACACAUGCCCAAAGAUGUGUUAUUUGGUGCAGGCCAUAUCUUUAGCACAGAAGCUCGUUGCAAUUUCUAUUCCUUCAAAUGUAUUUGUUAUCAUGCACCCAUGUGCCUAUCUUAAAUUAGGCUGCCAUGGAGAUGAAGAGAGCUAUUCAUAUGCCUUCUCAGUUUAAUUUCCCCUUUCUCCUAAUUUUUGCAAUACUUUCUUUGGUAGUCCUCAAAGACUGAAAUCCAAUACAAACAAAAAUGCUUUUAGAGAGAUUAUUCAACCUAUAAUGUCAAAUUCAAUAAACUCAGGCAACACAUUAUUUAUAAGAGGAGAGAAGGAAAUGAUGCCCCAAAUUUCAAGUAUUUUCAGAGAUGCUCCGAGUUGAAAAUUAAGGAUGCAUUAUUGAAGCACUGAGAAACCAAAUUGUUAUUCAGAAAAUGGAACUAACAUAAUGAUUUUUCCAUCUGGCAUAUUUAUUCUGAAUCCAAUGGUCAUUAAUAAAUCUAAACCCAGGGGAACUGAAGGCACAUUUGGGGGUAAACGCCUACCGUUAUUUGUUGAGAGAAGCUAAAAUUGAGAUCUUCAGAAAAAUAUAGUUAAUUACAAAUCAUGCUGCCUUCUUCAAUGCCCAAUUGAGCUGUAUAAAUUAGUGUAUGUGAAGCAAAAAUACAAAUAUUAGCUAAGGUAGGCUACACAUACCAUGUACUCUGGCCUGUCUACAUCUGCUGCAGAGUUUGUGGUUUGUUUUUUUACAGAAAUGAUAUUGCAUUCCUAUAUAUUGGCACCUGAGGAUGGGAAGGAUUCAGUCCUGUAAUUGUUUUGGUGGAAAGCUGAAUGGAGUCAUUUCACUCUUCCAGAAAUGCAUUCUACCACUCUGAGCAUACACAGAGGCCUCAGAUAAAGGAGCGAAGGAUAUUGUGAGAAUAGGAUGCUAGAUUAAAAUAGUCAUUGGACCAGUUGGAUCUUCUUAUGUUCUUAAGACUCCCAAGAACUCUGCAUUAUCUUGUGUCAGGGACUGGCUGGAUGAGGAAGAGUGGUGGAAGCCACGCACCCAAGAGCCGCCCAAGGGAAGACACAGAAGAAGAUGACUUAGAUCCAGGAGCCUGGUGGUGGGACACUGGCCACACCUCAGAAGUGGGGAUGAGCUGGGAGAUACUAGAAGCAGAGAGCCUGAGGGAUAGUGAAGAGGCAGAAACAGGCAAGUAACCCAGCACAGGCCAGGGUUAUGAGGUUUGCUGUUUGGAUGCAGGCACCGACAGCGACGGCAGACGGGAGCCAGACCCUGCAAUUCUCCCAUGGAUCUCCUGCUCCACUUAUUCCUAGAAUGUGACAAAUGUUACAUAUUGCCAAGCAACUAGCUAGGUAGGUACAGAGGGAGGCUCCUGGGGUUUGCCGUAGCAGAGGAUCAUAGAGGGAGAGGCCCUGACUCAGAGGGUUAGAGAGCAAAUGAGGGGUUGUACAACAGUUCGAACAACUGCUUCAUAAAAGGGCUUGCCUUUACGAACGUCCUUGCAUUUUUUUUCUUUCCUUAAUAAAGAAACUAAGUGCAUGUUAGCCUCAUUUCUCUCUCUCUGACCUAUGGAUGACCAGCUCUGCCUGUAGGCUCUGCUACAUCUUGAUUCUCCACCAUGAGGAGACUUCCAUGCACAUUGCACAUUUAAAAAUUGAAAAUAUGUGUAUAUUUGGGAAAAUUGCAUACAAAAAUGUGUGUGUUCCCAGUGCACAUUUUAAUGCUGACAAUGACUUUAAAAAAAUACAAACUGAUAUGGAAAUGGAAACUGAACUUAUAAUUGGAAAGAAUGAAAAACCAAAAAUGACAGAUUGGCCCAUUCAUAAUACCCCAUGAUCAUUUUGAUGCUCCAUUUCUGAACCUUUUCCAACUGUGCCGCCAACAUUAAAACUCUCUCUCUGUGUUAAAAAUAAUCUCUCUCUCUCUCUCUCUCUCUGCAUGUGUAACAAAUAUGUGCUACCAUUCUCCUAAGAUAUUGAAAUUAUUUCAUCACUAAACACUUCCAGCAACAUUUAGCAAGGCUUAUUCAUGAUAAGAUAUAAAAUAUAUUUUCUAUUCAGUGGGAAGGGGGAAAAGGACUUUGUUUAAAGAGAGCCAAGAGAAAGACUUAAUAAUCCCCCCCCAAGAGAUAAAUCAUCUUGGUCAUGUAAUUAACUCAAAAUUACAAUGGCAAUAAAGGUACAGUUAAAUUCUUAUUGACACAUUAAAAUUGUGUGGAAAUGUUAAUACAUUUAAUUGGCAUUUAACUAGGUAGCUGCAGCUAGUUAAUUAGAUAUCAAUUUACAUACUUAAUAAAUGCCAGAACAUUUAACGAUUAUGCCCACGCCCAUCAGAAAAGGCAUAUAUAUUAUUGGAUCUCUCUGCUACUGUUGCAUUACCUGCAGCCUCUGUGGAACUUACAGCCAUAUUGUGCAGCCUGAACAGAAAUCUAAAAGAGAAGCUGUGGCUUUUAAGGUGCUGGUGUUUUCUUAUCCUAAAGACUGGUACAACAAGGAAAUGGGAUACACAUUGUCCCUUAAAUGUUUGUAGUAAUCAAGAAACUGUUUGUUCACUGGGUGGACCACCACGUAGCCAGCUGGACGUGUACAACUGCUUUGGAGACUAUACUUUCUGGGAGCCAAUGACCUAUUUUGUCCGAGAAUGAAGAUGUUGUGCUUCAUGCAGAAGAAUUGUCUGCACUGCUCACCUAUUGGUGGUGCUUCUCUAUUCAACAACUCAAAGUGAAAUUUGGAUGGAAUGUUAACAGUUCGAACGAUACAAAACUUGGCUCUGAUCAUUCUGACAUCCAUUAGGAAAUUUACCAUACAUGCUUCUCCUAAAAUAAGGUGGUUCUCAUUAUUUCUGAAGUUGUGCAGAAGAAGGCUAAAAUAUUUCCUGUGACUCAUCAAAUCAUGCAAUACCACAUUUUCUGCCAAUAUCCCUUACAUUUAACCAGUACUUGAAGAGGACAGCCUGAGCCACUGCCAGCCCGAGCAGAGGCAGGACCCUAGCUCCUACCUGAUCACUCCAUUGUGGCGCUUCUGGUUCUGCGGCACAGCGCCCUCUGGAGGUUGCGUGUGCCCCUCCAACCCCCUCCCCCGCAUAAAACAAUUUUUUUUCAAAAACCCAAACUGGACAUUUCCUUAAAAAUCCUCCCCAAUGGGCAUGUUGACCCCGCAAAAGAGGACAUGUCCAGGUUUUCCUUGACAUAUGGCAACCCUAACUUCACCCGAAAUGAUGCAAAUCUCCAAAUACAAUAGGCACAUCAAUAUGUGAAAUACACAUGCAACAAAUAUUCUUGCAUAUGAAUGGAGUUUCAAAUUCUACCCGAAUGGUCUUAAUCAAGGGUGGGUGUUGGGGCACGGCAAUUGAAGCAGUGCUUGAAUUCAGUCAGACUGCUAGUGGUAGACUCCUUCUGAAAACAUUUAUAUAUGUACAGUGCCCACAUCAUUUUAUAUUAUUUCAAUCAUCCGUAAAGUAAAAAAUGUUGAUUUUACUCCCAUAAUGCAGUGUUGCAGCCUCCUUAGUGAAGUACGUUCUAUACUGACCCACCCAAGCUGACCACUAGAUCUUUCCAGGCUGGGAGGAUUAUAAACAGCUUACUUCUCUCGCUGAACCUUCUUUGAGCAACAUUUUUUUCAUGAGCUUUGGAAUGUUCCUUUAUUGUUGGUUGUUCUUCAGUCUUGACUCCUGGCUUGUUCUUCUUGGUUUAUCCUCUGGUUUUGACUUGCUCUUCAGUCCUGGCUCUUGGGCUUAUUCUUGCUUCUUGACUUGUCCUCCAAUCCUUCUUGCUCUUUUGUUCUGACUUCUGGCUUGACUCAUUACACUUAUCAGUUCAGAGCAUUGACCUGUUUCGUUGCUUGGCUCCUUACUUCAGAGUGCUGCGGUGGCCUAACCCAGACAACAGACUAGAAAUAAGUACAGCACAGAGCACUAGAGCACAUACUUUUCAGAUUGACUUGUGACAGCACACACUUCCCCUGACCUCACAAAUUCAUGACUAAGAUGAGAGAUUUGAACUGAGGGUUGUCCAGCUCAUAAACUUAAUCGUUGCUCUGCAUCAGCUAUACAAGGAAUAUUAUUCUCCAAAACUCUGGACCAACUUUGAUAACAGACUUAAAAAACAAGACAACACAAAAUUAAUGAGUUUUCAAAGUUGCAUGGAAUGGCUUAACCAGUGUCCUUAAAAACCAAGUAGAAGCGUGCAGUAGCAAAAUGUUUAGCAAUUAAAAAUGGAAUUUUGACCUCCACCGAGGUCAAGUGAGCAACCUCAUGAAACUUCCACUCAGCACAACAGUUUAAUUAUAAGUCUAUAACCUAUGAAAACAAGUGGGAAUACUCUGUUGCUUAUGUACAAAGGGCAACAAAAGGGCUGUGUCUCAAAGGAUAACAGAAGGGCUAAUUUGCAUGCUGCGCCUUCAUGACAACCACUCUGAAUAAGGCAGAUGUACAAAGUUUUGUUGGAAUCCACCACCAAAACAAUCAGACUUAUCCUUGUGUGUGUCCAUGCUUUGAUGCUGUCAGGCUUCAGGGAAUCCAGUCCCUCCCACAGUGGCAGCCAAGAAGCAGAUAAACAAAAACCAGGUCUUACCAAGUAAUUUAUUCACUAUGCACAGAGAGAGACGAAGGAAUGCAGUCUACCUAUGAUAAUGGCAUUGCUCCAAGUAAAGUCCCACCCCCUCCAUCUCUCCUAUUCUAUGUCACCCCUGUGUUGGCUAAUCUGAGCUUUCUGCCUCUGAGUUUUCUGUUCCACUACUCUCAAUGCACACCUGAUCCUGGGAGGGGGGGGUCAGGCAUGCUGCCCAAGGACACUGAGUCUGUCAUGGUGUUUCUUCUUCCUGCUGUUCCUCUUUCAAUAUUUCCCAUCUUCUCCCCUCUGCAGCCUCUGAACUAUGCCCUUCUACAAACCACUGUUCUAAAUCUGUACUAUCCUUCUGUUCUCGGGAAGGUUUAGGAGAAGGGGGGGCAGUCCCCACCAUUCCUCCUCAGUCCAGCCCCUGACAGAUGCAUUCAUUGAGCUCUUACCUGAUACAGAGAUCCUAUAUUGGGUCCAGUCUUUGGGAAAGUUCUGUGCAUGCAUCACUGUUGCAUACUUAGACUUCCCUCAAUAUUGGAAUGAAUGGGGGAAAUCUGCUGAGAGCUCCAUUAACACACCAGGAGGCCUACAGAAUUAUAGACGGAGAUCAAUGUAUGUGAGAACAGAGAAACCAUUCUAUAUGCAUUAAUUUAUUAUCUGAUUCCAGAUUUAUUUCCUCCAGCUCCAGAAUAAUCACACUGCUUAAUGCCUUUCGGGGAAUUGCCCCCAAUAUCUAGCUAUUGCUUGGAAAGUACUGAAAUGAACUACAUUGCUAUGUAGUUGAGUUUUAAAGAGACAUUUGUAAAGAAAUAAGGCCAAAUUCCUCUGUUCAGUUAAUGUGGCUUAACUGUUGGUUAAGAGUGGAGUUAAUGGCAAUCAAUGUAAUGGAAAAUGAAAUUUGCCCUUGAAAUGUAAAUGUUACAAUCUUGCAAAGUAUGUCAGACAUUCCUCUAUAAAGUCACUGCAACACUUUCUCAUGCUAAUCAAAAUUUUAUUUACAUUUAAAAAUAAUCCUUUUAAUGAAGCGCCUACCAGUUUCAAAUAUCACCAGCACUGAAUGUUCAAACUGAAAAAGUACAAACUGCAUAGCAUGCAAAUUUUUCACAAGAAGGUAGAGAUUAGUUCACCCCCUGACUUUUAAGAUAUAUUAAUAAGGCAUGGCUUGAUGAUUGCAUUGCUGAAAGUAUAAUAUGGUUAACAAAGAACUUUUUUUAAUCUUCUACAUAAUCCUUGGAAUAAGAAAUGCUUUUUAAAAAUGUUUCUAGCCCUUAUGACUUUGAAGAAAAGCCUGCAAUCAUUAGUAUAUUUUCAUAUAUCUUUUUAAGGAUACAUCAGAUGUUGAUCAAAAUAAUGGGCUGCAUUCAACUAACUGGGCCUGCUAGCAGAAGACCAUGCAAGGACUUCUGUUAGCUCAACCGGGCUUUCCUCCCUCUUCUACCCUUUGCAUGCCCCCAAAUUAGGUCAGGGGCGGAGGAAGGGGGUACACUGGGUGCGGGCCACCCCGGGUGUCACCACUGAGGGGGUGACAAAAUGCCGGGUGGCACUCACCGCAGGGCCUGCAGUGUGCCCAAGCCACACGUCUUGCCUGGGAAAGACGCGGUGGCAUGGGCGCAUGCAGGCUCCACGCUGCACAAACUGUCAGCCCACUGCCUCCCCCCCAGCUGUAGGGCAGCUGAGUGGGAGGAGGCAGGCAGACUCUAGAGGCCUCACGGUGAGCCCCGCUCCUAUGGGCGGCUCGCCCUGCUCCUAGGCGCGCUGCCUCAGGCACCCGAGUGGCUUCCUCCAAAGCUGGAUUAGGUUGGGAGAUCAGGACAACCCCAGUGCCUGAGGGGAAGGGGAUGGUUGUAUCAGGCAAGCAGAGAUGCUUGCGCUCUGGGAGCAAUCUCCUUAACGCUAUGUUGGAUUUUAUUUUUUUCAGAUCAUAUUGAUUUUGGUUGUUGGGGUUUUUUUUACAGCACAACUGUUCCAGCGUCCUAUGUUCAUAUCUGGUGUGUGUGUGUGUGUGUGUGUUGUUAGAAGUGAAGGUAGAGAGAAACACUGCCAGCAGUGAUGGAUUUUAUUGUCACAGAGUCCCAAACUUUGCCUCGCCCCAGUAUACCUGAAGGAGCAUCUUAUCUCCCAUCAUUCAGCCUAGACACUGAGAUCCUCCUCCGAGGGUCUUCUGCUGGUUCCCUCACUGUGACAAGUGAGGGAACCAGGCAGAGGACCUUCUCAGAAGUGUUGCCUGCCCUGUGGAACACCCACCCUUCAGAUGCCAAGGAAAUAAACAACUAUCUGACUUUUAGAAGACAUCUGAAGGCAGCUCUGUUUAGAGAAGUUUUACAUGUUUGAUGUUUUAGUAUGUUCUGAUAUAUGCUGUGAGCUGUCCAGAGUGGAUGGGGAGCAGCAAGCCACUGAUAGUUUUCUCACUAGCGGUAGCCAGCAUUGAGCCCUGAAAUGGGGUAUUCAGGGUUGGGUGGGCAAAUGUGCACUUUGGAACCUCUGAAAACAAACCUCCAGGGAUCUUCAGGGAUCCUGACCCAUUAGGCCCCUCACCCACACCAGCCUGAAACUGGAGGAGCAAUUUUUGUUUGCUUGUCUGGUUGUUGUUUUUUAAAACACACACACCCUGCUGCCUUGGCUGGCACAAACAGAAAGACUUUGGAUAUGGCUAUCUACUUAUGACAGUGGUGCUAAGUGGGUGGGUGAUAGGGUGAAUAAGGACUUAAGGUACGGUAACCAAUUUUAUUUAUUGCAUUUAUCCCCUUUUCCUCCAUGGAGCUCAAGGUUUCUCGCCCUCCUUGUUUAAUGUCCACAAUAACCUUGUGAGGUAGUUUAGACUGAGACAGAGUAACUGGCCCAAUUUAGCCCAGUGAGCUUUGUGGCCAAUUAGGGAUUCAAAACUCUGGUCUCCCAUGUCCUAGUCCAAUGCUCUAACCACAUUGGCUAAUAUAACCACAUGUAACUGGAACAAUAGCAUACAGUGGUACCUCUGGUUGCAGACAGGAUCCGUUCCAGAGGUCCAGUCGGAUCCCGAGGUUUCAGCAACCUGAGGACUGCUUUUGCGCAUGUGUGCACGGUGAAACCUGGUAAAAUACUUCCGGGUUUGCCGCACGUGCAUCCCGAUGUUUAUGUAACCAGAGGGUUACGUAAACGGAGGUUCAACUGUAUUCUUUCCCUAUUUAUCCCUGUAUCCACUUCCCUUCCCUAUGUUCUUGUUUCCCCUAUGUCAAAUUUCAGAUUGUAAGCCCAUUGGGGCAGGGAUCUGUCCUUAAUUACCCCCACAUUCCUUGACGGCACCAUAUAGAUACUGUAUUGCAUUGUCAUUUCUGCUUAUUGGUUGACGGAUGCCCUUACCAGCAGGUGUCAUUUGAUGACGGCUGAAGCAGAAGGUGGCUGGAAAUGCUUGUGUAUAUUCUUGGGUAUUUAUGUGACUCUUUCCCACAUCUAGUAACUUUUGGUGGUCAGAUCUAUGUGGAAGGGCUUUAUCUACAGAAUUUCCCUGUACACUGGACUUAAAUGCAAUCACAUAUUUGAUAAACUCUCUCUCUCUCUCUCUCUCUCUCUCUCUGUGUGUGUGUGUGUGUGUGUAACUGCUUAUGGGAAAUCUACUGCCCAGACACUGAGGUCCAGUGCCAAGGGCCUUCUGGCGGUUCCCUCACUGUGAGAAGCCAAGUUAUAGGGAACCACCAGGUAGAGGGCCUUCUCGGUAGUAGCACCUGCCCUGUGGAAUGCCCUCCCACCAGAUGUCAAAGAGAAAAACAACUACCAGACUUUUAGAAGACAACUGAAGGCAGCCCUGUUUAGGGAAGCUUUUAAUGUUUAAUAGAGUGGCUGGAGAAACCCAGCCAGAUAGGCGGGGAAUAAAUAAUAAAUUAUUAUUAUUAGUAUUAUUAUUAUUAUUACUGGGAAAUGGCACAUGACACAAUGGAUCCUGUCAGACAACCCAGUGCUAUGUUAGUACUAUUGAGUGGUGACUGAAUCAACUGAGGGGGAGAAAUAAUAAACUUGGAAAUUCAUUAGACUGAGAUUAAGCUUAACUUCCAAUGGAUCUCAAGGGAGAAUUAAAUCUCAGACUUACCACACAUGGGAACUUUAAUAAGAAAUAUGCAUUGUGAACAAACAAUGGUAAAAGGCACACUGAGUAAUAAAGCAGUCUUUCUGUUUUCUUUUUGCAGUGGAAACGAUAAAUAGUCUUGAUACUUAGCUACCAUGUCUUUGUGCUGAUCAUACAUUGCUGACAAGUAAUUUGCACAGUAUCAAUAUUUUUUUGGUUUUGAUCCAGUGUCAUCAGCAUAAUUUCAAGACAAGACGUAUUAAAGUAAUUAGAUUUUUAAUUGAUUUUUUUGCUUAUUUUUUUUUCUUCAGUAGAGGAAAUUCAUCAAUGUUCAUUUUGCAAAUGAGCUAACAAUGUUUUUUAAACGCUGACCUCUGGGAAGGAGGAGGAGGACUAAGGUCAAUAUUAAUCAGUUCAUUAGCACAUUAAUAGGACCGUGGAUUUCAUUGUAAAGAGCAGGUAAGUUCGCUGCCAACACCCAUGAAUAGGCUGUAGUCCAAAACAUGAAAUGUAUAUUCCAGAGGCACAAACAAAGCUGGAGGAGACAGUUUUCAUUAAAGGGUUAAAUUCUAGUAAUAUAGGAAGAGGUUAAUAUAAAAAUACUUGAACGUAAGAAGAGCUCUGUUGGAUCCGGCUGAAGGCCCAUGAGCUGGCAAGGCUCAUUUGACAGCAGCAAGAAACUUCGGCUUUAGUGUCAUCAGCCCAGUCCUGUGGAAUGCUCUGCCAAUACAGAUUCAGCAAACACCUUCUGUUUUCAGUUUUAAGACCCUGUUGAAAAUCUUUCUUUGCUGCCAAGCAUACACUGGCAAUAAAGUAAAUACCCUUCUGGAGUAGUUAGUUAAUCUCUGAUUUUAAAAUUUUGUAUUAUUUUUAUUGUAUGGUUUUAACUUGUGAUUGUUGUAAAUUACUCUGAUUUUUUAAAUGAAUAGCUUUCUCUCUCUCUCUCUCUCUCUCUGUGUGUGUGUGUGUGUGUGUGUGUGUGUGUCUGUGUGUAACAGGUGUACCAAGUUCCCAGGGAUCAGUAAUCUGUCCUCCUCACAGCACCUAUGCUGUACAGGGGGGAAAAUGUCAUUUUUCUUUAUCAUUCUCCAUUAAUUAAUGUGAAAAUAAAUUGAUUUUUUAAAAAAUCAAAGGAGAGAGAAAAAAUGGUGAAAUUCUCAUGAAUGGGAUGGAGGGUUUUGUUGUGUUUACCCUACUUUCCAGGUGGUCAAAUGGGCUUUACAUGUUUCAUGUAAUUCAUUCUAUACAUCUUCAUUCAUUCUAUACACAGUGUUGCAAGCACUUUGCAGCCUUCCUGGGUGCUCGCUUAUAUUUCCUGAAAAUCUCGUUGCAUCCUCAGCUGAAAGUCCUAUAAGCACAGGAUACAGGGAGCUUGUUUACUGUGCACCAGAUAUUUGUUUGUUUUUGGUAUUUUUGGUUGAGGUUUUUAAUUUUAAAAGAAACCCGUGCAGGUUGUUUAAACAAAAAAAAAAAAGUUAACAGAAAGGACUUCCAUUAAAAAUAGAACCAGCAAGUGCAUUGAUCUCAGGCACUUCACAGCCAGUCUCUCUAAAGCUCAGGAGGAGAUAUUGCGAAAUUGCUCUUGCCAUGGGACAUUUAUUGGAUCAGGAAGUGCAGGCAGCCAGGGAGACAGCAGAGUGCUGAAGGGACAUAUGCCACUGGAAACCGAAUCGUCUAUCUCAGGGAUGUCCAACUCCCAAGAGACUGUGAUCUACUCUCAGAAUAAAAAAACUGGCAGUGAUCUACCCAUGGGGGGGAGAGAGAGUUCAGAGUUCAGAGUUAAGUUCAGGCCAGGCCAAAGUUAUUGAGUAUUUUUAGGGGACACGCCAAAGUUGCUGAGCUUUUUUUAGGGGGGCAGGCAAACAUUGUUGAGCUUUCUUGGGGGGCAAAGUUGUUUUGCUUUUGGGGAGCAGGCCAUAAAUCGCUCACCAAAAAAUAAACCAGGCAGCGAGAACUCCGUCUUUCAUUUUAGCAUUUGUGCGCAAAUGAAGGACAGAGCAAGGGGGCGGGGCCAGAUACAUUCAUUCUAUGGUUCAUUUCUCCCUCAGGGACAAAAAGGAGCCCGCGGUUGAUUGGUUGGACAUCCUUGGUCUAUCUGGUUCAGUAUUGCCACUCUGCUGACUUGCAGCAUCUCUCCAGGAUUCCAUGCUGAAGUCCUUCCCAGCCCUACCUGGAGAUGCUGUGGAGUGGGUGAGGGACCGUCUGCAUUCAAAGCAGUUGCUCUGCCACUGAGCUAUAGACCUUCCCCUUAGAUCAAGAGCCUCCACUGUGGUAGCCUUAAUAUUUUUUGGACUACAACUCCCAUCAGCCCUAUCCAGCAUUGCCAAUGGACGGGAACAAUGGGAGUCGCAAUCCAAAACAUAAUAAUAUUUUAAAAUAAUUUUAUUAUUUAUACCCCACCCAUCUGGCUAGUACUACUUGAUGGGCCUUUCGACUCAUCUGCAGGGCGCUUCUCAUGAAAUGGAGGGAGAGUGAAUUGCUGCUCUUGUUGGGGUUAUUGCGAGUGUGGUAGCCAUGGACCCAUGGCCUGCAGAGUCCUUCCCAAGCAUCCACAGAGCCCCCUUCCCACCUGAAAUUCUGUUGUAGCUCCGAAUAGGUGGCAGUGUAUGAAUGUUUACAGUGCGUUUGAGUUAUACCUAUUGACAGGUUCUCUGGGUUGCAAAUGUGCCUUACAGGCCUCAGAAGACUGAGGAGCCCUUCUCUUUUUUUGUGUUUAAUGUUUCAAAAUGUUUUCCAUAUAGAAUCCAAUGACAUAUAACAAAACGCAUGUAAAGCCAAGGGAGAGAGCUACACUCCUUUAAAGUGAAAGUAAAAAACCAGGGCAAUACUACAGCAAUAACAGCAUUCAAAAAGUGUCCUUCCAUAAAUCCCCAUGCAAUGUAGUACGCAUUUCCAAAUGUCCAUCAAAUCAAUCUUUAGGGAUCUGCAAUAUCUUGCUAUAGUAAGUCGAGCAGCCACCAUGAAAUGUAUAAACAUAUCCUUUGGGGAGAGUCCUACAAUUGUUAAACAUUUGAAAGUCAAAAAUCCCUGUGUGGCUUGCUGAUCUCCUGCAAGGCACCCAGGGAUGUUACCAGUAAAUCACAAUCUAACUUUUGCUCACCCCUGGAUUAGAUGAUUUGAAACUAAAUUAUCCUUUCCCCAAUCUAAAACAUGUUCAGGGUCCUGCCCUACAAGCGGAGGUGUAAAUAGGGAGAUUUCUGAAGUGCGCCAAGUUUAUUAAGAUUCUGGAAGUAGCAAGGAGUGGCAUGGUAGUUCAAGCAAUUCAAUCUUGUUCAUUCUGAACAGCCUGUACGAGUUCAUAAAAAGACCAAAAAUCUGCUGAGAACAGUCUCUGGGUCACGGCACUACUGUCCUCCUGACACCAGCCAGAGCAAGUGCCUAAGAAAAGAGGGCGAAAAGCCUGAUUACAGAUUAGCUUCAGUGUUAUUUCAAUCAAUCCCCUGAAUGAAGUUAGCAAUCAGCAAGACAGUGAACAAUGAAGUGGCAUUAGAGAGCCACUGUGUGUGUGCAAAGGAAGAGGAGGGGAAGAGUCAAUUAAAAAGAUUCUGUUAUUUUUAAAAGUUGCAUGACGACUUCUUUUUCCCCUAAAGGUCAAUUACAAAGAGAGGGAGAGCCAUUGGGGGCAGGGCUCUUUAGUCACAAAGUGUCAAUUGCUGUUUUGACCAAGUUCAUCUCAAGUAGCUUAGUUAGGCUUGACAUGCAUCAGGAAAAUUCCUGACAUGUCCUAGAUUUCAGGUGUAAAAAUGGUGUUGGGGGGAAUUUUGCAAAUUGGCAAAAUGUCAGGGAAAACCCAGAUGUAUGGCUACACGAUGGUAAAAGCAGUUUUGAAGGUAGGUUUCCCCAAGAAAGCUCAACAAUUUUUGUGGUUUUCUUUAAAAAGCUCAACAAUUUUGGGGUCUUCCUAAAAAAGCUCGGCAACUUUGUGGGUUUCAGGAAUUUUACUUUUUGAAACCCUAAGCUUGGUGGAUUCUAGUGCCAUAAGCACAAAGAAUCAUCUACUCUGCUGAUCCGCACCAUCUUGCUUGUGGGCUUGUUGUCGAGGCAUCUGGUCAGCCACAAGGAGAACAGGAUGCUAGACCAGAUCGGCCUCUGGCCUGGUCCUUCAGGGCUCUUCUCACACAACAGUCUUAUUAUUGGCUGUUUUCAUCAGCAGACUUAUUGUGGCAGGGGUGUGGGAGAUUAGGAGAUUUCACAAAGUAUUCAUGCACCUCAGAAUUGAGAUUCUCGAUUUAAGUUGGGUUUGGGGAAUUGUCCUGGGGCUGCUUUCCCAACUGGACUUCAGAAUGAGAAGCUCGGUUCUGAAGUCCAUGAAAUCUUAACUUCAGUGAAAGCUGUGUGAAAUCUUAACUUCAGUUCACCCCAUCAGUUUGCAAUUUUAAAGACUAAACUUCUAAGAAUUCUGCAUUGAAAUGUUACACGUGCGUGUGAUACAUUUUCAUGCACAUGCUUCCUUAUAUAUGCAAUUUGGUGCACAAUUUUGUCCACUACUUAAAUUUGCAUGUGCAUCUUUGCAAGUUAUUUUCCCUAAUUUCUGCUUCUUGUUUUCACUGAUAUACACAUUUUAUACACAAGUGUGUAUUAUACACAAUGUGCGUAAAAAGUCCCUAAUAUAUGUAUGCACUUAGGGGUUGACAAAGUGCAGCAUGAAUUUCGAAUAAAUGCUCAUUUCAGUGGAUAGCUGUGUUUCGGUCCCUGUAUUGGUUUGAAAAGUGCAUGUUAGAUGGGUUCACACUAAAAUGCAAACAGAAACAAACUUAUCCACCCCUGCAUAGAAAAUAGAAGCUAGCAAAUCUGCUAGAAAAUUAGAGAGCCUUUUCUGCCUUAUGAACAUAAGAGCCGGAUGGAUCAGACCAAUGGCUCAUCUAGUCCAGGAUCCUGUUCCUACAGAGGCCAAGCAGAUGCCUUUGGGCAAGAAGGAUUCAAGCAGAAGAGCUUCCUCCCGUCCUGUGGUUUCCAGCAACUGGGAUUCAGAAACAUUACUCCUUCCAAUUGUGGAGGGCAGAGCCAUAGCCAUUAUGAGCCCCCCAUCUGCAUUCAUGCUAACAAACUAAUAUAUGUAAGAAUUCAUUUAGAUUCGUACUUCCAUUGAGAGAGCUGUCCUAAUAGAGGUAAAGAAUGUGAGAAGCACUGAAGGUUAAUUGUCAAUUAUCCCGAGAAUUAUGUAGAAAUGAGAAUAAAAACACAGUUUAACAUAUAAUUGUCCUUUCCUCAUUUGUGCCCAAGUAUUUGAUUGAACAAUGCUAAAUUGGUUUAGUUGCUGUCACUAAUGUUUAAUUCUAGGAAGUUUGCUUUUUUUUAAGUGGGAAACAAUUACGGUAGCACUGGAGUGUGCUCAAGGAUCAAAAGAAAUGUCACCGCAAUGGGUAUAGAAGGGGGGACGUAAUCUUGUGCACACCUCCUAUAACUGCCACUGGAGAACCUGACUAUUUGAUUUGUUUUUUUUAAUAACCAACAUGCUGUAAUGAUGUGUGACCAUGAUUGCAGUCGGAAGAAAAAGAAAUAAAGUGAAAACAGUGAUCAGAGCAUAUCCUGAGCAUGAAAAUGAGCUCUUAAUGCCAAAGGGAGGCUGGGUAGAAAUUGCUUCUAACUCUGUGUCACAAAGAAGACUGGCUUGCUUCUGCCCCCUGCCCACUUGCACUGCUCCCUCUGGUUUAAAUAAUUCAGUUUCAGAAUUGCCUCAUAUGAUGGGAACUGCCUUUAAGGAACAUGGCCAGCUCUGCCAUUAGGCAGAAUGCAGUGACUCAAGAAGAAGAGUCUGGAUUUGAUAUCUCGCUUUAUCACUACCCGAAGGAGUCUCAAAGCGGCUAGCAUUCUCCUUUCCCUUCCUCCCCCACAACAAACAUUCUGUGAGGUGAGUGGGGCUGAGAGACUUCAGAGAAGUGUGACUAGCCCAAGGUCACCCAGCAGCUGCAUGUGGAGGAGUGGAGACGCGAACCCGGUUCACCAGAUUAUGAGGCUACCGCUUAAGCAGCAUGUGUAGGGGGGCAGUGGUGGUACCCUACUGUCGGGAGCCAGAGAUGGUUGUAGCUGUGUUUGCCUGUACAAAUAGAUAUCACUUGGCUACUAAUGCAUACAAAGAUUAAAAGUUAAUUUACAUGGAUCAUUACUUGAUUUGUUAACCCUUCCGUAAUCCACAGCAGUAUUUAGGAUUUCAGUAAAGUGGGUAAAAUACUCAAAAUAUCAAGAGUUUCAUAACUCUUUUUCAACCUGUGGGAGAUGGUGUGGUUUCACACAUAACUAGCCUCAAGCAAUUUUAAAGGAUGCUUAAAGGAUCAAUCAAACUUUUAUUGCCAUUUGCUUAUUAAGGAAUGACUAUACCUGGUGGCAUGACUGAGUUUCUGUUGAAGCAUGCUGAACACUGGACAAGGGGGGGAAACCAGCACAAAAGAUAGUGCUAUGCAGUGCCUUUUUCUAAAAAAUAUAUAUGUUUAGAGGUACUCUCAUUUUCCAACUCAUAUUGAAAUACUGCCCCUCAAUGAGGCCAAACUUAGAUUCACAAAAUGUUUAGGGAUAUGUGUACCUCUGCGUCCCCCCAGAAAAUAGCACUAGUGCUAUGCUUGCAUCACUUCAAACACAGCCUUAGUGUUGCAGAGUGUAAAGUUUAAGUAUUAAGCAGCAGCAAACAUGGGAUCCUUAAUGCAGAUUCACCAUGGUAGGAGAAAAAAGCCAUGUGGGAGGAAAUGCUGACUCUUUCCCUCUCUUGCCUCCUCUCCCUAGAUCUUCUUUUCUACUUGGGAUUCUGUGAAACAGGCAGUGAUUGGAAAGGGUCAUAGCUCAGUAGUAGAGCACAUACAUCUCCAGGUCCAACGGAGAGACUUCUCUUUGAAAACGAUGCAAAGCCAUUGCUAGUUAGUGUAGGUUGUGCUGAGCUAGAUGAACCAAUGGGACAGUAUUCAACUAACUAAUAUUCCACUUGCACAAUCAGGCUUUCCCUCUCUUCUCUCCACCAUCGGUGCCCUACACAACCCCCAAAUCUGCUUCAGCAGACUGGGGAACUCUCCAGAACAGAUCUAGAGGGAAGAUUGGGUAUAUAUACUCAGCUCUUCCUCAUAUUCUUUGAAUGCUCUUAUUGUGAUGUCAACGUGCCUGUAAGCGUUUCCUCUCGCUCUUAAACAUGUCCAUGUAAAGAUUGAGUUACCUUUAUUAAUAAAUCAAUGCCUCUUUCAGUUCCCCUGUCACUUGUCACUCACUCUGUACAAGAAGCAUAUGGUGUCUUGAAAACACCUGCUCAGAUGUGCUUCCGCUCUUCUCUCAAGCUGUGGUGAUUGUUGACAAACUGUAAGUGUGAAUCUUUUUUUUAAAAAAAAAUGUUACUGGAAUGACUUCAUGUUUAGAAAAUUGAACCUUUCCUCUAUGUUAUGCCCAUAGGCAUCCGGUUGGCCACUAUGAAAAGAGGAGGCUGAACUAAAUGGGCCUUUGGUCUGAUCCAGCAGGCUCUUCUUACCUUCUGAGUCAAACAGAAGGUUGUUAUGUUUAAGUUACAUCAUCUGAAGGGACCAAUAGGACACAGUCAGCUGCCUUGUAUCAAGUCAAGUCUUUGGUCCAUCUAACUUAGUGUUGGCUCUGCUGAGUUGCUGUGACCCUCUAGGUUUUCAGAAGUGUCCUUCCCAGCCUUACUCUGGCCCUCCAGAUGGUGGUGGACUGUAACCCCAGUUCACUGGCCAUGCUGACUGGGGCUGAUAGGACUUUGAAUCUGACCUGUGCAAGGCCACAUGUUCUCCACUUCUGCCCUAAACUAUAAAUUGUAGAAGCUGCCAACAGGCUUGAGCCAAUUGUAUUAUUAAUCCCCAUAGUUGUUCCCUCCAGGAGCUUUCCCACAGCUGAGUUCUGGUUCUGAGUUCACUGUAAAAUAGGCAAAGGGAUGCACUGGGUGGAGCCAAAGAACCUUCUCUUCUCCCCAUAACUUUUACAGUACCAGUGAAGCCACUCCUUGUGGCACUUAUUUCCUAGGGAUGUUAUCUUCCGGUAUUGCAGGUGAGUUUGAUUGGGACAAAUGCAUCAAAAGGGAUGAUCUGUAGGGGUAAGAAUAGGAGUGUGGGAAGGGUUCAACACCACCCACCUGAAUACACCCAUAGCACUUUAAAUUGCACCCUACCUUCUGAAUUCCACGUGAAUGGGACAGUCCCAUGUUUAAACAUAGGAGUCAGCCACUAUACUUUAGGCCCCAAGUGGCUAUGGGGAAAUCUCAGCCUGAGUUCUUGGAAUGCUACUGCCAGUCAAACUUAACAGCACCAAGUUAGAGGCAUAUGUAGUCUGACCUGGAAUAAGACAGUAUCAGCUGUUAAUUAAAAUGGAGUGGAAAUACCUUGAGUGAGUGCCACUGCUAGAAACCUUUUGCAAAUAUAAUCUCCUUUAAAUAACAGCUAUCUCAGUGAACAAUUAAAAUUGUUUAAAGUGUGAAACUGGGGGCAGGGGAAGCAAUCAACGGCAAAUAAAUUGUACAGUUGCUCUUGAGUAGAUAAGGGAGUACUUGGAGAUAAACACUGUUAUCAUAUGUGUUGAGUAAUUGUUCAGAAAAUAUGUUCUUGAGGCACAAACCAUCAAUGAAUUGUUAUGAGAGUAAGCACAUGCUGAUAAAGUCAGGGCUGAGGUCCUUCGCUUUGUGUGAUGUACAUGCAAGUAAGUGCCCACGCAGGAAAAGAAGAACUGGAAUGAAAAGGCACCAUGAAAGGCAGCAGUGGGUUUAAGGCAUAUUUAAGUCACAAUUCGUACAUUGACUGGUUUGCGUAAACAGAGAGGGUCACAAUACAACCCAAUUCAACCACGCUUCCUCUUUCUUGACUUCUACAUCAUAGCAUCUGGUGCAUCCUGUAUCCCUUCUGUGUACUUCCCUCUUUAACUCAAGGAUCCAGAAAGGGUUGAAUAUUCCAAAAGCCACCCCUAAGAACAUAAGAGCCUGCUUGAUCAGACCAAUGGCCAUUUUAGUCCAGCGUCCUGUUCUCACAGUGGCCUAUGGUAAACCUACAAAAAGGACCCAAGCACAAGAGCACUCUCUCCUCUUGUGGUUUCCAGCAACUGGUAUUCAGAAGCAUUAUUGCCUCCAACUGUGGAGGCAGAGCAUAACCAUCAUGGCCCUUGGUCCUAGUCUUCCAUGAAUUUGUCUAAGCCUCUUUUAAAGCCAUCCAAGUUGCUGACUAUCACCAUAACUAUGCACUGUGUGAAUAGGGACUUCCUUUUAUCUGUCCUGAAUCUUUCAGCAUUCAUUGGAAGUCUGUGAGUUAGAGCGUUAUGGGCCUUCCGGGGUGGCGCCUCCGGAAAAUGGCGGAAUUCCCUUCGGACUGAAGGGAACCCGCUGCACGGAGGCUUGGGUCCUGCCGCUACGGCGCAGCGGGGACCCUCAAAAACCACAGGCGGAAGAAGCCUGUGGACGUGGGACUCGGCGGGCACCGUGAGCGCUCUCUCCCUUGUACAGGAGCCCGGUAACGGGCUCCGGAGUGGAGGUGCGUGGUGCUGUGAGUCGACUGCUUCCUCCGUGCAGCAAAGCCGCACUGCCGUUAUCGGAGAGCGCUGCCUUUUCCUGGACAAUUUGGCAUCUAAAACAUCUAUCCGUGAGUACCUGAUCUUGGAAGAGUUGAACUACUUUUAAGACUGGUGAAUAAACAAAUAAUAUUGGACUUGAAAUUGAACUUAAUUGGGACUCGGAACGGAAGGUCUAAACAGGAAGUCAGCCUUCCGUUCUUUUGUUAUGUGAAGAAAGCAAAGACAAAAUAUACUAAAGCUUGAAAAUUAAAUUCUGAGAGAACUAGAAUUCAACAUCUAAGAUUUCUGAACCCCCCCUUUGACUGCAGGAGAAGAAGGGGGUUGUAUUUGGACUUUUCAAUCCUGCGGAAGUGAGUUUAAAAUAAAGCAAUUUUCCACCGCCCUGAACCAGGAGCGGGCUGUCAGAAUUGACGUUUUGAAGUUUAUCCAGCUCGACAGUUAGUUAAAAGAAGGGUAACAUUUUGAUUCUACUGUUGCCUCUUGAAUUUGGAGGGGGAAUUUUGGAUAAAGUGUUUCUGGAAAAAGAAAGAUUGUUGCUGUUGCUUUUAUUCCUUUUAAAAAAAAAUUUCCAUCUAGUGGAAUUUAGUGAAAUUGCAACGCAGAGAGUUUAAAAGAGAAGGACUAUUGGACUAUUGUCGUGGGAAAGAAUUUUCUUUGACCUUGAAGGACAAUGCUAGUACAAAGGCUUGAACAAUUGUUCCUGGAAGGUUUUUCAAAACUAAGUGCCCAGCUGGACCAGAUGCGUCAGGAGACGACCUUGAUGAUGGAAGUUACCAGAGCACAGCAGCAAACAAAUGAAAUUCAGUUAAAGGCUAUACAAGCAUAUGAACCUGCUGUAGUGACGGAGGCUUCAGAGAUGGAGGGACCUUUGGACGGGCAAGAUCAGCCUUUGAACUUGACAAAUGAACUUGGGACAAACCAGAUUCGGAAAGAUGAAAUGUGGUCAGAUUUGGAAAUGGGGGGAUGGAUCGACCCCCCUCUAUAUGGUUAUUUGGACCUUCCGAGUCUAGUGAUAGGCUAUCAGAGGAUUGGAGUAGCCGAAGUCUCCAAGCUUUGUGGAAAUUUGAAGUGGUAUUAUCUGCUGUCUGGCUUGGGCAAUGGGUUUGGGAUGGACUUGCUGCAAAGAGUCAAAAGCAUUUUCUUGCUGGAGUAUCCACGACUGGAAGGGAAUCAUCAACAAGAGUGGCGAAAGGGGCAAGAAAGAGACUUGAGGGCCUCGGAUACGAGACAACCAGGUUAAGGAGCCGGAUUAUUGAGGUUAAAAGGACUGACAAUCCCGGGUCCAGGGGAGGGAGGUUGGAAGCUGACUGGACUGAAUUUGACUUAUUAUUUUUUCCUUUUUAUUUUUAAUAUUGGGAAUGUUUAUAAAUGUUUGAAGGAUGUUGAAUGAAAUUACAUGGCUUAAGUAAGGAUUGGUAAAUGAUUCGUAAAAAGGUAAUGAUGUAAGAAUUUGGUAAAUAUCGAAUAUAAGCUAUGAGUUUUAAAGUUUUUAUAUGUCAAGAGGCAAAAUAGAAUAAGGAAACGUAAUGACAGAUUGUUAUGAAAAAACAGAAAGGAUUUGCUGUAAAAAUUAAAAAUUAAGAAACAAGAGAGGGGAGGAGGAGGAAGUCUAGAAAGGAAGUAAAUAGAGAUUGUAAAGGACUUUAUAUUUUUGUUUUUCUGUUUUUCUUUUUUUUUCUUUGCGGCUGGGUUUUCUUUUCUUUUUUUUGUUUAUGUACUAUUUUUGUUUUUUGUAUUUUCAAAAUUUUUUGGAAAUUUUUGUUGUUAUUCUUUGAAAACUUAAUAAAUAUCAAUUAUUAAAAAAAAAAGAGUUAGAGUGUUAUGAGCGAGGGAGAAAAACUUUUCUCUAUCUACUUUAUAGAUGUCAUGCAUAAUUGCACAAACUUCUAUCAUGCCACAUUGUACCAAUUAAUUGGUACCAGCCAAGUGUUGUAGUUGUUGCUUUGAUUGUGGUGGUUAUUCAUUAACUCCAUCCAACUGAUGAUGGGACCUAGAAGUUGCCUAAUGAUAUCAACCACUGAUGCUCGGCCAACUCAAGUUAAACUGUAUGGAGAUCAAUCAAAGGUACAUUAAAAAAAAAAUUUAAUUCCGAAUGCCCUCAGUCUUGUUCACAAGAUUGCAUUUUAUAGGUGAGGGAUUAAGUCCAGGAGCUAGUAAGUUAAUAUAGAACUGGUAUUGUAAGCUACGUUGGUACUACCAAAUCACUUUCCCAGUCUUAUCCAAACACAAUGAAAGCACUGGUUUCAACUUGUUCAAGGAAGGUUUUUCUGUGGGGAAAAAUGUAUUGAGUGAUCCAAUCAGAGAUCUGUGUGCAUUAGAAUAAUUCCUGCUCCCAUCCCAUAAGCCCCAGUCCACUUCUUCUAUAGCCCAUGUCAGCUUUAAUGAAUUUAACCAAACUUGCAUGAUUAAAUUGUGUCAGUCAAGAUGAAUGCUUUUGACACCUAAAAGAAGGUGCCAAGCAACAGCAGCCAGUUUGGAAAUGAAGCAUUGCAUUAUCUUAAUUCUUCCGAGAUGAAGUUACUGCAAUAAGCAGGGAUGUUGGCUAAGCGGAGGAGAUUGUCUUCCCCUGACAUGGGACCUUGAUUCAGAAAUCCUUUGAAUCCAUUAAGACUGACAAUUUUCACAUUUCACAGAGGGUUCUAUACAAAGUCAAAUUAUGUUGACCCAAAUGAACAGGAAUAUAUAUAUAUAUAUAAAACGUUCAUUGGUUGAAAGCAGAAAUUGCUGGAUUUGUGUGAAAUUGAUUCUUACAUUUUGCCCUCCCCUUUCUUUUAAUAACAUUUUAAAAAUAACUGGCAAUUAACCUCUAAACCUUUUCCCAAACUUGUUCUUUCAGUCCAGUGACGGUCUUUUUAGAAAGAGGUUAGAGUUAAUCACACAUUUUGAGGGUGGGUAGGUUAUUCUGCAUGGAACUCUUGAAGAUGCUUUCAGUAUAAGUAAUUAGAAUUGCUGGUAGCAAUACAAGAUGAGGGCAAGUUCAACAGAGCAUGUCCAAAAAGCAGAAGAGCACAGAGAGCUUGAAUGAGGGAAAGGCGGGAUGAGAGUGAGGGGCAGAGAGCGAAACAGAAUGAGAGAACAGAGAGUAUGUACGAAGGAACCUGCCAAGUUGGUGAUAUUUUGUGAGAGGGAAGCUUGUUAAAAUUGAGAAAAAAAGAAAAUAUGAAGAGCAUCUCAGCAUUCAAACUCUAAUUAGAUAGCAUACACCAGAGAACUGCGUGAAAGUCUUCUCUCUCUGAAGCAUAACCAAAACUAUCAUAGGAUCAGAUCCACAGCUGGUGUAGACCAGGACUGCAAGUUUACACCAGCUAAAAAAGCUUUCUGAGUGCACGCUAAAUAACAUCAAUUUGUGUAGCAUCUUCUGAAGAUGACAUCGCCCAGCCAUGAAUGAAAUGUCAUUAGUCCUAUUUCAUUGCUAAGAUGGAUUAGUCACUGUAGCUACGCACCACUCUGGCACCUUGGGAAUUGUGCAUAUUAAUCUUCUGGCAAAUAUUUACUGAACCUUUUCAACUUGCCUUCAUAAACAUUUGUCUGCUUUCCACUGGAAAAGGUAACUUCUUAGGCAUGAUAAUGGAAUCUCACAGCAAUGAAUUAAACAAAAAUUAUGCACAAAGCAAAAUUAUUAAUAAUUAUGCAAAAUCUAUUACAAUGUCAUGUUCCCGCAAAUUUUGUGCUCAGGUGAAGAAAAGUGGAUCAGAGGCUUCACUCUGAGCAGAGCCCUAAUGCCACUGCUGUUUGCUAAUUGGGCUCAUGAAAAGUUCAGAGUAAUGAUUCCACAUGCCAGGAUGCAACUGCCAAGUAACAAUUAUAUGUCCCAGUAGGAAACAGAAAAGAUACCAAAAAUAGCAACACAUGCACACACAUAGGCGUGAUGCUAAGAUAAAUAUUGCAAGAAGUGAGAUUGUUGAAAUGGCUAAACUCAGUUAAAAAAACCUGAAUUAGAGGGAGGCAUAUCUGUUCAUUGGCGUUAAAAAUGCAUUUUUCUUUUUCUUUUUCUGAAAGUAGUUAAAAAGUCUUAAAGGGCUGGCAGAGGAUUUAGGGAUAGCUAGCAUGGAGACCUCCAUAUGUUGUGGAUACACUUCCAAUCGCCUGUGAGAUUCAGCCAAGCUGCCUGGGCCUGAUGGGAACUAUAGUCCAAGGCACCAUGGAUGAUACCAUGUUGGCUAUCCUGAUUUAACACUAAAAUCUAGGCAUAUCAAAGUGUGGGCUGAUCUACACUAAGGGGUGACUAUGGGCAAAUAUUGAGUUGAAAUUGAUUUAGCAAGAAGUUGAUCUGCUGCCAUCAUAUCCAGUGUCAGGGAUGUGUGGACUUUCCUCUCCUAAAUGGGAAAUUCCACCAGUUUCUUGAAAUUCCCUUUGCUUACCCCAAUAUUCUUCAGAUGUUUUGCCUGAACGGAAACCUCCAAAUUUCUCUCAUAAAUUCUCUUUAGGUAGAGAUGAAUUGUACCUUAGCAAGAUAUGGAACCAAGCACCAGAUUCUUCAGCUCUUAUCAAUUUUUAUUUGCUUGUCUUGAAAUGCUUUGGAAUCCCCCCCCCCAAGCAAAAUUUGACUCAUUUGAUGACAUUUGGUGAUAGUUCAGCUCUGUGGCACAGAAAUGUAUGUGACAUUUCUAAUCUCCUCUGAAAUGUUGCUGUGUGAUAUUAGUAGUAUUGCUAGAAUUCUUUUUUGCUAUAUUUUGAAGAUGUUUCACAAGCACAAUGAGAAGAGGGGCUGAUGGAACAUAUAGUGUGACACAUCUAGAGAACAUCAGGUCGACCUAGGCCACUUUAAGGUAUUGUCUCUCUACUCCAAUCCUAUGAGCCUUGAUGUGGACCUUUCACAUUUCAUCGGUCCUUUCUCCACUUACGGCUUUAGAUACAAGUUCCACUACAUCUACAUCUUGCUGCUGCUCCUCUCCCCCACUGGAACAAAGACACAAGACAACAAUAUGGGAUUAAGGGUCAUAACCUUACUGACUAUAAACAUAUUCAAUGACCAAAUGGGCUAGCAUAGCCAAAGUGAAAAUGUGGGGUAUCUAAAACUCAUUGGAGUCUUUGGAAUUAAACAUAAAUUCAAUAAAUCACCACCACCAUCAUCCCUUGGGAGCCUGGUUGGGCAACACACAGGCCAGCCAGUUGGCUGUUUUUACUUACUUAAUCCACUCAUCCAAAGUUUGUGCUGGGGCCUAACUGGGCUAUUCUGCACCAACAUUUGAUGGGCUGGAGUCACCCAGGCCCAAGGAUAGUUCCUUUCCAACAUCCUCUUCAAACUGACUGGCAGUAAGAGGGAGUAGGGAUUUAUCCAACAAAGUACAUAAUUCCUCUGCCCAAUUGUUAUUGAUUCCUCUCUCCCACUGGACACUCGUAAGACACUGGCUACAGUGUAGGUUGCUUCCUUAGAGGGUACAGGGGAAGAAGUUGGAGAAAAAGAUCCAUUGCAGACACUUCCUUCCAGUUGCACAUCAAUGAGUACAACCCAUUGUGUCUGACAACCACUUGGGCAAAAAUGUAGUGCUUAGAAAUUCAUACAUGAUUCUGUGCUUUUGCAACAAAAGCAUAUCCUGUUCCAGUCUAGAGUAUACAUUUCCGUUUCACUGUUCGUAGACCACAUAUAUAUUUCAUUCUACUUAAUUGAAGCUCUUAUCCAAAGAUGUUUCUUAUAGCUAGAGCUUACAAUUAGCCAAGGAAAAAGAGGGAGAGAGAGAGAAAUGAAACAUAUAUAAUUUAUCAGUUUUGAGUUGUUCUUUCUAAGCUGCAAAAUGUUCAUUACCUUAAUAAGGUAACUUCAUACAUAUCUAGGGAGUGGCUAUGCUGUAAACAAGUAGGUCACUUUCAUGUGGUGGAAGAAAAGAUAGCAAAUAAUGUGAUGUUGAAACCCAAAUGCCAGUCAGAGUGCUAUACAAUCUAUCCACCUAUCUUCGUGAUAGUGAUCCAAUCCAAAGGAUCAUCUCUUUCAGAACUGUCAGUCCUAACUGGAAGUAGAUCAACAGUAUUGUUCAUAGGCCUGUUAUCAAAUGUUAAAAUGCUAAGACUGAACCUUGACUGAACUUAUGUAAAGCUCUUACUCAUACACCAGAGAACUGCAUGAAAGCCUUCUCUCCAUGGACGUUUGACCCAACUCAAUAGAAGCAUUAUUUGUGUCAGAAUGACUUUAUCAGAAGAUAAAUAAUGGGUGUGGAAGGGACAUUUGCUUCCACUUUUCAUGUUUCUACAUAACAUGUAGAGGGAGAAAUUGUGUGGCUCUGUACCAAAAAACACAGUGUUCAAAUACACAACUCAUCACAGGUAAGGAUAGGGAGGUAAUCCAGUUUGGUUCACAUUGAAAAGUAGAUCUAUCAAGGCCUGGCCCACCCAUGAGGUGGGAUGAAGCAGUCACCUCAGGCAGCAGUAGCCCCCAAGGCAGCAUCCCCAUGGGUGCCCCACCUGUCCUGCUGCUUCUGCCGCUGGUGGAUAAGUGGUGCUGGCAUUGAUGUUGAGAUCUCACUGAAAUCUUGCAAGAUCCCAUGAGAAAUCUCAGGAAAUCAUGCCAUAAAUGGGUGCUGAUGCUGGCAGAGGGGGGUGGUAUGGCAGCAGUGCCGGUGGCUGAGCUGAGUGGCACGGCAGAAUGAGGCAGCACUUCCUGUUUCAUCUCAAGAGGCUCAUUCCCCCUGGACCUAUGUAAUUCACAAUUUCAAAAACCACACAGCGAUCCUUCAAAAUGCUUCUCUGAAUUUUGUAAGAAAUGCAUAUACUUGGUGAAAUGCAUACAUUGGUAAAAAUAACAUACAAAAUGCAUUAUAUUGAGGAAAAUGUAACACAUAUAUUAGGUCAUAUUGCAUAUAGAAAUGCAAUUAGAAGAAAUUCACACAGAAAUGUGGGUGAUUUUCUUUUUUUUUUUUAAAUGAUAUUUAUUAAAGUUUCAAAGAAUACAAAAACAAAAAAUAAAAAUACAAGAAAGUACAAAAUACAGAAAAAAGAAUAAGAUUUUUAAAAUAUAACAAAAAAAAAAAGAAAAAUAAAGAAAAACAUACAAGAUAAAAACAGUUAAAAACACAUUAACUUUCCAUAGUAUAACUUCCUUAGCCUUAUUUCCCCGGACCUCCUCAUACCUCCCUUUUUUGUAUUCCAGUUCAGUUUGUUAGUUCAGCAAAUCCUUACCAUUAAGCUUUUACCCAUUUGUAGACCUUUUUUCAUAUCUCUUAAAGCAUUACAGCUGGAAACCACUUAGUUUCUAUCCAACAUCCUUCUAAGAUUCAUUAAUUUUACAAUAUUUCUGUAAAUAGUCUUUAAAUUUCUUCCAGUCUUCUUUCACCGACUCUUCUCCCUGGUCUCGGAUUCUGCCAGUCAUUUCUGCUAAUUCCAUGUAGCCAAUCACCUUCAUCUGGUGAUUUUCAAUGAGAACUUUUUCUUAAAAAACCACAAAUUGAUUCGGAAAUGGGGAGAAGUUGAUUUAAGAUAAGAAAAUAUGAGAAACUGAGGGCUCAGCUACACAGCUGCAAAUAAAACGUUUUAAAUGCAUUGCAAAGUGCAAUAUACAAAUGGGACACUAGAUGGUGACAGUGAGCUAUGAAAAAUUCAAUGUAUUUUUCAAAAUUUUUUUUUUAAAAAAAUGCAUUUUCACAGCAUUUUUUAAAAUAUGUGUGUAGAUUCCACCUGAGACAAACCAAAAUUGAUUGAUUCACCCAUCUCCAGUUACUGGAGAGAGCUGAUUUUUCCAUCUUUGCAUGUUGCUCAAAAGCAAGAAAGGCAAGGCCACAAGUCCAUUAGCAUAUGCACUCUUUACUGCUAAUCCUCAUGAGUAGAACCACUAGGGAAUGCUGAAACCAGUAACCAUCAAGGUUCCCAAAGGAACUGACAGAGUUAGCAUAACAUCACCUUUUGUGUGGCCCAUGCCUGGCCCAUGCUUAACAGUCCUCUUGUAAUUGAGAUCCAUUUCUUCCAGGACUGUGAUAUUGUUCAUCUUAAUGGAGGCAUGUUGAAUAAAAUUGUCUUAAGGGAGUUUUAAAAGUGCCUCAUUUCUGUCUCCUUAAGCAUUUUAUGAUGGAUGCAUUAUCCAUUAAAUGUAAGCACUAUAGUCACCCUGUCCAAAUUGCAUUCUUUAUUUAAGUAAUUUUUAAAGAAUGAUCGUGCACUCCUGCAUUUCUUCAAGAGUUCCAAAGCUCUUGGCCAUGGUUGCAUUGGGAGAUGGAGCAAUUAAAUAUGAAAACAUCUUGAAAUACUUCCUGGACAGACAGGGUUUCCAAGAUUUACAGUGCUAAGUGUAAUUACGCAAUUCACAAGAUGCAUGAGCAUUUUCAGUUUCAUGGGGAAUGGCUGGGAGGGGGAGGGGGCUUUCUGUUCUCUGCCAUUGCUAAUGGCCCACACAGGAGGAUGUGGAAAUGCUUUCUGUUGGGAGUACAGAAUAUUUUAGCACAGACAACAUGCCAGGAUGGGAUGGAUUGCUUCAAAUGCUCUGGGGGUUACACUGUUUGAAGAAAGCAGAAUUGUUCUCACUAUCCUUGUGGCUAUUGGUGUGAAGCUCUCUUAGGAAAAGAAUUGCAGUAGAGAAAAUAAAGAACAAAGGUAAAAAAUAGCUACAGAUCAGGAGAUGAAUUUAUUCUUCUUAAAAGGGUGGAGGGGAAUAUCCGCUUUGAAUUUAGGAGAGUAAGUCCACCUUUGGACAUAACACUUUGGGCAUGUGAAAUAUACUCGGAGUCCUGUAGUGAUUUCAUGCUCUUUAUUGCAGCUUGUAAAAGAGCGAUUGAAUUGCCCGCCAAACCUCAGGCUUUUAUAUACAUUAUUUACACAAUGAGUCCUGUCUGAUUGGUUGAUUCUUCUUCCCUCCUGGAGCCUGAUUGGUCUUUUCCUGCAGGCCAAUCAGUUGUUGCAUUCUAUGAUCCUACCAGCCUAAUAGGCUGAUUAACUUCUUCCUGGAGCCUGAUUGGUCUUCUCCUGUAAGCCAAUCAGUUGUUGCAUUCUAGGAUCCUACUUGCCUAUUGAUCUAGGAUCCAAGGUUAGUACAUAACAGCAUGGAUAGCCAAUAUAGUGCCUUCUAGAUGCUUUGAAUGAUAACUCUGUAACUCCCAUCAGUCCUUGCCAGUGUGGUCACUGCUUAAGGAUAAUGGGAGUUGCAGUUCAACAUCUGAAGGACAUCACAUUGGCUUAGGGCAUGAAGAGAAGCUCAGACAUUUCUGAUUCUGUUAUCAACAGCUAUCAAUUGUUGUUUUGUCCAAACUAUGAACCAUGAUUAAUUUUAACCAUAUUUUAUCCAAAGAAGGCAGGCUCAGAAAACAUUGUAUGAUUUAGGCUGUUUGUAUAAAACAUGGCUUAAACUAACUGUAGUCAGCUUUAUACUCUCUAGAUAGUGUUGCGUGGAAAUUCCCAGCUAAGGCAGCCAAUGGUCCAAGAUAGCAGGAUUUAUAGUCAAAAAACAUCUGGAGGGCACUGUACUUCCUACCACAGGUUAAGCUAAUCAUAGUAUGGUCUGUCUUAGAUGAAACAACAAAAUGUGAUUCGUUGGAAAUGGAAGGAGUCAUUCUCCUUCUUGUGGUCAAACCAGAGGAUGAGGGAUAAAAGAGGGAGUGCUCAAAAGCACAAGGCUCAUUCAUGUACCAAUAUUGUUUAGGCACUGAACCAGACAUUUACAGGUGCCAGGGUAAACUUCGGUGGCACCCACAAAAGAUCUCAGCAAAUAGCCCCUAAAAAGUCACAACACAUGAGACUGUUCUUCCUGCUCAGUUGUCCAUCAAACUGAAUGUUUCCCAGGAUUGGACAUUCACUGUCCCUUUUGUUCUGAGCCGAAAAAAGGUGCAAAGAGCUUCUCUCUGUGAGAGAGCGUGGAGGUAGUGGUUGAUGGCUCAUGUAAGUGCCUUUUUUAUUGGGGAAGGGGCUGUGUGGGGGAUGCCUUCACCAUAUUGUGGUCGGCUCUCUCUGCUCUUUUAGAUGUAGCCCACUUUUUAGAUGUGGCAGCCAUUUUGUGUUAGGAUGUGCCCCCAUGGGAGCCAUUUUGUGACAGGUGCCUGAGGCAUUUUCUCAAAAUUCAAAGUGUACCCACCAGCCCAAAAAGCCCAAGUUUCUCAUUUCCAACCUAUGCACUGUACAAUAUUCUGGAGUGAGGCUGAAGGAAAUUAUCCAUUACCAUCUCCCAACACAAUUAUGUCACAACAUUGCAGUAUUGCACAGCCAGAUGGGGGAUCAAAAGAAAAGGCAGGAAGCAUUAGUGGGGAGUAGUGAGAGAGGAAAGUUGUGGACUUUCCUUCCUUGGAGGUUUUUAAGCAAAGGUUGGAUGGUCAUUUGUCAUGGAUGCUUUCGUUGAAAUUCCUGCAUUGCAAGGGGUUGGACUAGAUGACCCUUAUGGACCCUUCCAACUCUACAAUUCUAUGGUUCUGUAAAGGUCAAGGUAAAGGGACCCCUGACCAUUAGGUCCAGUUGUGACCGACUCUGGGGUUGUGGCGCUCAUUUUGCUUUAUUGGCCGAGGGAGCCGGCGUACAGCUUCCAGGUCAUGUGGCCAGCAUGACUAAGCUGCUUCUGGCGAACCAGAGCAGCACACGGAAACGCCUAUUUAUCUAUUUAUCUACUUAUCUAUUUAUCUACCUAUUUAUCUACUUGCACUUUAACGUGCUUUCGAGCUGCUAGGUUGGCAGGAGCAGGGACCGAGCAGCGGGAGCUCACCCCGUCGCGGGGAUUCGACCCACCAACCUUCCAAUCGGCAAGCCCUAGGCUCUGUGAUUUAACCCACCGUGCCACCCACGUCCCAAUGGUUCUGUAGAGAGGAGUAAAUUAAGGAUGACCAAGGAAGAGGAUUCCUGUGGUCUCCAUAUAUGGCGUCCUAGCUGAAAAAAACCUACGGAGCAAGAUUUGAAUGAGUUAAAUGUACCACUUAUGGUUCCUUCCUGACACAAAUUAUAUAGCUGCUCUAUUAAUCCACAGUACACAGAAAAUCAAAGGUUGAUACUCUGAUAUUUAGUAUAAGCAAUAUACAAUUGUGGUGGGGAGGUGGGGAAAUCUUAUUAUCUGGCAACCAUCGGUGUGGCCAGUCUCACACCUUGAGAACUACAGUGCCAGUGAUUGAAAGACUUAUCAUUCAUAAGGACCACCUGCUUUUCCCUCUAGCAGUAUACAGAUUCAUGUCCUGGGAGGACUUUGGGGAAUGCAACUGGAAAGAUUCUGUAGCUAGUGCUGCUGUUUUAUAUAGGCAGAAAAUGCAAAACUGAUAUUGAUCAUAACUUCCACUGUUACUGCUCAUAGUGUCGUUUAUGUCUUGUUCUUCUCUGGCAUUUCACAUUGUUUAUUAACCCGGUGUUCAAAUAUUAAUUGCCCCUUUGGAAGAGAAGUGUUGAUUUGAAGAACAAUGGUUUGGAGCCAGCAACCAAAUAUAUACCAAACCCCCAGUGGGCUUGUAUGAACAGGAGAAAGGUGUCAGUCAAUGUGCUAGUUCCUCUUUAGCUGCUUAAAUUCAUAAAGACAGCCAUACUAAUACAACAGGUUGCAGGCAGAAGUAGAGAGAAAAAGGAGAGGUGAAUGCAGAGACAAUGUAAGACAUGUUACCUUUGCUUGGAUGGACAGGUUAAAGCAUCUCAUGAGAACCAUGAGAACCACCUAAGCCAGUGUGUCUACAAUAUAGUGCCUUCCAAUUUAGUAGACAUCCAAUGAAAUGGAAUGUUGGACAAUUCAGUACAGUUAAAAGAAAAUUUAUUCACAUAGCCCAUAGUUAAACUAUGGAACUCGCUCCCACAGGAAGCGGUGAUGGCCAGCAACUUGGAUGGCUUUAAAAGAGGAGUGGAUCAAUCCUUGGAGGAUAGGUCUAUCAGUGGCAAUGAGCCACAGUGACUGUGUACUGCCCUCACAGUCAGAGGCAGAAAUGCUCCUGAAUACCAGUUCCUUGAAACCACAGGAGGGGAGAAUGUUUUUCUGUUCAGGUCCUGUUUGCUGAUUUUCCACAGGCACCUGGUUGGCCGCUGUGAGAACAGGAUGCUUAACUUGGUGGGCUACUGGCCUGAUUCAGCAGGCUCUUCUUAUGUUUGUGUAGAUUGCUCUACAACUAGUUUCAUAGCAUCCAGAUGGUAAUCCUCUGACCUGUGCCUCUCUAUCCAGCCCUCAGCACUCUCCUCUGGCCACAAUCCUCUUGACUCUGCAUGCCAUUUACUCUGGCUUCUCCUGCUUUUGGGCUCCUAGCCUUCCACCCUGUCCCUCCCAAUGGACACCAGCCACCACAGAUCCUAGGCCUGAUUCAUACACGCACAUUCAUCCAAUGCGUGUUACAGUCACAAACUCCUUUUCAUCAUUUGGCCCCCAGGCCCCCAAUCACACUUCAAGUGGUGUUGCUUUAAGCCAGGCAUCCCCAACCUGCGGCCCUCCAGAUGUUUUGGGCUACAACUCCCAUGAUCCCUAGCUAACAGAACCAGUGGUCAGGGAUGAUGGGAAUUGUAGUCCAAAACACCUGGAGGGCCGAAGGUUGGGGAUGCCUGCUUUAAGCUCACAUCAGAGCAGCAAAGGGGACCUUGACUGUCUCAUUCAUAGUCAUAGCUUCACAAGUGUGGUUGUCAGGAGAAUUAACAUGAGCAAACCUUGCUUAGGUUGUUGUUUUCUAUGUGCAACCAGUGGAUAUCCUGCAAGUCUACAUGGCAGAUUUGUCAAUGUAAUAGGUGAGUGUUAUGAUGCAUGGCCAGACAAGUCUUAGCAAAUGCUCUGAGUGAAUAAAUGAGGUGAGGCAGGCUGAGCAUAAUUGUCAAUUCUGUUUGCACUAAUCGGCAACUGAUUUAUAAAGUGGGAAACAAAAACAAGAAGCCACCAAGGAGAGCAUGAAAUGGGACAGAAGAGUAUAUUCAAGCUUGACAACAGUGUUUUAUUAAGUACCUCAGUGAAAUAGCAUGGAGAGGUGGUCCGGAAUUAUUUGAUCAGGCAAGCUCCCAUAUUGACUGCAGCAGUGUGCUUCAUGUAAGGCUACAAUUGAAAAUGCUCCAGAAAAUGCAGUUAGGGAAGAAUGCUUCUACAACAGUCCUGACUGGCACGUCAAAGUCAAUGACACUUGACUUUCAGGAUCUGCACUGGCUGCUGUAUGUUACCCAAUUUAAGACAUUGAUGUUAACAUGGAACCGCCUGAAUUACAUCGGACUUAGGUAUCCGAUAGAGCACCUCUUCCCAUAUAUCCAGGCUUUGAAGUUGGAAAAGAGGGCUCUUCAUACUGUCCCUAGGGCAAUGUGAGGACACAGACUAGGCCCUUCUUGGUGGUUGCACCCUGGCUGUGGAACUCUCUUUCUUUGGAGAAAUUGAGGGCUGCCUCUUUGAUGAGCUCCUGUCACCAGUUUGCAAUAGUUCCAUUUCCCCAGGCUUAUGGUAGUUUUCAGCCACAUUCACUAGGGUUACCAUAUUUCAAAAAGUGAAAAUCCAGACACAAAAGUUGGGCAAAGUUGUUGAGCUUUUUCAAACAACUAUGGCUUUCCCCCAAGAUUUCCGGGAGCUGUUAUUCAUUAAGAGUGCUGAGAGACCCUUACUCCCCUUACAGAGAUGCAAUUCCCGGGCUUCCUGGGAGGGGGGGAAAGAGUAUUGAUUGUUAAAGUACUCUGAGAUGUGUGGCUCUGAGGGGAAUGCGUUGUCCUAGCAACUUUCAGCUUCCCAUUUUUGUGUGUGUGUGUGGAAAGCCAUGAUGGUCUAAAAUAGUAGCAUAGUGCUUUAAAUCUGUGGUGUGAAUGUGGCCUUAAUGAGCCAACUCCAGAACAGAAUAUUGUGUUACUGCUGUACUACUGUGGUCAACUUCUCAACUUGUUUUAUCUGCAUCUGUUUCUUGGUUUCAUGGAAUCAUAGAAUUGUAGAGUUGGAAGGGAUCCCAAAGGUAAUCUAGUCCAACUCCCUACAAUGCAGAAAUCCCUGCUAAAGCAUCCAUGACAGAUGGCCAACUUCUGCUUAACUUCUGCUUAAAAGCCUCCACGGAAGGAGAGUCCACAACCUUCUGAAAGAGACCAUUCCACUGUUGAACAGCUCUUCCUGUCAGGAAGUUGCUCUUGAUGUUUAGUCAGAAUCUCCUUUCAUGAGGCUUAAAGCCAUUGGUUCGAGUCCUACCCUCCAAAGCAGGGCUUGUUUCAUUUAAACACUAUUAUUUUGACUGUUUCUAAAAAAAUUAAAAAUACUGUUUUAAAAUAUUUCAAAAAAUAAGAAACUUUGUAGUGCAAGCUAAGGACGUACAAGACCAGAAAGAAGCUGACCGGAUCAGGUAAGUUUGAGGCCUGCUGUUUGAGGACAGUGCUGUGAAGGUGACUGUAAUAAUGAGGAUAGGAUUAGAAAAAGCAAAUACCACCAUUGGAGGGUGCGUAACGUCUUGACAAAUAGAAAGUUCCAUAUUAAUCUAAAGAUUAGAUCCUAUCAUACAACUAUAUCGAAUAUGUUUCAUCACGUGGUAGAGACCAGCUAGUUGACAACAGCGAAAAAAAUAAAUUUGGAAGUUUCUUAUCACAGAUGAAUGGGGGGGGGGGACUCUGAGUUUUAUGGAAGGUCAAACUUACAAAGUGAGAGAUAGGAUUGUUUUCCAUGUUGCAUGUGUGUGUGUGUGUGUGUGUGUGUAAUAUUGGGUAGAGGUUGUUGAGUACCAAGUGCACACACAGUGCGUAAGUGAUAAACACCCCAUGUAUUUUGCAAAGGUGCCGUUACCCUGCAUACUUAGAAAAAAUGCAACCGCUGACCUGUAGAAUCUAUUUAUCUAUCUUUUUGUUUGUUUUAUUUAGCAACAUUUAGAUACUGCUUAAUCAAUUAAUUAUUAUUAGUUUAUUUCUUAAUUACCCACCCUUCACCCCAAGGUCCCAGGGUGGGUUACAGUAUUAAAGCACAAUAUUAAAAAAAAAAUUUAAAGCAACUUACAUAUUAUUAAGUAUUAUAUUUUUCAGCAGUUUACAUAAUAGUAUAGAAUAUAAAUGAAAAUGCAAUAGAAACAGAUGUCAAAAGCUGUGGACACAAUAAAAUUAUCAGAAUAUAGAUCAAAUCAACAGGAUUUUUUAAAAAAAGAACAAAUAUAUGAGUAUAAUGAAAUUACAUGUCUGCUCAGGCUUGCCAAAGCAAACAAGUUUUUAGUACGUGUUGAGAACAGUAUGAUGAAGUUCUUUGCCCCAUAUUAUUAGGCAGGGAGCAAUAGGUGCUGCCACACUAAAAUAGUGAUUGCUCACAAGUGAAGAAAGAACACUAUGUGGCACUUGUAAAAGUGCUAGUUCCACAAACUGAAGUGGUUGGGUUGGCAUAUCUGGGGUAAGCAAUUCUUUAAGGUAACAUCAACAGUAUGUGAUGAGAAAGUGAGAGAGAGGUUUUGUCUUCCUUCAUGCAUUAUACACAGCAGGGUCGUACUGAAUGAAAUUUUCAGAGCAGGGAAAACCUCCUUCAGAAGUUCGCAGCCAAUCAGAAUACACGCUGCCUCAGUAAAGAUCAUGCUACUUAGUCUAGUUGCCAAGCAACAUUUCCACCAGUCCCCUCUCUUGACUCAUUGACGUUAACCCUUAAAUUGCAAUCUGAAUGAACUCUGUUGUUGCACUUCCAACAAAAUGGGUGGCAUUCAACUAAGUUUUAAUCACAGUCAACCAUUUGAAAUUAAUGGGCCUAACUCAACCAUGUUCAUUUAUUACAGUGAGUCUACUCUGAGUAAAACCUACUCAGAACAGUGCCAGAGUAAAUGCUUUGAGUGUAAAAGUUGAUGGGUUUAAAGAACAUGGAUUAGCAAGGUGGUGUUCAGAAAGCAGUAUUCUAGUCCUCCUAAUUAACACUAAACAUUGUUUUUCAUCUCAGACUUUAUUGUUGCCAGCUAUGGAAACAUUUACCUGCUGAAACUAUUCCCCAUUUAAUAAGCAGCUUGUUGAAUAUGCCUUUUUCUUGUUCCAUGCAGACUUCUCUUUGCUCAGGUGUAUAAAGUGGGUGUAGAAUACUCUUUGUGCAUUUAUACCAUUGCUAUCUUUUCUCUUCUUUUCAGCUGUCCACUUUCCUCUUCCUAGAUAAUGUUUCUAAGCCCAUUUUUUAAAACAUAUGACAGCCUUUCAGUAACAUAUUCCCCAACCCAGCAAUCAUGAUGCACGAAGCUUUUUCCCCUCUUUGCCUUUCUCCACACUACAAAGAAAGGGAGUAACAAAGGUUCUUCAAAGAGCAGCUUGUAGAGGCUCCCCAAGUUUGCAUUUUCUCCCUACAAUAACAAAUGCGGUUCUUUCUCAGGUAGUGCAUUAAUCCCAUCCCGACCAAAAAUGGGUUAGCAAGCAUAUAAAUGAGCUCAAUCACCCUUCACUCAACACCAUCUCAAAUCUUGGAGAGGUGAGUUAAAAGGAAACAGUUUACAGUCUCAGAGGGAGCGACCAGGAGGAAGGGAGGGGGCUGGCUUUCCAUCUCUCACAGUUAAAACUAAAAACUUGUAGCCAGGAAUAGACUACAAUACAAUACCUUCCAGAGCCUCCCUGAAAGAAGGACUGGUGGUUAGGCAUUGCUACCUGUCAGUUAUCAAAACUGGAAGAGAUUUCUGCAGACAGUAUCAUACUCAAAGCUGGCAAAUCAUGGAAGAAUAACAGGCAGUAUUACCCCCAUGCUGCACUAUCUUAGGUACACAGAGGGCUGGGGCAGAAAUUCAUUUCAGUUCAUAUUUAAAAGCAUAUCCACCUAAUUUGUGCUUUGCAAAACAACACGUGACCCAAACCACAGCUUUGAGACAGAAUUUCCACUUCUCCCAAUUCAGCAAUUCAGUUAUCCAGACAAAUUGUAUGUCAAUUAUUAUUAUUAAUAAUAAUAAUAAUAAUAAUAAUUUAUUAUUUGUACCCCACCCAUCUGGCUGGGUUCCCCCAGCCACUCUGGGUGGCUUCCACAAAUACCAAAAAUACACUAAUAUAUCAUACAUUAAAAACUUCCCUGAACAGCCUUAAGAUGUCUUCUGAAUGUCAGGUAGUUGUUUAUCUCUUUGACAUCUGAUGGGAGGGCGUUCCACAGGGCGGGCACCACUACCGAGAAGGCCCUCUGCCUGGUUCCCUGUAGCUUUGCUUCUCGCAAUGAGGGAACCGCCAGAAGGCCCUCAGUGCUAGACCUCAGCGUACGGGUAGAACGAUGGGGGUGGAGACGCUCCUUCAGGUAUACUGGGCCAAGGCCAUUUAGGGCUUUUAAAGGUCAACACCAACACUUUGAAUUGUGCUCGGAAACGUACUGGGAGCCAAUGUAGAUCUUUCAAGACCGGUGUUAUGUGGUCUCGGCAGCCGCCCCCAGUCGCCAGUCUAGCUGCCACAUUCUGGAUUAGUUGUAGUUUCUGGGUCACCUUCAAAGGGUCACCCACGUAGAGCGCAUUGCAGUAGUCCAAGCGGGAGAUAACUAGAGCAUGCACCACUCUAGUGAGACAGUCUGCAGGCAGGUAGGGUCUCAGCCUGCAUACCAGGUUGCAUCUACUAAGGGGAGACAUGUACAUACAAAGACAUACAUUAGCGAAAAUAACACCAAAAUGCAUUAUAUGAGACAAAAUGCUUUGCAGAAAUUGCAUAUAAACAUGUGUAUAUUAAGAGAAACUCACUUUAAACUGCUGGUGGAUUUUCACGAGGACUUGGAAAAAAGUACAAACUGAUGUGGAAAGCUGGAGCACUGAACUUAGGGUGGAAAAAUGAGAAAGUGAGAGACACUGAAUCCCCCUCCCCCAUGCGUCCCUCAGGCUUUCCUCCGUGCAGGUAACAGAGCCAGAUGCUCAUUCCUUGGGGGAAAUGCCCUCUGCUAAGCCCCUCCACCACUAGCUGGUCCUGGGGGUGCUUGAGAGCUUUUAUGGAAAAUUAAAAUGGUGGUUUGGCAGGCCAAAAAGAAAAUUCAAACAUUGUCCUAGAGCAGAAGGGAGCAUUGGGCUCUGCCAUGUACAGGAGCCUUGGCAACUGCCCAAGAUUCUCAGGUGUGAUGCAGAUUCUGAGUCCUUCUUCAUGUUUGAUCUCAGACCAUGACCUUGAAGGAAUUUAAUAGGAAUGAAUGAUUCAAUGUGUGAUUUGAUUCUUAGUUGAGCCAUUGCAAAAUUUUACAAGGAUGGCGUUUCACCUAAAACCCCAAAAUACUCUAGGGCAUUGCAAUGGGUGGGGAGUUGGCCCCCUUAGGAAUAGUUGAGGUCCCUUUGAAUUUUUAUCUUUCUAGUAUUCCAUGAAAAAAUGGGGUGGCGAGAACAGAUGCUGGUAGUGUUCUUCCCAAUUGCUUACUAAAACGUAAGCUUUCCCCCAUUUCUCAGCUUUCUGCCCAAUGAGUGCAAGUGGAACAGUAUAGAAUGUUAAUGUUAUGACUGCUAAUUUUAUUAUUUUCUACACACACUCAUACAUCCCCCUCUAUUCUCCAUCUAAACAAGCAAGAUACAUUUUCAGGGUUAAGGGAAACAUUUCCCCUAUGAAGAAAUGUGUGGGGUGCAAAGCAGUAGUAGCAAGAGGUGCAACCUAAGGGCCAGAUAGAGAGGCAUUGGGGGGGCAUAUUCAAACCCCAGGCCUGAGGUUUCCCUCUCCUACCUUAUAUAAAAAGGAGAUAACCCCUUAGUGUUAAAAGGACAAAGGAUACACUGAAAAACUCCUUCCAAUGUAUUCCAGUUGUAUUGCCUGCAAGUAUCUGCAACUGCAAAUUUACUUUAAGGAAUUUUUAGGGAAACUGGGUAUUCAGAGGAAAGAAAAAGAAAUGCAAAUACAACAAUUUACCUGCCUGAUAUGAAAUCACUAUCAUUGAAUACUUAAUAGCUUUCUUUGCCCACCUUACACCUGCAUAAAUCCCUCUAGUGCAAGCAAUUAUAGGAAACACUACUCAUGAUAUGAUUUCACUUCUGAGAUAAAUUACUAGGUAUUUAGAUUUGGUUCUUUAGCUAGCAAAUAAAAAAAAAUGUAGUUAUGCUUUUGAAAAUAAAUGUAGGAGAAUCAGCAAGCUGUCAAGAUCCACGGUUAUCAGGGAUAGGAGAAAAAGGCAGGUUCUAUAUUGAGGCUGUAUAUUCCUGCAAAGGGAAGACCACAAAAAGGCACAACCUUCACAAUGUUGCAUACCUGUCCUCUUGACAACUAUUGUGUCAAAAAUCAAAGUGUUGUAGGAGAAGGCAGAGGGAGUUAGCCACUGUGUCAACUGGAAUAAAUUGGUUUUCUUCCAGUAUGAGGGUUUUAUUAAUUUAUUUGCCUCUCAUCUUUAUUUUGCCCUCUGCUUUAAAACUCCUGGGUGGUUAAGCAGUCCAAGUCUCAACAUUAGCUUAGACAGCUAGCAAAGAUUUUUCAUAACUGCCACCAUCAGGAGUUUAGGGUGCUGUGGACACCCUAAAAAGCAGAUAGAAAACAUGUGGAAGGUCUGCUUUAAUGCUAGCAUGAAAGAUUAAAGAAUUUGCUCUGUUUUACUCCUUCUAUUGGUUUUACACCAGUGGCGUAGCGUGGGGGGUGCAGGGGGGGGCUGGCUGCACCGGGCGCAACAUCUGGGGGUUAGGGCUAGGGGGUGCAAAUCCACGGGUUAGGGGGUGCAAAUUACUUGCCUUGCCCCGGAUGCUGACAACCCACGCUACGCAACUGUUUCACACUGCUCUAAAUUCUUUUCUCCUAUAUUUUGGUUCAACUAGGAGAAUUUAUCAGAUUAGUUUUGGAAUUAGAACAUACACCGUUUGCUGAAGCUUUCAGUUCCUUCAGUUCAUCUGCAUCUCUUUCCCAACCACAAUAUCAGCAGGGUUAACAGAACACAUACAAACAUAGGCAUCUGUUCCACCUAGCUCUGAUUGUCUAUAUUAACUGUCAGUAGUUGUCAGGAGUCCAGUUCCCCGCUUAAUAACACAGUGAGCUUAGUUAAUUAAAAAGGAUACUUUAUUGUCAAAACAAACAGAUAGCUCCGGACGGCUUUAAAACAGCCUCCGCCAUCAUCAUUCAAGAUAACCCUUCUGAGGACUGCUUCCGGUGUGAUCAGAAGCAACUGAGCAUUCACUUCAUGCUUCUUUUGUUUGGCUUCCUAUCUUGCAGCCCUCCCAUUCAUCAAGACCUCAGACUGAGUGGGUCAGCUCCCUCCUCUUCCCCAUUCUCUGAGAGGCUGUUGCUUAACUCUUUCCCACCUGUUUGUGCUUCCGGUGAGCUUUGCCCUCGUUCUGGCUUGCCCUCAGCCAUUGCCUUAUCAGCCGGCAUUCCAAGGGGAGUUGGCACUGGCUGAUGCUCAUCUUGCAUGGCAGUUAACUCUCUCUGUUCCUGGCUGCUUUCUUCAGUUGGUAGUAACCCUUCCCUGGGAGCUGGCUGUAAACCUUCCCUGGGAGCUGGCUCAUUCAUGACAGUAAUCUUGAAGGUUUCAGAAGGAAAACAUACCUAUUCCUACCUGGAGUUUUUGGGGAUUGAACCAGGAGGCUUCUGCCUGCAAAGCAGAUGCUCCACCAUUGGACUAUAGCCCUUCACCACCCUCCUCAGUUCACAAACCCAACAAGGUUGAGCAUAGUCAUUGAGCAGCACAAAGUCUUGAGGGGAUUUGUGAGUGCUCAAUUAUAGUCAGAUUUGCAAAAUCCCCAUGAGUUAGUAUGAGCCCUCCCUGCUGGUGUCAGUCCCCUCUCCCUGCUACUCUCUCUUUGCUCAAGAAUAGCAGAAAAGACUCACCAGAGGGAAGUGGGGAGAGGUGGAAUUUUAUGAAGUCUGAAAGUAGCCAGUGAAGAAUAUGACUUUUUCCAGCAGUCCCAUGAUUCCCUAGCCAGAAAUGAGUCACACAACAUCAGUUGUAGCCACAGAGAGGCCACUGUAUUAGAUGACAUGCUGAUUUCCCUGCCAAGGUUCUGCUAAUCUGAGCAAAUGAAGCCAAUUUCCAAGAAAGUCUUGGUUGCACCCAGCCCUUUCCAACCAGUGUUAAGCAAACCCUUGCACUCCAGAGGGUAAUCUGAGCAAAUGAACUCCUUUCAAAGAAAGUCUUGUUUGGAGCUCAACCUUUCUACCAGUUUUAGAAAGGUUCUUGCAACCCACAGCUUCAACACCGCUUCUGUUGCUAAAGUCAUUAUAAAUGUUGCAGGUGAGCAGUAGUUUUCUAUUUAUGAAGUCAGGACCAUAGCGCGGGGGGGAGUCAGUAUCUCUGCCUCAGGUGAGCAUUCAGUGAGUCAAAAGCCAGGUAACAAGAGAACAAUGGCUUGACAAUCAAGCCUGCAGGGAGCCCCAUAAACCCUCCGGGGCUGCCACUGCCAGUCUGAACUUAAAAUAGAUAAAUAAAGCCACUUUGUCUCCCUUCCCUGUUGGUUGUAUAAAGAGAAACAUAGUCCUUGUUUUGAUUCUAAACUCAGCUUCUUCUUUUUUGACACUGUAACACUCCUGAUUUCUGAAUGUAAAAAUGUAGCUGGGCAAAAGGCUAGAUAUUUUGUAUCUAGAAGUGUGUCUUGAAAGUGUAUGAAACCUUCAUUGUCAUGCCAGAUGUUUCAGAACUAAUUUUGGCCUUCAUGAAGGAUUUGCCUGUAGCCUCCUAAGUAUUAAGUGAUGGCUAGAUAUGAGGAGGGAAUUCCAUUCAAUUUUGCAUUGAAAGGUGAACCUAUCUAAAUCACACUUCCCGAAAAAAUCCAUGAACCAAAGCACAACUAUCAUUCAAAUACAGUGGUACCUCGGGUUAAGUACUUAAUUCAUUCCGGAGGUCCGUUCUUAACCUGAAACUGUUCUUAACCUGAAGCACCAUUUUAGCUAAUGGGGCCUCCUGCUGCCACUGCGCCACCGGAGCACGAUUUCUGUUCUCAUCCUGAAGCAAAGUUCUUAACCCGAGGUACUAUUUCUGGGUUAGCGGAGUCUGUAACCUGAAGCGUAUGUAACCUGAAGCGUUUGUAACCUGAGGUACCACUGUACAUAUUUCCCUGUAUGUUGCAGUGUAGUUCUCAAGCCAUGUUACACAAAUGUGUGUGUGUGUGUGUGUGUGUGUACACACACUAGGGUAAAGUGUGCAUUGAAAUGCACAUAUGCCUGUGGAAAUACCAUACAAAAAUGCAUUAUGUUAGGGGAAAUUGUUUUGCAAAAUUGCAUACAAAAACAUAUAUAUUAGGAGAAAUGCUCACUAAAAUGUUGAUGCGUUUUCAUGACUUUUUUUUACUAAUAAAAAUUCAAAGUGAUGUGGAAAUAUAGAGAAGUGGAUUUAAGUUUGGGAAAAUGAGAAACUGAAACUGACAGAUUUGCCCAUCCCUAGUCAUGACUGAAUUAAAUUUAAGAGAAUGGAAAAGAUGUAAAAAGCAUGAUUAUCUCAUUGAUUGUGCCCUUCCCAUCAGAACCAGCUUAUUCCUGCUGGUUAAAGACUUUAUUAAAUUUUCAGAACUAUGGCUUUAUAAGUAUAGAGUCAGGUGGAGAAAAAAACCUAUUAUAUUUAAUAGCAAUCAUUGGUACCUUGGGUUCCCUGAGCUCACACGGAACAUUUACAUUUCAAAGUGUUCUUUAGUCUCUAAAAAAGGAAACAUGGCUUUUCAACUAGUAUUCUUCUCCCAUUUGGAAACAAUCUUCCUUUCUUCAUGUUGAAGAUUGAAUGUGGAACUUUGUCCCCAACCAGAAGAAAAUAUUUAUAUUCAAAUAGCCAGCCCAGGGUUUGAAUAGUUUGUUUACCUGCAUUGAGAAUGUCCAGGCUGCCUAAGGAUUUUUAAUGGGAUUGUCCCUUUGAUUCUAAAAAUAUACAUCAGAACAAUAAGCAAGUCUCAUUGGGGACAGAAUACAUUAUGGCAAUAAUUGGUUUCUGAAUGAUACAGCAAUUUUAAGUUUGGGCAUUUUGGCACCACUUAAAACAGGCAGCAAAAUGGGUUAGCUUAGCAGUGACAAUGGUGCAACUUUAAGCAGCCAUGGCUUCUUCUGAAGAAUUCUGGGAGCUGUAGUUUGUUACAGGUGCUGAAAGUUGUUAGGAGACCCCUAUUCCCCUCAGAGAGCUACCCUCCUCAGAAUGGUUUAAUAGUCAAUCCCUCUUCACAUGAAACACUGAGAAUUGUACUUUUACUGGUGAGAGUCAGUGUGGUGUAGUGGUUAAGAGCGGUGGACUCGUAAUCUGGUGAACCGGGUUCGCGUCUCCGCUCCUCCACAUGCAGGUGCUGGGUGACCUUGGGCUAGUCACACUUCUCUGAAGUCUCUCAGCCCCACUCACCUCACAGAGUGUUUGUUGUGGGGGAGGGAGGGAAAGGAGAAUGUUAGCCGCUUUGAGACUCCUUCGGGUAGUGAUAAAGCAGGUUAUCAAAUCCAAACUUCUUCUUCUUCUAUAAAGGGAAUAGUGGCAUACUAACAAUUCUCAGCAUCCUUAACAAACUACAGCUCCCAGCAUUCUUCAGAGGAAGUUAUGACUGCUUAAAGGGCUUCAAACAUAUGGUAUAAAUGUGUCCCUAGAGUGAUUAAAUAAAAUUUGCAUACCUUCCAACAUUUCUCCAAGGAAAAUAGGGACAUCCUACAGAGAAGUGGGACAUUCUGAGAUAAAAUCAGAAACUGGUAUGACUUCUCUAAAUCAGGGAUGCCCCUGGAAAAUAGGGACACUUGGAGGGUCUGAACUUGAUCAGACAAACAGCAAAGCUAAGAGAUACAAACAGAGGAGUCGUUAUCAUGAUGCCUGGCUCUGCCGCCUGACCUGCACAGAUUCAGUAGCCAUGUACAAAUUCUACAUGCAGAGACUUUUUUCUUUGUGGGGAGGGGCUGUCAUUCAUUCCCACUUCCCACCAUCAUCCCAUGAUAGGUGGUCUCAAUGGGGCUCCUGCCUUUGAUUCCUGCUUGUUGCAAUGAUACCUGAUGAUGUGCCAUUGCUCUCAGCAUGAAUUGUGUAGAAAAAAUGUGACUGCCCCUCAUGGAACUAGUGGAAGAGCAGGCCGGUUUUGCAUCCUCCACAAUGCCAUAAACCUAGCAUUGUUCUGUUUUUUUUUUUUUUAAAUGAUAUUUAUUAAAGUUUCACAAAAAUACAGAAAACAAAGAAAAAAGUAUAAAUUACAGCAAAAAAGUAAAAAGUAAGAAAAAACAUACAAAAUAAAACAAUUAAAAACACAAUGAUGUUCCAUAACCUAUCUUCCUUACUCUUAUUUCCCCAGACCUCCUCAUACCUCCCUUCUUUGUAUUCCAAUUCAGUUUGUUGGUUCAGCAAAUCCUUACCAUUAAUCUUUUACCCAAUUGUUAACCUUUUUUUUCAUGUCUCUUAAAGCAUUACAGCUAAAAACCUCUUAAUUUCUAUCCAACAUCCUUCUAUAGUUCCUUAAUUUUACAAUAUUUCUGUAAAUAGUCCUUAAAUUUUUUCCAAUCUUCUUUCACCGACUCUUCUCCCUGGUCUCGGAUUCUGCCAGUCAUUUCCGCCAAUUCCAUGUAGUCAAUCACCUUCAUCUGCCAUUCUUCCAAAGUGGGUAGAUCUUCUGUCUUCCAAUACUUUGCGAUAAGUAUUCUUGCUGCUGUUGUAGCAUACAUGAAAAAGGUUCUGUCCUUCUUUGGCACCAGUUGGCCGACAAUGCCCAAGAGAAAGGCCUCUGGUUUCUUCAGAAAGGUAUAUUUAAAUACCUUUUUCAGUUCAUUGUAUAUCAUUUCCCAGAAAGCCUUAAUCUUUGGGCACGUCCACCAAAGGUGAAAGAAUGUACCUUCAGUUUCUUUACAUUUCCAACAUUUAUUAUCGGGCAAAUGAUAAAUUUUUGCAAGCUUGACUGGGGUCAUGUACCACCUGUAUAUCAUUUUCAUAACAUUCUCUCUUAAGGCAUUACAUGCCGUAAACUUCAUACCUGUGGUCCAUAACUGUUCCCAGUCAGCGAACAUAAUGUUAUGUCCAACAUCUUGUGCCCAUUUAAUCAUAGCAGAUUUCACCGUUUCAUCCUGAGUAUUCCAUUUCAACAGCAAGUUAUACAUUCUUGACAAAUUUUUAGUUUUGGGUUCUAACAAUUCUGUUUCUAAUUUUGACUUUUCCACUUGGAAGCCUAUUUUCUUAUCCAAGUUAUAUGCCUCCAUUAUCUGAUAGUAGUGGAGCCAAUCUCUCACUUUAUUUUUUAAUUUUUCAAAACUCUGCAGUCUCAAUUUAUCUCCUUCUUGCUCCAAAAUUUCCCAAUAUGUCGGCCAUUUGGCCUCCAUAUUGAGCCUUUUCAGAGCUUUUGCUUCCAUUGAUGACAGCCACCUUGGGGUUUUAUUUUCCAAUAAGUCUUUGUAUCUUAUCCAGACAUUAAACAAUGCUUUCCUAACAAUAUGAUUUUUGAAUGCUUUGUGUGCUUUGACCUUAUCAUACCAUAAAUAUGCAUGCCAUCCAAAUACAUUGUUAAAACCUUCUAAAUCCAAAAUGUCUAUGUUUUCAAGAAGUAGCCAUUCUGAACCUAGCAUUGUUCUGGAGCAACAUUGGAAGGAAAUGGUGUCUUCCACCCAAGAAAUAAAAAAAUGAUGAGACUAUUCAGGGGAAAUUCUCAUAAGAAGAACCUGCACAAUCAGGACAAUGACCCAUCUAGUUCAGGCUCCUGUUCUCACAGUGGCCAACCAGAUACCUGUGGGAAACCAGGGAGCAGAACCUGAGCACAAGAGGCCUCUCUGCUCUUAUGGAUUCCAGCAACUUGCCUCUGACUAUGAAGGCAGACCACAGCCAUCAUGGCUAGUAGCCAUGAAUAGCCUUAAAAAGGUAAAGGUAAAGGGACCCCUGACCAUUAGGUCCAGUUGUGGCUGACUCUGGGGUUGCGGCGCUCAUCUCACUUUAUUGGCCAAGGGAGCCAGCAUACAGCAUACAGUCAUGUGGCCAGCAUGACUAAGCCGCUUCUGGCAAACCAGAGCAGCACACGGAAACUUCGUUUACCUUCCCGCCGGAGUGGUACCUAUUUAUCUACUUGCACUUUGACGUGCUUUCAAACUGCUAGGUUGGCAGGAGCAGGGACCGAGCAAGCGGAGCUCACCCCGUCAUGGGGAUUCGAACCGCCGACCUUCUGAUCGGCAAGUCCUGGGCUCUGUGGUUUAACCCACAGCGCCACCCGCGUCCCUCCUUAAUGAAUAGCCUUAUCCUCCAUGAAUUUCUCAAAUAAGCUUUUAAAGCCAUCCACGUUGGAGGCCAUAGCUGCUUCUUGCAGAAAGCGAGUUCUGCAUUUCCCUCUACUUCCUCUGUGUCUCUUGUGCGUAUUUAUAGACUGUAAGCCCUUUAGGGGGCAGGGCACUAUAUGGUAUAUGUGCUCUGCCCCCAAACUGCACAACAGCAGUAGCAUCAACAGCAACGAUAAGGUGUCCCACCAUCUCUCUCUCACACACACACACACACACACACACACACACAGUUUUGAACGGCAGCCUGAAGAAAUUCUAACCAGGAAAAGUGCUAGCGGUGCAUUCUGACAAAUGUCUAAACGGGCCUCAAGGCUGUCAAGCAGAUGGAGAGGAAAUUGGCGCAGCUACUCCCCCCCCCUUCUGAGACCUAUUAAACAAUUUCCUUCAGCUAUGGCCAUCAUAAUAAAUAAUAAAAUAAUAACAAUGGUUGUAAUAUCCAAUUUCCUGUGCCUUCCUUGUUUUCGGUCUGUCUAAACUGCACCGUUCCUACCCACAUGCAAAGGCUCAGCGACCGGAUGGAGCAGAGGUAUGUUAAGCAUACACAACAGCAACAAAAAGAGGCCAGAGCUUCAAAAUGGGCUUUUAUAGACAGGAUACAAAGUGCUUUAUUAGUCUCGCAGUCAAAUUGCUUCCUGGAGGAAUUGAAAAGAAGGCUUGCAGGCACAAAUCUUCUAGGUUCUUACAAGGUCUUUGAUAAUGCUUUGAAAAUUACAUGUGGCGUGUUAUAGCCAACAGGCUUUUUCUCAACUCAAGCCAGCCCCGCUGCCACCAGUCCCAUCAGAAUGUAAAAUUUCCCUUCAAGUUGAACUUGAUUGAAAUAUAUUUUUUCUCAUUAGUUCCCUUAAGUAGAGGGUGUUACUGUAGAAAAACAACUAGGCCGCUGGAUUUCUCUCUGUGUCUCUCUCUCUCUCUCUCUUUCUCUUUCAUAUUUAAGAGUGGGAAGUUAUUUGCAUGCAUACAUCGCCCUUCAAAAUUUUCAUUUUGGUUUUUGAGCGGCUGAAUGUGGAAGACAGAAGUCACUUUGCAAGGGUGCUUCAGAGAAAAUGUAUGGCUUUGGGGAUAAUCUAUGGCAAUAAUAACGGAGAUGGUGCUGUCACAAAAACCCUCAUUCCAAGAGGCAUUAUAUAGACGGUCUUUUAAAAAAACUGCAUGUAGUAGCUCUGCAAGCUGCCAUUUGGCAUGUCAGCCAUUCAAUCUGUUGCAUGGCUUAUUAAAUACAAUAACUUGAAUGUAAUGUUGUACCUUUCAAAUGCUGUGAUGCAGACGCUCUGGUGUUCGGUACUUUAUUUCAAUUGCAAAGCGGCAUAAGAGCAAAAUGAUCGAUGGGCUUUUAAACAUUGCAAAAAGCAGGUUUUUAAGGGAACACAAUGCCUGCAAAAUGAUUAGAUUGGUAAGGAAAGGACAAAUUUGAGCCAUUAUUUUAGCUCCCAAGGGCUGAAGUACAGUACACUUCAGUUGCUUUAUUCUGCCAUACUUUUAUACACCUAUAAUUCCAAAAGUGUGCCAUGAGAGAAGGGCUAUUGUGUAAUGAAACAUGGGGGGGGGGGAGGAAUCAUAGUGUUAGAAGGAACUUUGAAGGUCCUCUGGUCCAAGCCCAUGCUAUAAUAAUAAUAAUAAUAAUAAUAAUAAUAAUAAUAAUAAUUUGUAUAUCGCUGAAGAUCAUAGAGUGCUUCAUGAAAUAUAAAUACAAAAAGGGAACACAAAAAUAAUAAAAACAAAAACAAACCAAUAACCCCCUCCUACAAACACAUUUCAAAGGGCAUAGAAUGUUAAUCAGCCAGAGGUCAUGUUAAUGAGAAACGUUUUGGCCUGAUGCCUAAAGAUAUGUAAUGAAGGUGCCAGACAAGCCUCCCAGGGGAGAGCAUUCCACAAAUGGGGAGCCACCGCAGAAAAGGCCCAUUCUUGUGUUGCCACCAUCUAGACUUCUCAUGGAGCAGGCCCAUGAAGAAAUACCUAAGGUGAUGAUUGCAGGGUCCAGGUCAGUUCAUAUGGAGGAUCUUUUGAUCAAAGCAGGAUUUUCAAUGGAUCCUUAACAGUUGGCUGCCCAGUGUCAUGCCUCAGCCAUGGGAAUCCUCAUCAGUAGAAGGCCAGGAUAACCAAGCCUUACACCAAGCCUUGGGGAAGGCUCCAUGUGGGAGUAAGGAGCCAGGAUCCUGCAAUGAGGCCAAAGAGAGGCAAUCUGAGCCCAGGGUGAGUUCCCAUCUGUCAAUGAGGCUAAGUGGGUCUCAAGCCUGCAGAAAAGGUGGCGCCUUAAAUGCCAAAUGGAAACUCACCCAUCCAGAGAAGUGCCUGACCACAGGCAAGGACUGAGUAAAGAUCUCAUCGGGAGUAAGACUCUCCUGUUACUGCUCUCCAGAAAAUGAUAUUCAGUAGCAUCCUGCCUCUGAACUUGGAUGGUGCAUAUGUAACAAUCAGGACUAGCAGCUUGGCUUCUUGGACCUCUGAUUUGACUUCAGGCUGUUACUUCCAGCUCCUAGCACAUAGUACCCAACUUUCACUUGGCGACUGCCUACAGCUCCUCACGCACUAUAGCAGUAAUGAGGGCUGUCCAGCUGCAAAUACCCUGCAGUCCUAAUUGGAUGGGAAGCCAUGUUGCAGAAAAGUAUCAGAAAAUUAGAAAGCAACAACAACCCUAUACCUCCUCUCUUCAAAUCACCAAAACCCAAGAAGCUGAAUGCACUAUUUAGCAGUAAGCAGUAAAGCCCACCACUGGCUGGACCUGAGGUUAAUGCUAUUGGUGGCCACCUCCACUACUGGUGGCUGUCUUGCCUUGAAUAUUAGUUGCUGGAAAUCACACGUGUGGAGAGUGUUGUUUCACUCAGGUCCUGCACUUGUGCUUCCCCUAGGCAUUUUGUUUGGCCACUGUGAGAACAACAUGCUGGACUCAAUGGGUCUUUGGCCUUACCCUUCAGUACUAUUAUAACAUUCUUAGGUGAAAGGAAAGCCAACAGCUUGCCUAUUGCUUCCAUUCUGUCAGGCACUGUCAGACUUCAGGGAAACUGACCCCCCUCCCGCACAGCAGGCUGCCAGUAAUGAAAUGACAAGAAGCUAUUUAUUCAAUAUUCACAGAGAGAGACAUAGAAAUGCCAUCUCUUGGAUAAUGGUGUUGCUCUGAGUAAAGCCCCACCCCCUCCAUCUCUCCUAUUAUACAUCAUCCCUACAUUGGCUGAUCUGUGCCAUCUGCUUCAGAGCUUUCUGUUCUCCUGCUUUCAAUGCCCCCCGGGUCCUGGAAGAGGGGGGAUCUGGAAUGCUUUCUAAAGAUACUGAGUCUGUCAGCUGUCUCUCCCCUGGUGCUGCUGCUGCUUCUUCCUGCUCCUCUCCCAGUUUCUCCCCUCUGCAGCCUCUGAACUGGGAUCUUCUGCAAACCACUGUUGUAAAUGUACGCUGUCUCCCUCUUCUCUGGGAAUUGCAGGAGGAGGGGGGUGGUCUCCACCAUUCCUCCUCAGUCGGUCCCUGACAGGCACCUAAAGGGGAGAAGUGAAUUGGGUUCAGAAGAUGGGUGUGCAUGCACACUGCGGCAUACAUCCUCUAAAAUCCCAUUUCCACGACACUGAGGAUUCUUUUAGCUGCAGGGAGGGGCUGCACCUUUGUAGUUCAAAAGACUGCAGAGGAAGAAAUUAACCUCAGAGGAUGAACUUCCGCUGAGCCCCGCAUUCCUCCAUUUACUCAUAAAACUUCCAUGGGUCCCUCCUCGUUUGGCUUUAUUGGAUCUUAAACAGCAACUUAAUCUAAAUAAGUCUCCUCCAUAAACUUAUAAUCUGCUCUCUCCUUGCAUCACAAAACACCUUCCGGGAGCCAAGACAAUAGAAAACAUUGCUGAUUAAAUUCUACCAUGCUGGUAAUAACAGUCCACUUAGGCGAGGGAUGGAAGGAGUCACACAUCGGUGGUCCUAAGGUUCAUCUCUCGCAGGUUUCAGCUGAAACUCAGCUACCGCAUAACAGGUGGGAUGUCGAUUCUCUUAAUUUAAAUUAGCUUUGGAAAAAGAUGGCCUGAGCUACAAUAUCUCCCAUAUGCCCCAGGCAAUAUGUGAGGCGGGGAUUUUCAUCCUUUCUUUCUGGUUACUUUCUAUUUUUAAACCAGUGGAGUGGAAAGUAAAUUGCUUGUCAAUAACUCUUUGCUGUCACCAAAGCAGUUGUUUCGGAGGUGAGCAUUUGCAAAUUGUUUCCUAAAUUACCAUAAAAUAAAUAAGGCAGAGGGUAGAAAUACGUUUGAAUAAGGGGUGUGAUUGUCCCCCCAUCCCUUGUUAUCUUAGUUGGAGAGAACCAAGUAAUUCUUCAGCAGCUAUAGCGCCUUCUCACAGGUUUAUUGACUUUUCCAUAUGCUUGCCGAACCCUCCCCCAAAAGUAGCUGAAUGAGAAGCACUCUCAGGUGCUUUGCAGGGAGAUGCCUUUGCACAAUCAGUUUAAUGCUACAAAAGAGCACCGACCAUAGGAUGAAACUGGCAGGGACUGUUCAAUCACUCCCAGUGCAGAGAGUGAAAACACAUUGAUGAAUUAGCUGCUAUGUUGCAUGUUUGCACAAGUAAUUAUUAUUCUGGGCCUGCCUCAUUUGGACCAGACAGCACACCCAAUUAUGGGUGGACAAACCAGUCUAUUACUCUCCCCGCUCCAUAUUCUUAAGGAACUUCCAGAAUGCAACUGUUUUCAGGUUGCACAAUAGUUUAUUGUAAUGUCUUGUGCAACAAACCUGCCUCUUCAAAAGAUUGGACUUGUUGAAAUAAGGAAAGUGAUGGGAAUAUGAAUAUGGAAGUGGAGGUUACCAUUUGCUUUGAUGCAACAUCACCUAACCUCCACACAAACAAAUCAGAGGUUGCUGGAAACAGCUCAAAGGUCAGCCAGUGACAUAUUUGCAUCCAUUUUUGACUGAUUAAAAAAUAAUAACCAUGAACCUCAGCAUUUUAGUGUGCAUUCUUCCUAAUAUACACAUUUUUUGAUGCAAUUUUGCCUAAUAUACUGCAGUUUUAUACUAUUUCACUAUUUUUUUUGCUUUUCUAUACAUAUUUCUCCCUGAUAUACACAUUUUGGGGGGUUGGAAAACUGCACUACAAAAUUCAGCGAAGUACAUAGUUGCACAUAAAGGGCACGCUAGGUAGGUUCCCAUUAAAAUGAGAACUAAAUUGAAUUUCCCCCCUAUCCCAGUGCAGUAAUGUGUAGAAAACAAAGUAUGAUACCAUUUUCAAUGUUAGAAACUGCAUGAAGGGUUCUGAAAAUGUAAACAGCAGAUGUGUCCCUCCACCCACAAUCUGGAACAACUUUAACUCUUUGCCUUCAGAACUGGAAUGGCUCCCCCAAGCCUGCUAUUUGCACUGGAAAGGAACUCCCAUUCAUAACAAUGGAAAGCAGGGUUUUUUUUGGUGGGGAGGGGGGAUAACACAAUAGCUGAUUACAUGAAUGGUUAGUUUGGCCCUCAGGGUUUCAUAGGACUAAAGAGGGUGAUUGAAUCCAUAGGUACACUUAGUUUCUCCACUAGUGGAACCCAAUUUUCACCUUCAUUUUCAAUAGUUGCUUUUCAACACAUCUAUGUUAAACCAUUUUUGCCAAUAUUUCAUCUGAAGGCAGCCAGUUUUCAGUGGUAUUAUUUAUUUUCAAAGUGUAGGAACCUGAAUGUAAGUGUCCAUUUGAAGACUGUUUUUAUGAAACUGAAAGAAUAACACCAUGGUGGUGAUGGUGGUGAAUCAAUGUAAAAAAGGACAAAUUCUACACAUUGGUAGAAGAAAUGUUUCCUUUAAUAUAUUCUUUUUCAUCAGUUUGGAAUCUGGAAUACAAAACAUCCCUAUUUCAGUAACACGUCAUUCACUCACAAGAUUGCUUGCUACUGGAAUGGGUGAAAAUCACCUGAUAAGCGUUAGAAUAGGAGUUUUAAAUUCUUUAUGCCCAGAAGAGAAGGCACAUUUGACAUUAUUUUAAGAGAUCUGCAAUGUUAUCUUUCACUUGCUGUUUGGGGUGGUGUGCAGCUACAAAGAGCUCACGAUAAAACUUCGCCUCCAAUCUCAUAAUAAUUUCCUCCUAGUCAGAAUUAUUGUACAGGCACUCGGUUUAUUGCUUACAAGCAAACAUUAGAGCAUUAUGAAACCAGCUUAUUGGCUCAAAACCUACAUAAAUAAGGCAAAACUGCUGCUUUUAUGGCGAGAAGGGUGUUAUUAAGUGUCAAUCAUACAACUGAUGGCUUUGCGUGCUCGCAAGCAAUAAAAAGCUAGCGCCACUGUGCCACUAGGCUAUUUCUCACAUGCUGUCGUCGCCUGAUUGUUAGGGUUUAAGGGUGGGAGAGUUGAGAAUGAAGGGAUGUCACUUGGCAUGAGUGGGAGGGACAGUGUGCCUGAGUUCUAAUUGUAUGAGAGACCCCUUCAUUCAUUCAUUCAUCCAUUCAUCCAUCCGCUCGUCUUGUGAAUGGGGCCUUCACAUAUAGGAGCUGCAGUUCUAGAUGUGCAGGCUUCCUGACUUCAGCCAACCACACUCCUCUCGUGGAUAUCAGAAGUAGGGCUGGAAAAACCAUACGACAUUGGCAUUGGAACCAGCGAUGAAACCACUCUGAAAUAAAGGGCACACAUGCCCUUAUGGUCUCUUCAAGUCAAUGGGCCUUUUCAUGGCUUCAAAGCAGAGCGAAAAGCUGGGGUGCUAUUUUAACAAGAGCCCUUAUCUUCACCAGGCACCAUUUUAAAAUGUCAUAAAAUGGGAUCACAACAAAAUAAUAAAAAUCUCUGCACUCUCACUCCCACCCCGCACCUCCAAAUAUCUGUCACUGGUCAAAUCUGUAAUAAUAACAGGAGCAAAAAGCUUCUUGUCAGGGCGGUGAAAGAGCUGCCUAGUUCUCAGUAGGCAUCUCUGCAAAGAAGCAGCUAUAGACAUGCUCAGAAAUUAAGGGGUGAUCCUGGUUUGGUUUGCCAGGGCUAUAAAGCCAAUGUCUAGCCUCCUCACCUCCCCAGUCUGCUCACAAGAGCUUGAAGUCUUUGACCUCCUUAAAGUAAGUAGCCUAAUUAAGCCACAUGGGUUGCAUAAACACACCUUUUGCUUAAAACAGGAUGGCAAAUCCUAAAUCACAAAAUCUGGAGGAAAACACAAACAGCAUCUAAAGCUGGGCCCAGGGCCAAGCAGAAUGAAAAAAAGACACUUCAGGAGGAAUUUCCAGUUCACCAAAGGGGGUGGGAUUCAUGAGGACUAGGGGGAGUUAAUUUUCCCCACACUAUAUAUGUUGAAAAUGCCCAGACACCAGUAGGAGGGCCAGAUUGGUUCUGAUAGUGCAUCUGAGGAGCCCCAGCCUCGCCAUUGUUGUCAUGCACUCUACAAGUCCAUGACAGUGACACCAGUGUUGGGAAAGUGGAUCAGCAGCAGCACCCCACCAUGUUGGCCACUCCUUCUGUAAUGCAGUCCUUGUUAGAUCCAGGUCUCGAUUCAGAUCCAGGCACUCUUGGAGGAAACUGAUUUUCUAGAUGCAUUUCAACUGGGGUUUGGGCCUGGUUUUGACACAGCAACUGCUUUGGUUUGAUGACCUCUGUCAGAAGGGGGACAGGGGAAAUGUGUCCUUGUUAGUGCUCCUUGACCUUUCAGCAGCUUUUGACACCAUCAACCAUGGUAUCCUUCUGGCUGUCUCAGUUGGGGAAGCAGUGGCUCAGGGCCUACUUGGAUGGUCAUUUUCAGAGGAUGAUGCUUGGGGAGCGCUCUUUGGCUCUGUAGAGCCUUCACUGUGGGCUUUCUCAGAGUUCAAUUUUAUCCCCCAUGCUGUUUAACAUCUACAUGAAACCACUGAGUGGGUUUACCUGGAGUUUUGUAGUACGUUGUCAGCAAUAUGCUGAUGAUACACACCUCUUCUUCUCCUUUACAUCUGCAGGUGUGACAACAGAUAUGCUGGACCAUUUUCUUGCCUCAGUAACGAAUUGGAUGAGAGACAAUAAUCUAAAAUUCAAUUCAGAUAAGACUGAGGCACUGUUAUUGGGUGGUUCCCUAGACUAGAUGAAUGGGAGGUUGCCCGCACUUUAUGGGAUUACGCUCCCUCUGCAUAAGCAGGUAUGUAGCUCUGGGGUCCUUCUGGAUCCAUUAAUGUCACUUGAAGCUUAGGUGGCCUCAGUGGCACAGAGUACCUUCCAUCAGAUUUACCUGGUGGCCCAGCUGCUCCCCUAUCUGGACAGGAUUAGCCUAACUUGUGUUGUCUAUGCUCUGGUAACCUGUAGGUUACAGUAUAUGUGAUGCUGUCUCUGAAGAGCGUUCAAAAACUUUAGCUAGUGUAGAUUUCAGCAGCCAGGUUGCUCACUGGGACAAGAUGAUCUGAGCACAUCACACUGAUCCUCGCCCAACUGCACUGGCUGCUAGUUAGUUCCAGGCCUAAUUCCAAGUGUUGGUUUUAACCUGUUGUUUAGUCAUUUAGUUGCGUCCAACUCUUCGUGACCCCAUGGACCAGAGCACGCCAGGCACUCCUGUCUUCCACUGCCUCCCGCAGUUUGGUCAAACUAAUGUUGGUAGCUUCGAGAACACUGUCCAACCAUCUCGACCUCUGUCGUCCCCUUCUCCUUGUGCCCUCAAUCUUUCCCAAUAUCAGGGUCUCUUCCAGGGAGUCUUCUCUUCUCAUGAGGUGGCCAAAGUAUUGGAGUCUCAGCUUCAGGAUCUGUCCUUCCAGGGUUGAUUUCCUUAAGAACAGAUAGGUUUGAUCUUCUUGCAGUUUUAACUUAUAAAGCCUUAAAUGGCUCAGGACUGUAAUACCUCAAGGACCCCUCUCUCCCAAAUGAACCAGCCUGGAUCCUUUGAUCAUCAUCUGAAGUCCUUCUUCAUGUGCCUCCUCCGUGAGAGGCCUGCAGGGUGGAAAUGCAAGAACAGUCCUUUUCUUCAGUGGCUCCCUGUUUGUGGAAUGAUCUCCUCAGGGAGGCUCGCCUGAUACCUUUGUUACUUAUCUUUAGCUGCCAUGCAGAAAUAUUCCUCUUCUCCCAGACCUUUGGCUAAUUAAACAAUAAACAAACCUCAGAGCAGGAUUGUGUUUAAAACAGUGAACCAGGAAAUAGCCAGAAUCUCUGUACAGUGGUACCUCGGGUUACAUACACUUCAGGUUACAUACGCUUCAGGUUACAGACUCCGCUAACCUAGAAAUAGUGCUUCAGGUUAAGAACUUUGCUUCAGGAUAAGAACAGAAAUCGUGCUCCGGCGGCGCGGCGGCAGCAGGAGGCCCCAUAACUAAAGUGGUGCUUCAGGUUAAGAACAGUUUCAGGUUAAGUACGGACCUCCGGAACGAAUUAAGUACUUAACCCGAGGUACCACUGUUGUUUGGUUGAGCAUCUCAAUAGAAGUUUCCUUUUCCUCCAUCCAUCAUAUUCAAAGUUAAAAGUCGAGUCAAUCAACAUUUCAGUUCAGUUAUAUACAUACCUCAGCAUGAUCGUGGCAUUACCAAACUGACAGGGGUGAUGCAGCUCAGCAAACCUUCUGGAGGAGACUGGCCUUCGUUUUCAGCUUAACAUCCAUUUUAAAACAUGUAAAUGAAAGAAAAGGUGGCACAUUUCUCAUGUCAGGGUUUCCAAGGAAGGAGCAGGGCCACCGAAUAUGCAAAUACAGGCUUGGAUUUUAAAUUACCUUUUGUCACCUACUGCAAAGAGUGAAUAAAAUCUUGUAAUUAUAUUGUAUUGAUAGGCACACUCGAAUGGGAAGAGUUAUUUUCAAAAGGUUAAUUAUUUACAUAACCUCGUUCUCUCCAGCUCAUCUUACCCUAACUCUUCCUGUGCAAAGAAUAUAGCUUUGUCUUUUGUUUGUUUUUAUUAUUUAUUUCAAAUGCAAGAAGAUCAUGUCUUCCCCCAAGGCUUGAUAUGAGUGCAAAUAAGUCCAAACCAAGUAUCUCACACUAGAUGUGCCUAUAGCAGCCUGUUUUCAUUAAUGUGUUUUUUUUUUAAAAAAAAAAUCUACUUUUUAACUUGAUGCUUCUAUUUUUUUUAUAAAAACUAAGAAUCUGGUAUGUUUCUUUUGCUGUAAUCCAAGAAUGAUUCAAGCAUGUAACUGUUAGAAGAAAACAACUGCUCUUUUCCUCUUAUGGGGCACCCAAGAGCCCAUAUAGAGUCCUCUUUUUAGGUUCUCUAUCGGUAGGAGAAAAAUAAGAGAGGCCAACCAGAGAAUAUUGAGAAGCAAGGCAGCUAGUAAGCCUGAUCUUUAUUAAAGCUGUUGCAACAGUGUGCUCCCCACACCUGUUGCCUAAAAAUCUACAGUGGCAGCAGCAAAUGAAAUUCCCUGAGAACAGUUUAGAAAUGGGGGGGGGGCACCACUGAAAAGACCCCUUCUUGUGCAACCACACUUCAAAUCUCCUUCAGAUAUGGAAUACAGAGGCCAGCCAUGUGCAUUUAAAUAAUGUGAAUCUCCCCUAAAAUACACAUUUUAGUGUUCAUUGGCCACUAAAAAUUCAUUUCUUGUGCAGUUUUUUAGCCUAAAAAAUGCAUCAUGAAAUUUGGAGAAGGUUACAGUUCAGAUCUAUGCAUUAACCUGGAAGCUGAGGGUCAGAGGUGUCCCAUCCUGUUUUGCUGCCUGAGGCAAAAUGUUAAUGUGUCACCUCCUCCAGCAGCCGCCGCCAAAGUGACAAAGCCUUGUUUACUAGGGUCAUGCUGUUGCAGCAAUGGUUUUCGACAGUGGAACCCCUCACCGCAAGAGGAGUGGUGGAGGGUGCCAGGUUCCAGUGAGAUCUCUCUGGAACCUAGAAGCCAACACUGCAGCUGGAUCUCCCCACUUUUUUGGUGAGUGGGGCACCUCCCCAUUGGGGUUCUGCUGCUUGAGACAGCUGCUUCAGUCCGCCUCAUGGGCGGUCCAGCCCUGGUGAGGUUUGGAUUGGGUCACUCAGAAAUGUGGUCUGAACAAAAUUCUCUUCCCAAGUAUACUUUGGUUUCUCUCCUCAAACUCCUUCAGGCCCUCUGCACUUGUAAAAAAAUACAGCUCCUUCUUAUUGAUUUCCCACAGUCAACACAGAGACAAAUUGUGUGAUUCCUAAUAAUAUAUACACUGAGGAAACUUGGAUAAUAAAAGUGUUUAUUAUGUGGCAGCAUGAGGAAUGAAUGUAAACGGAUCUCAAUUCAAUCAUAACUUUAUUCCCGACUGAACAGCUACGGUAAAUCCAGAGAUGAAAUGAAAGAUUAAUUCACUGAGAUUGCAGUUUGGCAGCCACAGGUUACUGCCAAUUUGCUAUUCUUGCAAUGGUGUUUGCUUUUUAUGCACGCGAGCGCACGCACAUGCAUACUUGCACUGAACUCCGGUAAAUGGCUGUGUUUCCAGCCAUAUUACAACACAGCUUGGCUAGGACAGGAAGGAUCCUGAUUGUUUCUUCCCUAUAGGAAGAGCUGUAGUUCAGCAGUAGAGCAAUCUGUCUUGCACGCAGAAGGUCACAGGUUCUAUCCUUCGUAUGUAAGGUAGGGCAGGAAGAGAGUCCUGUCUAAAAUCCUACAGAGCUAAUGCCAGUCAGUGUAGAUAAUAUUCAGCUACAUGGACCCAUAGUCAGACUCACAGAAUCAUAGAGUUGGAAGGAACCCUGAGGUUCACCUAGUCUAACCCCCUGCAAUACAGGAAUAUUCAGUUGUCCCAUACGAGAUUCAAACCUGCAACCUUGGCAUUCUGAGCACUAUGGCUCUAACCAACUGAGCUAUCCAGUAUAAGGCAGUUUCCUAUAUUCCUUUCUGGCACCCUCAUGCAGAAGUGGAGUUUGUGCAGUUAUUGGAUGUUUCACUUAUUUAUUUUUGAGGUAUAUAUCCCACCCAUAGCUGUCAAGUGUCCCUUAUUUGAAGGGACAGUCCCUUAUUCCAGCGCCAUGUCCCGCUGGUGUCCCUUAUUGAUGAAUGUCCCUUAAAUGUCCCUUAAAUUUCAAAGGAAGCAGCUCCUCUCUCUCCCUCCCUCCCUGCUGGCCAGGGAGGAGGGAGGCUCCAACUGUGUUGCUUGGCUGUGUUGCUCACCCAAUAAGAAGUCUAAGAACGACUAGGGGGUGGAGCUUGCAUGCCUUGUGUGUGGCUAAUUAAUGCAAGCUGAGGGGGUUUUUUGAAUGCUGGACACCAUUUUGUUGCACGUGCUGCUGCAAACUUUGCAGUGCAAAGCCAGGCCUGGGAGCCAUCUUAAGUUGAGGCUGCAUAGGCCUUGUGGUGCAUGUGAUUCAGAUUCUAUUCAGUUGAACCUCUGGUUACAAAGUUGGUUGGACAGUGUUCUCGAAGCUGCCAGCAUGAGUUUGACCAGACUGCAGGAGGACAGGAAGACUGGAGUGCCUGGAACAGGUGAGGCUGCAGGUCCCUUAUUUUGGCUGCUGGUCCCUUAUUUUCAAAUCUGUAAGUUGACAGCUAUGAUCCCACCUUUCAAAAAAAAGGGGGGGGGGAAAGACAUAUCCUGCUUGAGGCAGAAAACAAAUAGGAAUGUCUACAUUUCUCAUUUUUUUGUUGUUGUUUAGUCGUUUAAUCGUUUUCCAACUCUUCAUGACCCCAUGGACCAGAGCACGCCAGGCACUCCUGUCUUCCACUGCCUCCCGCAACUUGGUCAGACUCAUGUUUGUAGUUUCAAGAACACUGUCCAACCAUCUCGUCCUCUGUCGUCCCCUUCUCCUUGUGCCCUCCAUCUUUCCCAACAUCAGGGUCUUUUCCAGGGAGUCUUCUCUUCUCAUGAGGUGGCCAAAGUAUUGGAGCCUCAGCCUCAGGAUCUGUCCUUCCAGUGAGCACUCAGGGCUGAUUUCCUUAAGAAUGGAUAGGUUUGAUUUUCUUGCAGUCCAUGGGACUCUCAAGUGUCUCCUCCAGCACCAUAAUUCAAAAACAUCAAUUCUUCAGCGAUCAGCCUUCUUUAUGGUCCAGCUCUCACUUCCAUACAUCACUACUGGGAAAACCAUAGCUUUAACUAUACGGACCUUUGUUGGCAAGGUGAUGUCUCUGCUUUUUAAGAUGCUGUCUAGGUUUGUCAUUGCUUUUCUCCCAAGAAGCAGGUGUCUUUUAAUUUUGUGACUGCUGUCACCAUCUGCAGUGAUCAUGGAGCCCAAGAAAGUAAAAUCUCUCACUGCCUCCAUUUCUUCCCCUUCUAUUUGCCAGGAGGUGAUGGGACCAGUGCUCAUGAUCUUAGCAAAAUAAUAUACAGAAUAAACUCAUAGAGUUGUAGAGACAGAGAUUCAGGAAAACAAAUAUUCUCCAUGCCAGCUGGGAAAGAAAAGUAUUGGCUACCUGCAGAACAGUGAGGAGUGAUGAUGGUCAGGUGUUUUAUUUGUCAGAAUCAGAAAAGGGAUUAAGAGCAAAGUAACUGGCAGUUAAGCUUUUUAACUGUUCAGGAGAUGCACCCUUCUUCUCCAAAGUAAAUCCUUAUCUAUUUUAUGUUGCAUCUCAACCUAGUCUCAGUAUUGAUGAAGGAAAAAUUAUAAAACCUUUAUAUAAAAAUAAUAUUAUUUGGGGAACAAUGGAAUGCUGCUAGCUCACGAUUAUGGAUGGAUGAAUCUUCCAAUUUGUUUCUCUCAGUUUCUUCUUUUCCCAGUCAUAACUCUAGUUCUCCCCCUUUCUGCAAUGAUUUGCAAUUUAAAAAAUCAAAUCUUUAUGAAAAUUCAUCAGCAUUUUAGUGCAAAUUUCUCCCUAUACAUGCCGCUCUUUUUUGCAGUUUUGAGUAACAAACACAUUGCUGCAAGCAAUUUUCUAUAAUGCAAUGCAUUUUUCUUUGUUAUUUUAAUGAAUGUAUGCAUUCUUUUGCUAACUAAGAUAUGCACUUUUGCACACAUUGUUUGGCUGGAGAGCUGCAUUCAGGGAAGUGUGAAUUUUGAAUGAUAAUUGUGUUUUGGUUUACGUACUGUUUUGAAAUGUGCAAAUUAAGCAGCUUUUCAUUAAAAUGCUAACAGAAUAGAAAUUAUCCGCCACUCUUGCACACAAAUCUGUUUCAGCAAUGUGGAUUUGCUAAUACCUAGGAUUUGUAGUCCCAGGUAGAUUAAACCAAGCUACAUCUUUUUUCAAUCCUUAGCAUCACCAGGAAGGGAUGGGCAAGACUGCUGUCUUAAAUCCUAGUGAGUCACUGCCAUGCACGUAGAAAAAAAGUGAGCUAUAGGGACCAAUGUUCUGAUCGUUGUUGUUUGUUGUUGUUGUUUUAAGGCUGUGAAACAUUCUGCAACAAGUGACCCAACCCAAAUUCUACAUCAAAGAAAGCUGAGCUUUGCAACCUGUAUAAACUGUGUUAAGAUACAGUGGCACCUUGGUUCUCAAACUUAAUUUGUUCCGGAAGUCCAUUCCAAAAGCAAAGCGUUCCAAAACCAAGGUGAGCUUUCCCAUAGAAAUAAUGCAAAAUGGAUUAAUCCAUUCCAGACUUUUAAAACAACCGCUAAAACAGCAAUUUAACAUGAAUUUUACUCUUGAACGAAACCAUUGAUCCAUAAAAUGAAAGCAAUAAACAAUGUACUGCAGUCACACAAUCAAUCGAUGGGUUCCACACAGUCACAAAAACAAAACAAAAAAGCCACAAAAACAAAAAUGCAAAAUAAAUAGCAGAAACAGACAGACCUCAGCGUAACACUAAAAAUGGAAGUGUGGCACUCAAAACAGAGCAUGUUCAGCUUCCGAAAAAUGUUCGCAAACUCGAACACUUACUUCCGGGUUUGCAGUGUUUGGGUUCCAAGUUGUUUGGAACCCAAGGCAGUUGAAAACGAAGGCGGUUGAAAACGAAGGUACCACUUUACAAAAAUUUAGCUAUACUCAAGGCCUGCCAAGUGGCUCAGGAGCAGCCAAUCUCUCUCCAUUUAGGUUCACAAUGGCAUGUGCACCACUGCAUUUCCACAUAGCGCAAUCACAUUUAGUUGUGGUAUGUAUAUGAAUUCCAGACCCUUGGGGAGUGGUCCAAUCAUUGCCUUCCUUUCUCAUCAGAUUGUUAGCCUUUCCCUGAGGUGACAUUCAAGUGUGGAAGCUUUGUGCAAUCGGUCCUGGCCAUAUGGGUCCAACAUUCAUCACAGCCCACUAGACAGCACCAUGCAGAAGGGUCUAUCAUACCUCUGGAGGUCCACAUAAAGCAGCUUGUUGUCAUCUGUCUGAGUGCAAAAUAAAGAGAAGAACCUCCCCUGUUUUGUCCUCAAAACCUUAUUUUUGUAGAUAACAAUGAACAAGCAAGCUAGAAGGAAUGGCUUGACAAAUAAGCAAAGACAGGGAAACCUCUUGAAGAAGACUUAAAGCAUCCUCUUUUCUUUUCUUGAAAGGUCCUUUUGCAGCCUCCAAAAGGAUCUGUGUACAUCAGGGGAUGCUUAGAGAUGAUAAACAGAGGUGGAAAUAUAAUUAGAAGAUGGAGAGUAAAAGGUUACCAAAUUAAAGGCAUUUGAAUUCCUGCUGGCUGAGGAGAUUACAAGAACCACAUAGAAUACUUCAAAGUUUUCAAAGAGGAAAGAGAUUAAACAGAGCACUUGGCUUCUUUGUUUUCAAGUGUAGUGGCACAAAAUUGCCAGCCCCUGUUCUUUAGCUGGCUGCUCCCAAUGUCAGUGACGCCCUAUUAUUCAGUAUUAGCCAGGGAAAGUAUUUUGCCUCCUACAUCUUUGCAAUUCCCUCCCCCUGCACCCAUCAGUCUGGGUUUGCCAGCUUUUAUCACCUUCUAGCAGUAACUACUGCUGUGCCAAAAUCUGCCCUCUGUUUUCUCAAAGAAGAAGAGGAAGAAGAAAAGAAAAUUCCACUGCGGAAGAAACUUCCGUUCUUCUGCCUCAUUCUCAGAGCCUGUAGGAAUUCUUCCAUAUUUCUGUGGGUCUGAGGUUUUUGAGCUUACCUUAUCAUUGUGCGAUGGCUGGUGGUAGGGUAUGUCCUUUUUCUUUCCAGUAUUUACCCCCCCCCCCAAGUAUUCUGCAGCCUCCCAGGCUGCCCAUGUUUACUGAAUGAAAGAAGUUACCUUAUGAUAUCUUCCCCAUGAGUUUUAACUGAAGCAUGGACACCCAGGGAGGCUGCAAAGCACAGACCACUGGUGAGAUGAUAUGUAGAAUGAAAGAAAGGACACUCACAAGCAUCCUCGUCCAUCACAAAACUUAGGUAAGUGCAACUAAAGCUAUGCACCCCACCCAUGAUUUUCUCUCCCCUUUUAUAGUUUCCAAUGCAAUUUCCUUUCUCACCAAUUGAUGGAUAAUUCUCAGUGGAAGGCUGGAGAAUUCUUUUGGCACAGCAGUAGCAGUAACACAAGGAGCUGCAGUUUGCAAAAUGUUUUCUUGCAUUGGAAGAAAGCUCCUGCUUGGAAAUCCAGCUCCUGACACAGAUCAGACUACAGUGACAAAUUGAUUGAUUAAAAUUCCAUGAGAUAAGUAUUGAAAAGGUUGAUCUCUCAUAUAUAUAUAUAUAUUCAACAUCUCACAAGGUUCCAUUAUGGAUUCGUGACACUUGCUCCAUCAAUCCAAGAGGGAGAUAAACAUCAACUCAUAUCCAGGCACCAAAAGCUGCAUGGCUCUUUUUUCAAAAAUGUACUCAAAAUCACGACAUUUCAUAAUUUGUACUGCUUUCUCUUGUUGAAAUCACAUCAGUUUAGAGAUCGUUUAUCUUUCAGUAUAAAUUGACUGCUGAAUUUCUCAUUGUAUGAUGCUGACACAAGCCAAGGCUGUUGCCUCAUUGACAAAAAAACAUAAACCUUGUGAAGAAGAUGGUGAGAAAACUUUAUAACAGAUCGAUCUUUGGCUUUACUUUUCAAAGUUUUUGCAUUUCUUUCAUUUUUUAAAAAACUGCCUCAUCUUCCUGUUAUUGUUUAUUUUUUUGAAUGCACUGCUUAUUAAUAUACUCUUUAAUCAUUCACACCAUGCAGUACAUGGGAAACCAGCAGGACAUUAUUCAAGACCAGUUGGUCCUCGUAGUAUCGACUGAGGUCAAGGAGGUUUUGGCAGAACCAGGCCUUUUGGGGGACUAGAUCCAGGGCAGAAUAUGAUAGGAGAGGGCCUAGAAUCACUAUUAAGUCCUUUUUUGUAAUUGUUAAGUUGUGGGUGAACAUAUCAGAUGACACAGCGAUUCUUCAAACAGCUCUUCUUUAUUCAGAUGCCAGAACAGAACUGAACUGAAGGGCUCAGUCAGCCUGCUUAUAUAGAGCUCCAGUACCUUGUUACUGUAGCAACUUUCUAAAACUAUCCAAUCACUGAACGUCACUUUCAAUCCUUCAUUUGCAUAACUAUCUACAGUAUCCCCCUGCUGGCCCAGGGUGAGAACUUCAGUACGUAACACCAAUGACUCCUAAGUUAUUCUCUGGUGUGGAUUUCAGUUACAGAGCUUGUAAGUAGGUCCUUAUUGUUGAAGCUGAGGAACUGCAGUUCCUUAGUUAAACCUCUUUAUAUUAUAAGCUUGUAGGUAGGACAUCUGCUAUUUUUAAUUUUAGUGCCAAGAAAUUGCUGAGAGGAUGGUCACAUUGUGAUAAUCAUAAUGUUAACAACAACAACAACAACAUCUCAAACUUUUCAGGAUAUUUUAUUUCUCAGUGUGAAAUUUCCCUCAAUGGUGAUGAGACAAGAGAGAGAGAAAAAGAGUUUUAAAUUUAAUCAUGGGAAAAUAUUGGGGGGAAAGCUUCAUAUUCCUUAUUAUGCCCUUUUCAUUCAGAGUGGUUGGUUUUCGUAUCCCAUUUCUCUCACGGAAAUUGAUGAGAAACUGAUUAGGAAGAAAACCAGUUCUACCUAUUUCCUGCCGUACCCGUUUCCAUGAUGCAUAAUAUUUGCAUUUCAAGUGCAGCAAGGGAAUUCUUUUGUUUGCUUAACAAUCUGUUUCAUUUGGAUAUUUUAAAAUGUCAUGGAAACAUUUCAGCUGGCCGCAGGUUUUCAAAAAGCUUGUUUACCCAACACUACAUCACAAUUUGGAUGAAAACAAAUCUUUGUCGGAAACCACUGACUCAAUGAAGCUUUCUUGUGGUUUCGUUCCUGCACUGAAAGCUUGGUCACAAUAAUUAUAGCAUUGAUAUAUAGUGAUUUACAUUUGCAUAGCCACUGGAGAUAUAUUAUUUCCCAUUCUAGCAUUUAUUUUUUAUAUUAAAAAUACCUAUAUACAAAGAAGACUUGCUGUAUAUGGGGAGAUUUAACAGUGUUGAGGCUGCCUUUGAGCAUCAGGAGCUGUUCAUAAUUCUUUGAGUUGCAGGAUAACAUAUUUUGGAAUCUGCCUUCACCUUGAGCUUACCUUCCUCUUUCGACAUUAGGGAUGGAGGAGAAAUGAUAAAGAGCACUGUUAAUUAUGUAUCACUGGCAAACUUAAAACACAUGCAGAAACAAUGAUAUGAAUGAACACUUGGCUGCAUUUGCUUGACUCAUUUCCAUUCUUGGAACUCUCUGUCAAUUUCUGCCAAAAGUUCAUUAAACGCAACAACAAAAAUCCCACAUUCAACCCAUGAGCCUUUCACCAACACCGCCUCUCCCCCUUUGACAGUUUUCAAAUGCAAUUUCUUUUCUUGUGAAUUGAAGGUCAAGAGGAUAAACAUGGAAGAAUUCUUUUUGGCUCUGCACUAGAUAGGAAAGCAGCCUCCAUUCCACAUGAAUGGGAAACUGAGGUACAGGAAAGUGCUCUGGUAGUCAGUGCACCUGCUCGUGCACAAUGUGGAUAAAUUAAGGGCGGUGAUAGAAUAUUCAGCGGAUGGAGCAAGCCAAGCACAUUGCUUUAAUUAAUGAAAUUCAUUAUUUAGAAUUACCCUCCCUUCCUCUUCUUUAAUAAGUUUCCUUUAACCUUAAUUGUUUCCGAUCAGCGUGUUCUUUUCUAUCUUCCACCUACACUCUCCAGCUCUGUCAAGGGUGCACAACAUUUCUCUCCCCGGCACCUAUAAGCCUUCAGCAGCCACCAAGACUGUUCCCUCCCUCCUCUCAGCUGGCCUGCUAUUUAUAAAUGACGCCAUCUCUCAUCUCAAGAUGCCGUACAAGUAAUUUGGGCAAUGAAUUCAAAGUCAGGGCUGAUCAAGCAGUUUCACUCCAGAUUCAUUUCUCCUCAGCAGACCUGGGGAAGGCACACAAAGGUAGCCAUGGCACUGCAUUCUAUGCAGCCCAUUUUGACAGGGAACGGGGGAGUCAAGCUUAUCUGCAAACUAUCUGAAUUCAUCUACACCACUUUAAUGAUGUUUCCCUGCAAAGCCACCUGUGACCUUUGGCUGAGUAAUGAAAUGCACUCUAAAGAAUUCUAUACUUCUUAGGAGAGGACACCAUAUCCCUUGGGUGAAGGGACAAGAAAACAGAAAAAUCAUGCCACUUGCAGCAAGAUCAAUGAUGCCAGCCAUUUUUAUAGGUCCCUCUUGGACAGAGGUUAGGCACCUGGGUCUAACCUAGACAUAUCCUUGCCUAGCAGCUUUUCAUAUAUAAAUGGGCAUAUUGUCUUUCUGGUUUUAUUGGUUUCAUCAGGCCAUCCCAAGGAUGGACCUGUGAACACAGGAGUAGGUGGCACAUGAAAGGGCCAAACUGGAUGUAUUGUUUGUUAAGUAUAAUUAUUUAAUUCACACUGAAAUGGAGAAUGCCUAUGUGUAUUACUGAAGGUUUAAAUGUGGGGUUUUUCCAUGGAACUAUACUGAAACAAAGAAUAGGAUUCUGAACUCUGAGUUGAUAAUUAACUGUUAUUCUCUGCAAGCUAACACAUGAGUGAUUAACCUUAGAUCACAUGGGAGGCUACUGAAUUGCAAAAUCGCCAUCUUGGAAGGGUGGCGGCUGAGUCUUUGUUCUCAGGUUCUAUAGAGAUAAGGAUGUAAUGAAGUUCUCCAGGAACACACAGCCUCAGGCAAUAUGGAGGCUGCAGGAAGGGAGCGACCUCUGCUUCUAGGAAUUAUCUUUUAUUUAUGAGGAGAAGAACCUGUGGUGGACUUGCACAAUAUAUUGUAUGGAACUAUUAUUAUCAUUUACUGGUUUUUGUUCUGUUGUGGGGAAAGUUUUGCAAGUAAGGUUUUGAAUCAAUCUAAUGGGCCUAGACAGUUUUUAUUCCAAAAGGUGUCCGUUUUUAGGCACCCAGUCACUUCAAGCUGUGCAAUAUUAAGAUCUACAAUAAUGUUAAUUGUGAGAACUUCACAGUAUGUAAGGAACCCCUAUCGUCCUGGCACACAAACACCAUAUUUUAUUGGGAAGAGGCAAACACUAGUUAAGGUGGUGCCCCCCUUCAUUCAUUCCAUUUUUACCUCCCAUGCACCCAGUUCCUCCAGUGAAGCCAGAGCAGUGCACAUGGUUCUUUUGUACCCAUUCCACCCCCAAAACAGCCCUGUUAUGUAGGUUAGGCUGAAAGAUGCAGCACAAUGGCCCAAAGUCAACUGAUGGUUGAGUACUGGCUCUGCUGGUCCCUAGGGGUCCCUUUGGAAUCAAUCAAAUUUUAUAUUAAAUUAAUUUCAGCUGUCCAGUAGAUAUUUUCCAAAUUAACUUCAAUAAAAAUGGACACAUUCCCAAUUGGACAGAGGACAUACCCAUCUCUAGAAGUGAAAUGCCCUUAAAGAGUUCCUAGAUGCCUUUAGGAAUUUUGUACAAGCUAACAGCCAAGUUCUGUAAAAAGGAUUUUCACCCCUGGAAUAAUGCCAUGGACAGUUUAAAAUUCAACAAAGAGGAUUUAAAGUAGCAAUGAAUAUUCAAAGUGGAAUUUAGAAGGAAAAAUACCUAGGUCUUUCUGGAUAUCCCACCCCCUAUUGCGAUAUAAAUAAUCACCUAAGUGUCCUGCCUAUGAAAUAUGCAUGCAUUAAUUAAGCAAAAGAUUACAGCUCAGUACAUACACUGCAUUUCUCACUCGCUGUCUUUCUCUUUUUGCCUAGGCAAGGUGACUGGCCAGCAUGAAAAUCAGCAGAGGUGAGGGAAAUAUAGCUGUGGAAAACAGUUAACAGCACAAAUCAGAGGAGCCGCAUGCAGCUGAAUGGUUCACGAUGGUGAUGCAUCACUACACACAUGGGAGAAGUAACAAUGAGGAAAACAAUAGGGGCUGGCUACUACAGAAAGCGGGUAAGGGACCCGAGAAAAACAAAGCCCUAAGCUUUUCUACUAAGUACUUUUCAGUGAAAGUCAUAGGGCCCCUCUAAACUGCUGGUUUAUUGAGCAUUAAACCAGACUUGCUUGCAAAAAGCUUUUGUGGAGGUUAAACUAUAAUCUGGUUGUUGUUGUUGUAUUUUGUUCUACAUUCAUUCUGAUUUGUUGGCGGAGUAGAUAUGCUGCAGUGAGCAUUUAUUUUAGACAGUAUUUAUUACAUUUAUAACUCAUCAUAGGGAAGUUUUUGAUGUUUAAUGUUUUAUUGUGCUUAAUGUGUUUCAUUUGCUGGAAGCCGUCCAGAGUGGCUGGGGCAACUCAGUCAGAUGGGUGGCAAACAAGCAAAUAAACAUAUAAAAAUCAUCAUCAUCAUUAUCAUCAUCUUUCCUCCAAUGAGCUCAAGGUGGUGUCCAUGGUUCUCCACCUCCCCAUAUAUCACCCCCACAACAACCCUAUGAAGUAGGUUAGGCUAAGAGACAGCAACUAGCCCAAGGUCAGCCAGUGAGCUUUACAGCUGCAUGGGGACUAGAACCCUGGUCUCCCGGGUUUGAGUCCAACACUUUGACCACUGCACUGGCUCUGAUCUGUUUGUGGGCUGUUUAUACAUCAUUCAUUCAUCCCAUGCUUUCCAGUGGACUUGUGGAUUUGUUGCCAGGCAGAUGAACAUGACAGAGCAUGUUGAUCUACUUGAUUUGUGCUUUUAAAUUGCUCCCACAGCUUAUAGGCAACAUGGAAUUCAAGCAGGGGGGUGGUUAGGGGGUUGUCCAAGCAAUCCGAGCCCCCGGUCUUUAGAGGUAGAUCCCAGAUCUCCUGCCUCCCACUUUUAAAACAUUUUAAAAAUAUAUUUCUAGGGCUUCUGGAGUCACUGCAAAAGUGCACUGCUGCUGAGACCCCACCAUUUAAAUUUCCCAGAAGAAUCUAUAUAUGCAGCAUAUGCAGAUUUUAUGCAAAUUUGUACCAGGGACCUAUGGUCCUUUGAGAGCACGGUAAUGGCGCUGACCCCAAAUAAGCUAUUUGUGUUCCAUGAUUUCUUGCCACGAUCCCAAUAAUCUCAUUCCCACCCAGGUGUAUGAAUGCCCAGCAACACAUACAUAGGCCCAACUAGACAAUUAACAACAGCACUAAUCAUCUCUUGAAGGGAGAAGAGGGAACACAGUGCAUUAUCCUAAGAGUUGAUUAGGUAUAUCCCCGGUUUUCAAUACAAUGUGACUUUCAUGUAGCCCUGAGAGCUAAAUGAGGCUAAGAAUCGCAUAUGCCACACCCUUUUUGCACACUGAGCUCUUGUUCUGCUAGGAGUAUGCCUUUAGAAGCCUGCUUCCAUUUAACUAUGGAGCAUAUCUGCACUGGCUGCCCAUAGACUACUGUGUCAGGUGAUACUUUAUUGUGCUGAUAUACAAAGCCCUGAACAACUUGAGUGCAGGAUACCUUCAGGACUACCUGAGCCUUUCUAUCCUAGCUUGAUCACUGAAAUCCCAUGAAAGAGCACUGUUGGUUGUCACAAGAGACCUGAUUGACCUCAACUGGAUGUUAGUUGAGGUCAACUGGAUGUUAGUGCCGCUAGUCUUAGGGUGUAAAAUGGUCUUCCAGCAGAGAUAUGGCAGACAUCCUCAGUUCUAACCUUCAGGUGUCUCUUGCAGAAUGUCUGUGUCAACAGGCCAAUUCAGUGCCUUAAGCUUUAAAGAUGAGCGAACCAUUUUUAUGAUAAUUCUGUAUUGUUUUUAACAGUGUUUUGUCUCUUUUGUUGUACACUGCCUUGAGAUUUUGUACAAAUGGCCAUCUAUAAAUAUUUUUAUAGGUAAAGUAAAUAAUCAUGCAUAUUGUAAUUUUUAUUGUUGAAUUUCCUCCAAGGAGCUCAGGGAGUACACUGUUUCCCCUUCUUCAUUUUAUCCUCAGAACAAACCUGUGGGGUAAGUUAUGGUAAGAAACAGUGACUGACCUACUCAUUGAGUUUCAUGGCUGAGCAGGGAUUUGAACCCUGGUCAGCUAAGGUCCUAAUCUAACCCCUCAAGCCAUUACACUACAAACUGACUCUCUAGAUAAAUUGCAUUGUCUAUGUUUUUUCCUUGUUGCCAAUUUAUUUUGCACUAGAUCUUUGCUAUAAUUCCUGGCAUCGAGCAAUGUCUCUAACCUUCAGGGAUGCCUGUUUGCUACCAGCCUGGGAGAGGAGAAAAGAGAGAUGAGUUUUAAAAUGCAUAUGUUGUCUUUUCUGUGCCAUAACAAGCUUGGCAUCCUACCAGCAAUGUCUGAAUCUCUCUCCCAGGGUAACUAAGACAGCUCAACCAGCUGUAGUCAAAUUGCAUUGGAAAUGGAUAGUUUGCAAAUUCUCCCCUCGAAUGAAAUUUUAAAUUACAAAAAAAAAGUCAUCUGACCGGUUAUCUCUUACUAAAGUGCUGUACGAUUUGCAUAUAAACUUCAUUUCUUUUUCUAAUUACACAGAGUUAAAAUGCAUUCAUUUUCCCUUUGAUUAUGAGCCGGCCUUGCCAAACACCUGUGACUGCCACAAAUUCUAAUUUGUUAUUUAUUUACUUCAAAGCAAUCUUAUUAUCUAAAUGAUUCAAAGCAUCAAAGGCCUUAAUUAUUGAUACUCAAUUUGAUAGGCUACGCUUUCCAUGUCCUUGGGAUGAGGAAGAUGACUCUUCAUUUCCUUUGCCUCAAGUACACACUUGAGGGGGGUAGUGGAAGAGAACACAGGAUUUUGUACACACACACACACACACACACACAGAGAGAGAGACGACAUCUGAAAUUAAAAUCCUGCUUAGCUUCAUCCAGGUUUAUACAAUAGGAUUGACUGCUACAAUCUUCUGCCAAACAGAACAGGCUUUAUUUUAAGAGAGAGAGAGAGAGAGAGAGAGAUUAUUUUUAACACAGAGAGAGAGUUUUAAUGUUGGGGGGCACAGUUGGAAAAGGUUCAGAAAUGGCGCAUCAAAAUGAUCAUGGGGUUUGACUGAUGCCUGCAAGGAAAGGUUGCAGCUAGGGCUGGGCAAUAUCUAGUUUUUAAUAUCAUGAUACAUCGCCAGCUAAACACUGUCUCGAUAUAUCAUGAUGUCUGAAAUGAGGCUGGAGCUUAUAAUAAUCUGGGAAAAUGUUGGGGGUGGAAUCUAAAUUUGAUGUGUCUAAUUAAGUGAAAAUUUACUCAAUGAUAACAUGCUUAACUAAACCAUUAAAGAUUUCUGGAGAAUAUAUAACUGUUCUGUUAAGGGCUUUAUAUACCCAGAAGUAACACCUUGAACUUGGCCCUGUAAAAAAAUUACUAAACUUUAAUUGCUAAAUCUGUAUAGUGUUUAUCCACCAAGAAACUUAAAAUAAUGUGUUAUGUACUGAGUUGAAUAGGAUCCAUUCCAUUCCUCCUCACCACUAUGAGCUGAAUAAAGAGCAUUAAAUCCACUCUCGACUCCCAGUAUAUUUCAUAAUGCAUAUGGAUUCCACCCAACUGCCUCUCAUAUUACUUUAUUUAUAAUGUAAUAUAUUUAUAUCCUGCCAAGUCGAAAUUCAAGGCAGCUUACAACAUUUAAAAGCACCAGUCACAGAAUAAAAAAUAAUAAAAGCAAACUGGUUAAAAACAAUACUUAAAAUACAUCACAAUAUAUGUAAAACCAGCAAUUAAAAUUUGAACUGGCAGCAGCCCAGUCAUCAGGAUUGUCUGCACCAUUGUUUCCAAAUGCAUAAAGCCCUUUACUGCAAAAUUGUUUGCUUCCUUUCCUGAACAGGAGCAGGAGCCAAGCCACAAGGAUCUUGUCACAAAGAAGAAACUUUGUUUGCUAAUGGGAAUCUCCAUCCCACAGCACUGCUGAGGAACAAUGAUUCCAAUAAGCAAACAAAGAUACGCUCUACUGGGCUCUAAGGCACACACUCUAAAGAUCCCGAUAUUGUGCUUAGCCUGAUGUUGUGCUGGGUCUCUAUUUUAAGCUUUUUGAGCUGUUUCCGCUUCUUUUUCCAUUGUGUUGCCACACAUCCAGGUUUUCACUAACAUUUUGCCAGCCAAUUCGGCAAAUCCCCCCCCCCCCCGAUGCCAUUUUUACACCCAAAAACCAGAACAUUUCAGGUAUGGCAAGCCUAGAUAUAUCUCUAAGGGCCACAGGUCAGUGGUAGAGCUAGUACAUGCUUUGCUUACAAAAGGUCCUAGGAUUAUUCCUCAGUAUCUCCACACAUGACUGGGAAAGAGCCUUGAAACUCUGGAAAGCUCCCAGCAAUCAGUGCAGACAAGAAUGAGUCUGAUGGGCCAAUGGUAUAACAUAGACUGCUUCCUAGGUUUCUAAUGUUUAAAGUAACUUUCAUAUUUUUAAACUAAAGCAACUAUUGCUAAAAGAGAGAGAGAGACUCCCAUGCUUAGCUGCCAUUCAUUCAUUUAUAUAUUAAAGCAUGCAUGCAUUAAUAUCCUGUCUGACCAGCCUGAAAACAGGCUCUUGAAGCAGCUUACCCAAUUAUUGAUGUUGCAAAGCUGGUGGAGAUCAGGAUGCAAGGGGUCAUGAUAUGCAUAAAUUUCAGUGGGAGACGGGGGCUGGAUCUAGACACAUAAAAGAAGUGUUUCAGUUAAAUGUGUUGCAAACUUUGUAUGAAAAAUCAGGUUAGCAAAAACGGAAUUCCACAGCACCAUCUGGUGUCACAGUGUUAGAAUGCAUAAACAAUGUAUAUAAAGUGCUUUUUCUUUGCCAAUGUAGCUGAGUCCGGGGAUAGUGGAGCUGGCAUUUUCAGUGGCAACCACACAUUUAGUAUAAAUUCUGGUUUCCCCACAGAUGUGGGAAAAACACACCAAGUGUUAUGUGUGAAAAUCCCUUUCGUUUGUAGCAGAUUAAAUAGAACUUUAAAAGCCGGCUGUGCUUGCAGGGCUAUAAUGUCUCUCACCUUAUCACCCUAUGAGCACCUGCACAUUAAAGUGUUUGCAAUAUUUGCAGAGGAUACUGAGCCAAUAUUAUAAGCCUGGCUGGACACCACUCUGCUAUCGUCAAGAAGGAAGAUGAUGCAAUGAGAAAUGGGAAAGUGUAAUGGAGAUUAUAAAGCAUCUGGCGUGUGAAAAAUCCUACCAACAUUGCAACAGACAGAGAAUGGAAGUGACC